rnacentral:lncRNA from 1 species
AUUUAGAUUACUACUUUAGUGAUCUAAACACUCAUAUACUGUAUUUCUUUACGGAGGGGUUCUCAAAGGAAAAAAAACUCAAAAAUCUUUUACGGAUGGAGUACCAACAUAUACAGUAUACAAAUAAAUAGCUAGUGCAUGUAUUAACCGCAAAGAGACGAAAACAGCCUCCAAAGCCAGUGACCCCAUGACAUCACUGACAGUGGGACCCGGAACGCCACUGACACAUUAUUGAAGCCAACUGAGAACGACACACAUACGACUGCUAGCUAGACCAUGUACGCAGCUACGUGACGUACAUUGCGCACCCACGCGACGACGAUCAACCACUCACGAAAUACGCCCACACAUACGGAUCCAAUAAUAAACGAACUAAGGUACCGUGCCAUGGCAAUGCCACGGCACGCGCACGGCGAAGCCAGGCAAAGGCUAGCUCAGGAGCACGAUCGCACCCGCGCGCAUCAACUCACUCGGCGGCCUUGUCGGCGGCGGCGGCAGCCUGAGCAGCUGGUGCCUCUGCCGGCACCGCCUCGGCNNNNNNNNNNNNNNNNNNNNNNNNNNNNNNNNNNNNNNNNNNNNNNNNNNNNNNNNNNNNNNNNNNNNNNNNNNNNNNNNNNNNNNNNNNNNNNNNNNNNNNNNNNNNNNNNNNNNNNNNNNNNNNNNNNNNNNNNNNNNNNNNNNNNNNNNNNNNNNNNNNNNNNNNNNNNNNNNNNNNNNNNNNNNNNNNNNNNNNNNNNNNNNNNNNNNNNNNNNNNNNNNNNNNNNNNNNNNNNNNNNNNNNNNNNNNNNNNNNNNNNNNNNNNNNNNNNNNNNNNNNNNNNNNNNNNNNNNNNNNNNNNNNNNNNNNNNNNNNNNNNNNNNNNNNNNNNNNNNNNNNNNNNNNNNNNNNNNNNNNNNNNNNNNNNNNNNNNNNNNNNNNNNNNNNNNNNNNNNNNNNNNNNNNNNNNNNNNNNNNNNNNNNNNNNNNNNNNNNNNNNNNNNNNNNNNNNNNNNNNNNNNNNNNNNNNNNNNNNNNNNNNNNNNNNNNNNNNNNNNNNNNNNNNNNNNNNNNNNNNNNNNNNNNNNNNNNNNNNNNNNNNNNNNNNNNNNNNNNNNNNNNNNNNNNNNNNNNNNNNNNNNNNNNNNNNNNNNNNNNNNNNNNNNNNNNNNNNNNNNNNNNNNNNNNNNNNNNNNNNNNNNNNNNNNNNNNNNNNNNNNNNNNNNNNNNNNNNNNNNNNNNNNNNNNNNNNNNNNNNNNNNNNNNNNNNNNNNNNNNNNNNNNNNNNNNNNNNNNNNNNNNNNNNNNNNNNNNNNNNNNNNNNNNNNNNNNNNNNNNNNNNNNNNNNNNNNNNNNNNNNNNNNNNNNNNNNNNNNNNNNNNNNNNNNNNNNNNNNNNNNNNNNNNNNNNNNNNNNNNNNNNNNNNNNNNNNNNNNNNNNNNNNNNNNNNNNNNNNNNNNNNNNNNNNNNNNNNNNNNNNNNNNNNNNNNNNNNNNNNNNNNNNNNNNNNNNNNNNNNNNNNNNNNNNNNNNNNNNNNNNNNNNNNNNNNNNNNNNNNNNNNNNNNNNNNNNNNNNNNNNNNNNNNNNNNNNNNNNNNNNNNNNNNNNNNNNNNNNNNNNNNNNNNNNNNNNNNNNNNNNNNNNNNNNNNNNNNNNNNNNNNNNNNNNNNNNNNNNNNNNNNNNNNNNNNNNNNNNNNNNNNNNNNNNNNNNNNNNNNNNNNNNNNNNNNNNNNNNNNNNNNNNNNNNNNNNNNNNNNNNNNNNNNNNNNNNNNNNNNNNNNNNNNNNNNNNNNNNNNNNNNNNNNNNNNNNNNNNNNNNCCGGCGCUUUGGCCUCGACGUCGGCAGCAGCAGCUGGUGCUUCUGUCUCUUCCACGGCUGCUUCGGCUGCCACGGCAGCCUCCACAGGUGCCUCCGUAGUUGCUGCUUCCUCCUGCACUGCCACAGCGGCCUCCUCCUUGGCCGGUGUCUCCUCUGCCACCGGCUCUUUGGCCUCGGCCUCGGCAGCGGCUGGCUCUGCCUCUUUGGUCUCGGUCUCGGCCGGAGCAGCUUCUUGCUCUGGUUCCUUGGUCUCGGUCUCGGCCGGAGCAGCUUCUUUCUCUGGUUCCUUGGUCUCGGCCUCAGCCGGUGCUGCCUCACGCUCCACCACUUCGGUCUCUGUUCCCUCGGCAGGGGCAGCUUCCGGCUCUUUGGUCUCGGUCACUGUCGGCGUGACAGGGGCCUCCUCAGCGGCGGCGGCCGGCUGGACAACCUCUGUCUCGGCCUCCUUGGUCUCCGCUGGAGCUGCCUCGGGCUCUUUCGCCAGCUCGGUCACGGCCGGCGCAGCAACUUCCUCCUUCACGGCCUCCUCGGCAGCGACAACGGCCGGCUCGACAGCCUCAGCCGUUGCCACCUCGACUGUGUCGACGGCCGGCUCGACAAUCUCCACUGCUGCCACCGUAGCCUCCUCGACCGCGACGACGGCCGGCUCGACGACCUCCACCGCCACGGUAGUAUCCUCGACAACGACGACGGCCGGCUCGACAGCCUCCACCACCGCCGGCGCCGGAGCCUCCUCGACGGGCAUGGCGUGGGUUGCGGCGUGGACCUGCGUUUACAUUGAUGCACGCCUUCAUGUCAGAGAAGUACCAGUACGCAGCGUACGUGUGAUCAGGUUGCUCGUGCCAGAAGAGAUCGAGGUGGCAUGGCACCGUGGCAGCAGGUCAAAAGCUACAUGAUCGAAACGCAACGAAGCAGUAUUGAGCAGUCUACCUGGACGGCGGCCAUUGAUGACGAGUUCCGAGUCGACCGGUCCGAACUCCGACGAGCUGAUGCUAUAGCUCGGUUUGGUGCGACUGAUCAGAUCAGAGUAUGCGAUCGGCUGUGUUGUGUGAAGCAAAUGUGCUGCGGUAGAGGGGCUUAUAUAGUGGCUCUGGAGGGCAAAACGGUCACAAGAUUCACAGCUAGGACGCAAAAGCGAGCAGCCCUUUUGCGUCACGCAGGAAAAUAAAAUGAAAUCGAGGAAUCAAAACACUGAUCUGCAUCAUUCUGAUCUUGGUUGGGAAUAUACUAUUGCAAAACUAUAGUACUGGUACGUACUGUAGAUGCAAGCAAGUUGCGUACGGUGAUCGCUGUAUCGAAAUUAGGGUGGUGGCCACGCAUGCACGGAGGCUAAGGUCCAAACUGCUAUGUUUACGGGUUUGGUUUUCUUUGAUAUGUUUGGGGAAAAGGGCCAAGGGAGAGGGCUGGCAAGGCCACGAGGGCAAGCGUACCUUUGGCGUUGUAAAGAGGGGGCCAUCGCGCUGAGUCACACGCAUGCAUGCACCGACCUGAUCAGUACAUGUGUACAUCGCGUCACGUCCAUGCACGUUCUAUAGUGCCAGCCUUGUAUCCUAGUACCACUAUCCUGCUGUCUGCCCUUGGUCCAGAUCGGUGCAAAAAUAAAUGCUGGGCUAGAAUCUAUUAGUACUGUUAUUUUAUUUCCCCCCCCCCCCCCCCCCCAUUUUAGUUUGGUUCUUGGAAUGGCUAGAGACAUGACCAAACAUUUUAUCUAAUAAAACCUGUUGGAAAAAUCAUCAUUCGAUUUGCCUCUUGAUUAAUCUCAUCAUUUCUCAGCUGAUCACAUCUCUUAUUCUUCUACGCAAAUUAAACUACUCCCUUUAAUUCAUUUUACUUGCCGUCAUGGUCUGAGCUCUCCAGUCUGUGAAUUAUAGCUAACCCUAGUCCCACUGAUAGUGCUGUUUUCUUUCUUUCUUUUCACUGAUGGCGAGGCCUUCUAAUGAUAAUACACACCAUUUCUUUUUCUUUUCUCAUUUGUUCUUGUUUUUAUUUGUAUGCUUAAUUUUUUUUUCAUUUUCCUCUUCUUGCCCGUAAAAUACUGGAAAUCUAAACCGUGAUCAAUGUGUCUUCUAAACCGUAACGGAGGUAGUAUUGUUAAUUCAUCUCAUGUGUGCCCUUUUUCCAAUUGAGACACUGAUAGUCACAACAUCGUCCCCGUCUCCAACGAGGUCCUCAUCCGGAGUCAACGCUUGUCACUGCGGCGUUGUGUGGUUGUGUUGUCCUCACCUUCAGACUUAGAGGAAGUAGAAUUGAUUAUACUCCAUUUACUUUCACCGUUUCUAAAUAUAAGUCUUUUAAGCGAUUUCACUAAAGGUCUACAUACAGAGCAAAAUGAUUCAAUGUACACUCUAAAGUAUGUCUAUAUACAUCCGUAUAUACUCUAUUAGUGAAAUCUUUAAAAAAACUUAUAUUUAAGAACGAAGGGAGUAUAUCAUAAUAAUUAUUGUUAAGGAAAAACAUAAUAAUUAUAGUUGAAAGAACUAGUUUACUAGUUUUCUUGCACUAUAAUUAUUAUGAUAUGCAGGAAGUAAAAAUUGCAGGCACUUCAUCAUUCGCAAACAUGAAUUAUUAUUUAUUUAUGGGGAUUGCAAAAGCGGAGAUAUCAGGGAGAUCGCUAUAUCUCGGUUUUCUACGGCGCACUCGAUGGUGGCGUAGAGACAAUGCAACUUGAGCCGAAGAAUGUGCGCUCGAAUGCCGCCAUUGAAGGCCGUGACAUGAUCCCUAUAGAUCGAGUGGUGCAUAUCUUCUUGGUAGAUGAUCGAUAUGCAGUAGAAAGGGGCGCAGCCACCUAGAGCUAUGUGUAAAAAAGGCCGUGCGUGUUUGUCAAAGUGUGAUGGCACGGCAGUAUAUUUGGAAUUUAGUUAACAUUUUCUUCCUCAUCUGAAGUAGUACCACUAGCUACUUAGGUGUAUUCUCUGCCUUAGAGCAUCUCCGGACUCCUCAAAUCCGAUCUUUCAAACGUCCGCAGACGAACUACUACGUCGACGCACACACAUUGUCCAGUUACUCCAUCAUUGUUAAACAUGUCAUCGGACUAUCAAAAUUUUACAUGUUUGGCUAUGGUGAAGAUCAUCUACGGCUGCCUCUGUUCUUCCCGACACCCUUGCCGUCUUGUCGUGGAAGUACCGGUUGAAGACGCAGUACGGAUCGAGCCGGAUCUUCUCGUCGCCACAACUGUCCUCAUCGCCGCUCACCUCUUUCUCCACCUUUGGUGGUAGUCCGGCCAUUCCCCAAAGGAGCCGAGCACCCUUUGUGCAGAUGCUACAGAGUCGCGGCGGACAAAUCCUUCUGUCGGUCAGGCGCUGUCCUCGCGCGAGCGGCGGAGUGCAACGCGAACCGCUAUUGCCUCCUCCACUCUGCACGGGACGACCCCCCAGUCGACGGAUCCGGACUGGUGAAGACAUUGUUGGGAUUGACUGGAAGCAAAGAAACCACUCAAGAUGAGGCUCGUCAUAGUAGAAAAUAACUUGCAUUAGUAGCAUCCAUAUGUUAUUAGUCCAUAUUAAUAACUUCAUAUUAAAUAAUAUUAUAUGUAUGAUAUUAUGCAAGUAUUUUUUUUGACCGGCUACUGUAGGGAANNNNNNNNNNNNNNNNNNNNNNNNNNNNNNNNNNNNNNNNNNNNNNNNNNNNNNNNNNNNNNNNNNNNNNNNNNNNNNNNNNNNNNNNNNNNNNNNNNNNGCAAGUAACAUACCGAAGGACAAAGGGAAUGACAUACGGGAUUAUACGAAUCCUUGGUACUGAGGUUCAAACAAUAAGAUCUUCGUAGAAUAUGUAGGAUCCAAUAUGGGCAUCCAGGUCCCGCUAUUGGAUAUUGACCGAGGAGUCUCUCGGGUCAUGUCUACAUAGUUCUCGAACCCGCAGGGUCUGCACACUUAAGGUUCGACGUUGUUUUAUGCGUAUAUGAGUUAUAUGGUUGGUUACCGAAUGUUGUUCGGAGUCCCGGAUGAGAUCACGGACAUCACGAGGGUUUCCGGAAUGGUCCGGAAACGAAGAUUGAUAUAUAGGAUGACCUCAUUUGAUUACCGGAAGGUUUUCGGAGUUACCGGGAAUGUACCGGGAAUGACGAAUGGGUUCCGGGGGUUCACCGGGGGGGGGGGCAACCCACCCCGGGGAAGCCCAUAGGACAUAAGGGUGGCGCACCAGCCCUUAGUGGGCUGGUGGGACAGCCCAAAAGGGCUCUAUGCGCCAAGGAUAAGAAAUCAAAGGNNNNNNNNNNNNNNNNNNNNNNNNNNNNNNNNNNNNNNNNNNNNNNNNNNNNNNNNNNNNNNNNNNNNNNNNNNNNNNNNNNNNNNNNNNNNNNNNNNNNGACGUUGUUGGGCCUCCAAGUGCAGAGGGUUGUAGGACAGUAGCAAUUUUCCCUCAAGUGGGUGACCUAAGGUUUAUCAAUCCGUGGGAGGCGUAGGAUGAAGAUGGUCUCUCUCAAGCAACCCUGCAACCAAAUAACAAAGAGUCUCUUGUGUCCCCAACACACCCAAUACAAUGGUAAGUUGUAUAGGUGCACUAGUUCGGUGAAGAGAUGGUGAUACAAGUGCAAUAUGGAUGGUAGAUAUAGCUUUUUGUAAUCUGAAAUUACAAAAACAGCAACGUAACAAAUGGUAAAAGUGAGCACGAACGGUAUUGCAAUGCGUGGAAACAAGGCCUAGGGUUCAUACUUUCACUAGUGAAGUUCUCUCAACAAUGAUAACAUAAUUGGAUCAUAUAACUAGCCCUCAACAUGCAACAAAGAGUCACUCCAAAGUCACUAAUAGCGGGGAACAAACGAAGAGAUUAUUGUCGGUUACGAAACCACCACAAAGUUAUUCUUUCUGAUCUAUCUAUUCAAGAGUCCGUAGUAAAAUAACACGAAGCUAUUCUUUCUGUUCGAUCCAUCAUAGAGUUCGUACUAGAAUAACACCUUAAGAUCCAUAUCAACUAAGACCCUAAUGUCACCUAGAUACUCCAUUGUCACCUCAAGUAUCCAUGGGCAUGAUUAUACGAUAUGCAUCACAUAAUCUCAGAAUCAUCUAUUCAACCAACACAUAGUACUUCAAAGAGUGCCCCAAAGUUUCUACCAGAGAGUCAAAACGUGUGCCAACCCCUGUGCAUAGGUUCCCAAUGUCACGAACCCGCAAGUUGGUCACCAAAAAAUACAUCAAGUACUCACAUGAAUCCACGUGUGCCAACCCAUAUGCAUAGGUUCCCAAUUGUCACAAACCCGCAAGUUGAUCACAGCAGAUAGACACGUGCAAGACAUACAUCAAGUGUUCUCAAAGACUCAAUCCGAUAAGAUAACUCCAAAGGAUAAACUCAAUUCAUUACAAGAAGGAGAGGGGGAAGAACAUCAUAAGAUCCAACUAUAGUAGCAAAGCCCAUGGUACAUUGAGACCAAGACAUCUCAAGAACACGAGAGAGAGAGAUCAAACACAUAGCUACUGGUACAUACCCUCAGCCCCGAGGGAGAACUACUCCCUCCUCGUCAUGGAGAUCGCCGAGAUGAUGAAGAUGGCCACCGAAGAUGGAUUGCCCCUCCGACAGGGUGCCAGAACAGGCUCCAGAUUGGUUUUUGGUGGCUACAGAGGCUUGCGGCGGCGCAACUCCUGAUCUAGGUUUCUUUUGGGGGGUUUCUGAAUUUAUAGGAAUUUAUGGCGGUGGAAUUACGUCGGUUGGGCCCACGAGGAGGUUACAAGCCUGGUCGGCACCACCUAGGGGGGUGGUGGCGGCGUCAGGGCUUGUGACUCCCUCGUGGCUCUUCUGGCCUUCUUCCAAAGCUUCGGGGGUCUCUUUCGGUCCAAAAAAAAGCAUCGUAAAGUUUCAUUCCAUUUGGAGUUCGUCUGAAAAUGGGCCAAAAACACGGAAACAACAGAAACUGGCACUCUGCAUUGAGUUAAUAGGUUAGUCCCAAAAAAGAUAUAAAAUAGCAUAUUCAUGCAUAUAAAACAUCCAAAGUUGACAAGAUAAUAGCAUGGAACCAUCAAAAAUUGUAGAUACGUUGGAGACGUAUCAGCCAUCACCUGUUCCCAGACGCUGCCGACGCCCUGAUAAUCCCCAAGUGCAAGGAAUCAUCGUAGCAAUUUCAAAAGGUGGAAAUGAUAAGUAUGGAGCGUCGAACCCACAAGGAGCUAAAGGUAAGAGCAAUAUUCUCUCAAGUUCUAUCUGCCACUGAUAUAACUCUACGUACGCCGAACGUUUGCUUCCAACUUGGAACGAGAAAUAAAACUACAUUGUGGGUAUGAAGAGAAUAGCUUUGCAUGACAUCGGAGAAAUAAAAUAUAAAAAUAGGUGUUGUUAUCAUAAAGUUAGAAUAUAUUACAAAUAGCGAGUGUGGAAUAGUGAUGGGUCGGUGUGCGGAAUUGUCCUAGGCAAUUGUUAACAAGAUCAGUAAUCAUUAUUGCAAUUUUAUAUGAGGGAGAGUUAUAAGCUAACAUACCUUCUCUACUUCGAUCAUAUGCACUUAUGAUUGGAACUCUAGCAAGCAUCCGCAACUACUAAAGAUCAUUAAGGUAAAACCGAACCAUAGCAUUAAAGCAUCAAGUCCCCUUUAUCGCAUUCGCAACAACCCACCUACUCGGGUUUAUGCUUCUGUCACUCAAACAACCCACUAUAAGCGAAUCAUGAACGUAUUACAACACCCUACAAAGGGAAUCCCUCAUGCUUGCUAGACACGGAGAGAACCAUAGGACAACACCAAUAAUAAAGCAUGCAAGUCAAACCAAUCUAGAUCAUCAAUCAACCCAUAAGACAAAGGGAAUCUACUCAAAACAUCAUAGGAUGGCAACACAUCAUUGGAUCAUAAUAUGUGGCAUAGAGAACCGUGUUCAAGUAGGUGAUUACAGCGGGGCGCGGGGGAGUGGAACGCUAAAAGAAGAUGGGGUUGGUGAUGAAGAAGGUGAUGUUGAUGAAUACGAUCACCGCGGCGAUGGUUCCCCCGGUGGCACUCCGGCACCACCGGGAGAGAGGGGGAGAGGGUCUCCGCCUUGUUCCUCCUCCUCCAUGGCCUCCCCCAAGGUGGGGAGAGGUUCUUCCUCUAGUCCUUGGCCUCCAUGGUGAUGAUGGCCCCUCCAUCUUCCUCCUCAAUGGUCUCCGGUGAUGGUGACCCUCUCCGACAGGGUGCCGAAGAGGGCCAAGACUGGGUUUUCAUGGCUCUGGAGGCUUGCGGCAGAGGAACUCCCGAUCUAAGUUUCUUUUCGGGGGUUUCUGUUUUUAUAAGAAUAUUUGGCGUUCGAACCACGUCAGGGGAGUGCUUGAGGGGCCCACAAGCCAAGGAGCGCACCCUAGGGGGGUGCCCUGGUGGCUUGUGGUUGCCUCGGGACUCCUCUCUGGUAUCCUUUUGCUCCAGUAUUUUUCAUAUUUACCAACAAUAUUCUCCGUAAUUUUUCAGCCCAUUCCGAGAACUUUUAUUUGGGCACAAAAACAACAACACGGUAGUUGUGCUGAAAAAAGCAUCAGUCCGGGUUAGUUAUAAUAAAAUCAUACAAAAACCAUAUAGAAUUAUUGUAAACAUGGCAUGAAUACUUCAUAAAUUAUAGAUACGUUGGAUACGUAUCAGCAUCCCCGACCUUUAUUCCUGCUCGUCCUCGAGUAGGUAAAUAAUAAAAGAAAUCAUUUAUGAAGUGUGAAUGCUAGCAUAGUGCAUAAAUUUGAUCAAUGAUAUAUCCAAACACUUUUUCUAGCAUCAUUACAUAUCAUACACAGUAGCUCAUCUCAUAAAACUUCUCAUGAUGAAGUAACAAGCUAUUCACGUGUUAAAAUGUAGACCAUAAAGUUUCUUGAAAACUAACAAAUUAUGCUUUCAGUCACCAAACAAUUGCAAUUCAUCUUAUUUUUGGGAAGGGUCUAUGUAAGAGAUUUUAUUUAGAAAAUUCCACAUACUCAACUAUCAUAUAGUCUUCCAUGAUUGUUGACGACACUCAAAGCAUAUUUUUAGAACAAAUAGCAUCCAUCGAACACAAAGAAAGACAGGGGCUUAAAGUUUUGCCUCCUAAUUUAUUUACCAUAUAGAUAAUUGUCAACAAUAAUAAUUCAUGAUCAAAUAUAUUUGUAUGGAUAUAUAUGUUUGCAUCUUUCCCCACCACAUGAUGCUUGCCAACUAAUACUUUGAGGUUGGAAUAAGAAGUUAACUCAACAAGAAUAGUAAAUAACAUGAAAGUAAAUAGAUUGGCCCUUGAUAACCCACAAGUGUAGGGGAUCGCAACAGUUUUCGAGGGUAGAGUAUUCAAUCCAAAUUUAUUGAUUCGACACAAGGGGAAGCAAAAGAAUAUUCUCAAGUAUUAGCAGCUGAGUUUGCCAAUUUCAACCACACCUGAAAGAUUAGUGUUUGCAAGCAAAGUAUAAGUAGCAAAGUGGUAUGAUAGCAACGGUGUCAGAAAAAGAUGUGUUGACGGCAGACUAUUCCUAACUUGUUGUAUCAAUGGCGCCAGUAAAUACCACGUGGAAGGGGGACUAUUCUUCCCCGGCAACGGCUCCAGAAAAGUCUUGCAACAAGUAGCAGCAAAGUAACAGCAGUAGUGACAGCAGUAGCAAGCAACAUCAACAACAUCAGUAGCAAGUAACAACAGAGUAACAGCAGUAGCGACAACAGUAGCAGCAAAGUAACGUAGCAAGGACAAGUAGUAAAAGAAUCGUAGGCAAUGGAUCGGUGAUGGAUGAUUAUACCGGAUGUGAUUCAUCAUGUAAUAGCUAUAACACGGAGAGAUAAGUAACUAGCUCCCGUUCGUCAAUCUAAUGUAGGAAUGUAUUCCGUAUGAAGUCAUACGUGCUUAGGGAAAAGAACUUGCAUGACAUCUAUUGUCCAUCCCUACCGUGGCAGUGGGGUCCUAAUGGAAACUACGGGAUAUUAAGGUUCUCCUUUUAGUAAAGAACCGGACCAACGCAUUAAAACUCGGUGAAUACAUGAACUCCUCAUACUAUGGUCAUCUCCGGGAGUGGUUCCGGCUAUUGUCACUCCAGGGUUGCCGGGUCAUAACACAUAGUAGGUGACUACAACAUGCUAGAUAGGAUCUAAAACACACAUAUAUUGGCGACAACAUAAUAGGUUCAGAUCUGAAAUCAUGGCACUCGGGCCCUAGUGACAAGCAUUAAGCAUGGCAAAGUAGUAGCAACAUCAAUCUCAGAACAUAGUGGAUACNAUCUCAGAACAUAGUGGAUACUAGGGAUCAAUCCCCGUCAAAACUAACUCGAUUACAUGAUAUAUCUCAUCCAACUCAUCACCGUCCAGCAAGCCUACGAUGAGAUUACUCACGAAUGGUGAAGAACAUCAUGGAAUUGUCGAUGGAGGAAGGUUGAUGAUGACGAUGGCGAUGAUUUCCCCUCUUUGGAGCCCCGAACGUACUCCAGAUCUGUCAUCUGGAUGAAGAACAGGAGGUGGCGGCGCCUCCGUAUCGUAGAACGCGAUGAAUCCUUCUCUCUGAUUUUUUCCGAGCGAGACGGAAUAAAUAGAGCUGAGUUUGGGGGCGGUGGUGCCACGUGGGUUCCACAAGGCCUCACGGCGCGGCCUAGGGGGGGGGGGGGGUCGCAGCCCACGGGCUUGUGGCCCACUGGCACACCCCCUCCGUUGGAUCUUUGCGCAGGUAUUUUUCAUUUAUUUUAGAAAAAUUCUCCGUAAAUUUUCAGGACAUUCCGAGAACUUUUAUUUCUGCACAAAAACAACACCAUGGCAAUUUUGUUGAAAACAACGUUAGUCCGGGUUAGUUCCAUUCAAAUCAUGCAAAUUAGAGUCCAAAACAAGGGCAAAAGAGUUCAGAAAAGUAUAUACAACGGAGACGUAUCAACUCCCCCAAGCUUAAAGCCUUGCUUGUCCUCAAGCAAUUCAGUUGACAAACUGAAAGAGACAAAAGAAAAACUUUGACGAACUCUGUUUGAUCUUGUUGUUGCAACUAUGUCUAACUCAUAACCAGAAUUUCAGCAAGAUCACAAGCAAACCACAUAAGCAAAUGACAUCUAGGUCUCACGAUAAACUCAUAUCAAUGGCAUAAUCAGCUAGGGAGCAAAUAAUAAUAAGCCUCAAAUGUCAACACUUCAAUCAAAACAACAUGAAGCAGUACGAAUAGAUGGUAUCUCGCUAGCUCUUUCGGAGACCGCAAAACAUAAAUGCAGAGCACCUUCAAAGACCAAGGGCUGACUAAACAUUGUAAUUCUAGCCAAUGAAGAUCGAGUCACAGUCAUACUCAACACAGUUAAAAGCAAAGCAUAAAAAUGACAAAGGUGCUCUCUAAUUGGGUCUUGUUGUAAGAGGAGGAUGACUCAACAGGAACAUAAAUAGACAUGCCCUUCGCAGAGGGAAGCAUUAAUUUGCACAGGUGCCAGAGCUCAAGCUUUUAAAACAGAGAUAAUAAUUUUGGGUGGCAUGCUUUCAUUGUCAACGCAAUGACUAAGAGUUCUCAACAUCUUCCACGCUACACAUGCUAUAGGCGGUCCCCAAACAGAAAAGUAAAGUUUUGACUCCCCCACCACCAAUCAAUCACACUCCACGGCUAGCCGAAUCCUCGAGUACUGUCCAUACCAACAUCAAUCCUGGGGGAGGUUUGUUUGCAAUUAUCUUUUCGAUUUGAGCAUGGACCUGGGAGUUCCAAUUACCGCCCCCUUUCUCGUGAAUGAUAGUGAAUAAACACAUAUCGAGGAUAACACGCCUAGCAUGGAAGAUACCAAUAGCCCCCUAUCACCACAUGAGCGGUUCGGGCAUGCAAAACAGAUUAUUUCUUGAAGGUUUAGAGAGUGGCACAUGCAAAUUUACUUGGAACAGCAGGUAGAUACCGCACAUAGGUAGGUAUGGUGGACUCAUAUGGAACAACGUUGGGUUUAUGGGGGUGGAUGCACAAGCAGUAUUCCCGCUCAGUACAAGUGAAGGCUAGCAAAAGACUGGGAAGCGACCAACUAGAGAGCGACAACAGUCAUCAAAAUGCAUUGAGAUUAACUAACAUUGAAUGCAAGCAUGAGUAGGACAUAAAUCACCAUGAACAUGAACAUCAUAGAGGCUAUGUUGAUUUUGUUUCAACUACAUGCGUGAACAUGCGCCAAGUCAAGCCACUUGAAACAUUCAAAGGAGGAUACCAUCCUAUCAUACUACAGCACAGUCAUCUCAACAUUCAUGUGGGCAUCCAAGACAAACCAUUAUAAGCUCCUAGCUAAGUAAGCAUGGCAUAAGCAACUAUGAUCUCUAAGUUGUCAUUGCAAACAUGUUUCUCUCACAACAAAGCUGAAUCAGGCAUGAUGGGCUAGUCAUAUUUACAAAAACAAAAUAGAUCGAGUUCAUACCAUCUUUUCCAGGCUCAGUCACUUCAUAUAUCGUCAUUUUUGACUUUCACUUGCACGACCGAAUGUUGUGAACAAUAAUAAGCGUGCUCGUGUAGUGGACUAAAGAUGGAAUCUGCAGGAAAACACAAAUGAGAAACACCUACUCCCCCAAGCUUAGGCUUUUGGCCUAAGUUGGUCUACUCCCAAGGAGGGAAAUAACCAGCUCCGGGGUACUCCGGAGUGGACUGAGGAUGCCACUGCUGUGUGAGCUCCUCUGGCUCCCACUGAUAAACUGGCGUCUGGUACUCGACUGCUAGCUCGGGCACGGGCACCUGUGGUUGGGCUAUGCCCCAAUAUGUGUAGAUGUCCAAGGGCAUAAUAAUGUACCUACCUGCAUGAAGAUUGAACAAAGAAGGAGCAAGCAAAGUAAUAGUCUCACGAGUACCCUGACUAAAUACCAGGUUAUAAAUCAUCCUUCUAUUUAUAUCUCUAUCAAAAAAGUCAUGGCGAACCAUGCUAUUGUAAUAUAGAUAUCUCUCAGGAAGAAGAAUCUCUUCUUCCUCGUCCAGUCUAAUAGGUAUCUCAAAAUGUAUAGCAAGACGAGUAGCAUAGAUACCUCCAUAGAUAACGCCUUUAGAACGGUUCGUGUUCAACCGUUGAGCUACUAUAGCGCCCAAGCUAUAAGUUUUAUCGUUAUAAAGGGCUUCGCGCAAGACCGCAAGAUCUGGGGAACUAAGUGACCCAGCUUUCCCACGGCCAAUCAAACAUUUUCCCACAAAUAAUGAGAAGUACCGAAGCACGGGAAAAUUAAUGCUAGUAGCUCUAGCGCAAGACACUCCUCUCUCCUCUCCUACAACAAUAGUAUCGAUGAAAGCUUCCAAGUCCCGUGGACGAGGUUCAUGAAUAUCCCCAACAUAAGGUAAUUUGCAAACAUUGCAAAAAUCUUGGUGUGACAUGCGCUGGGGGAUAUCAUAAAUUUUGAACUCAACCAUAGGAGGAUUCUUCCUCGGAUAGAAGUUAAAACUUUGUAUGAAGAUAUUAGUGAGGAGGAGGUAUUGCGGACACUUAUCUUCAACGAAGGCGGUAAGGCCUGCGUUAUCCACCAAGUGAUAAAAGUCCUCAUAAAUUCCAGCGGUGCGUAAGAACACAUCGCUUGGCCACUUGCACGCUCGAACUUCUGCGACUCGAGGGACCAGAUACUUGGGCUUCUUCUCACUCCCAUCAUCCUUGGGGUCACGGCUUGAAGAGCCUCUUAAGAACCUCCUCAUCUUUUCCCUUUUCUAUCUUUGAAAUUUUCUGAAAAUUUUAGUGAUUCUAAGGAAAAGUGAACAAGGCUCAAUGAAACUCAUAGCAACUACUCCAACAAAUGCCUAGAGGCCAUAUUACGCAUCAAAACUACUUGGGACCAGCUAGAAUUAGCAUGCAAAGCUCAAGAACAUGGUCACCAAGGCAGAAAAAAUACGCGGAGUAUAAGGCACUAGAGCAAAAAAUAAUUGGACCAAUGGAGGAGUCACUUACCAAGGAGUAAUUUCCCCAAAACAGUUCGGAGAACGGUGAUUUGAGCAAAGAGAUCGAAAAUCCCAACAAGAGGAGCGAGAACACGGGUUUGAGCUGCGGAACAAUUUUUUCUGGAGGUAGGAGAACCAGAUAAGAGCAAGAAUGAGUGGAGGGGGUGCCUGUGGGCCCCACAAGCCUGGGUGGUGCGCUCAGGGGGGGUGCCCGCGCCCCAAGCGCUUGUGGCCCACUCGUGCAGCCCCCCGACAAGCUCUUUGUCUCAGAAUUUUUCAAAAAUUCCAAAAAAAAUCAUACUUGAUUUUCAGGACGUUCGGAGUACUUUUAUUUUCAGGGUACUUUUCCACCGAGCGCUAAAACAGAAAACAGGGAAAACUAAACUAAAUCUAUCAUUUUUCUUCUAAGCAAUAGAAGGUGAAAGCUUGGAACAGAGGUUUGUGACUCCUCGAUUCAUCCAUCUCAUUGUCAUCAAAAGAAAUCUGUCAGUGAGGUUGAUCAAGCCUCUUUGACAAACUUUUUCGAAUCACAAAAGAUAAUGGAGAAUUUCCGAAUAAUCACUAGGUCACCUCAAUGGGGAUGUGUAUCUCCCCAACAAGCAAAUCAUACUUCAUCUUGACACGAGGUAUAGGGCAUUCAAAGAUCCCAAUAAAAAUUGAUGAAGUUUUUUCGAUAGCAUUGAUGCAAUGUACUCGAUAUUGUUUCUUCGGAAAGUGCACUGUAUGGUCAUUACCGUUGACAUGGGAAGUGACAUUGCCUUUGUUGCAAUCUAUAACAGCCCCUGCAUUGUUUAAAAACGGUCUUCCGAGGAUGACCGCCAUGGCAUCGUCCUCAGGAAUAUCCAAGAUAACAAAGUCUGUUAAGAUAGUGACGUUAGCAACCACAACAGGCAGAUCCUCGCAAAUGCCGAUAGGGAAAGCAGUUGAUUUGUCGGCCAUUUUGCAGAGAUUUCAGUGGGUGUCAACUUGUCCAGUUCAAGUCUACGAUAAAGAGAGAGAGGCAUAACACUAAUACCGGCUCCAAGGUCGCAUAACACUGGUCUAACGUACCUGCCUUUAAUGGAGCAAGGUAUAGUGGGCACACCGGGAUCACCUAGUUUCUUAGGAGUUCCACCCUUGAAGGUAUAAUUAACAAGCAUGGUGGAAAUCUCAACCUCAGGUAUCCUCCUCUUAUUAGUUACAAUAUCUUUCAUGUACUUAGAAUACGGAGACAUUUUGAGCAUAUCUGUCAAACGCAUUUGCAGAAAGUCAGGUCUGAUCAUUUCAACGAAUCACUCAAAAUCCUCAUCAUCCUUUUUCUUGGAUGGUUUUGGAGGAAAGGGCAUGGGUUUCUGAACCCAUGGCUCCCUUUCUUUACCAUGCUUCCUAGCAGCAAAGUCAUUCUUAUCAUAUCUUCUAUUCUUAGGCCGAGGGUUAUCAAGAUCAAUAGGUUCAAUCUCCACAUCCUUAUCAUUGCUAGGUUGAGCAUCUUCAUGAACAUCACUAUUGAUAUUAUCAUUAGGCUCAUGUUCAUCACCAGAUUGUGUUUCAGUGUCACAGACAGAGGCAUCGUUUGGACUCUCAGGUGUAGCAGCAACAGGGUUGCUAGCGUGCAGGUUCCUAUCAUCUUUCUUCUUCUUUCUAGGAUGACUAGGUGCAUCAGUGCUAACUCCUUGAGAAUCUUGUUCAAUUCUCUUCGGAUGACCCUCGGGAUACAAAGGUUACUGGGUCAUUCUACCGCCUCUAGUAACAACUCUAACGGAAUUUUCAUUCAACUCAUCGAGCAAGUCAUUUUGAGCUUUAAGUACUUGUUCUACUUGAGUAGUAACCAUACAGGCAUGUUUACUCAAAAGCUUAAGAUCAUUGACAUUUCUGUCCACACAAGCACUUAAAUGACUAAGCAUAUGAGCAUUCUGUUCCAAUUGUCUGCUAACAUAAUCAUUNNNNNNNNNNNNNNNNNNNNNNNNNNNNNNNNNNNNNNNNNNNNNNNNNNNNNNNNNNNNNNNNNNNNNNNNNNNNNNNNNNNNNNNNNNNNNNNNNNNNUAGGGCGAAUUCAAUAUCUUUCUUCAUAAAGGAACCAGCACAAGAAGUGUCGAGCAUGGAUUCAUCAUUACGAGAGAGCUGAGCAUAAAAAUUUUGAAUAAUAAUUUCUGUCGAGAGCUCGUAAUUGGGGAAUGAAUAUAAAAUUGGCUUAAGCCUCCCCCAAGNNNNNNNNNNNNNNNNNNNNNNNNNNNNNNNNNNNNNNNNNNNNNNNNNNNNNNNNNNNNNNNNNNNNNNNNNNNNNNNNNNNNNNNNNNNNNNNNNNNNNNNNNNNNNNNNNNNNNNNNNNNNNNNNNNNNNNNNNNNNNNNNNNNNNNNNNNNNNNNNNNNNNNNNNNNNNNNNNNNNNNNNNNNNNNNNNNNNNNCUCCCCCAAGCUUGAGAGAUUCUGUCUCCUUCACGAGGCCAAAAAUUAUAAAUAUAAUUUCGAUCAUCAUGAACCAGAUGCAUAGGAUAAAACUUCUGAUGAAAUUCCAAUUUCAAUCGGUGGUAAUUCCAUGAUCCAAUAUCAUCACAUAGCCUAUACCAUGUCAACACCCUUUCCUUAAAAAAUAAAGGAAAGACCUUCUUCUUGACGUCAUCCUCGGGCGGACCUGCAAGCUUUAAUAAUCCACAAACUUCAUCCACGUAGGUUAGAUGCAAAUCAGGAUGUAGUGUUCCAUCUCAUGCAUAAGGAUUAGCUAGUAUUUUUUCUAUCAUACCCGAAGGAAUUUCAUAAUAAAUAUGUUCAAUAUGUGCAGCAGGUUGAGGAGCAUCUCUUUUUGCUUCCGGUCGGGGUGAAGAUACCCCAAACAAGCCCCUCAAAGGAUUAUUUUCCAUAGCGACAAGUGAUAGUAAAUUUCAGCAGAAUAUAUAAUUUUUUCCUUACCAAGUUCCACUUACCAAAGGCGCUUCACUCCCCGGCAACGGCGCUAGAAAAGAGUCUUGAUGACCUACAAGUGUAGGGGAUCUAUCGUAAUCCUUUCUAUAAGUAAGAGUGUCGAACCCAACGAGGAGCAGAAGGAAAUGAAAAACAGUUUUCAGUAAGGUAUUCCCUGCAAGCAUUGAAAUUAUCGGUAAAAGAUAGUUUUGUGAUAAGGUAAUUCGUAAUGGGUAGCAAGUAAAAAAUGUAACAAUGGUGCAGCAAGGUGGUCCACUCCUUUUUGUAGCAAAGGACAAGCCUGAACAAACUCUUAUAUAAAGAAAACCGCUCCCGAGGACACAUGGGCAUUUAUGUCAAGCUAGUUUUCAUCAUGCUCAUAUGAUUCGCGUUCAUUACUUUUAUAAUUUGAUAUGUGGGUGGACCGGUGCUUGGAUGCUACAGCCCACUUUUGAUUAACCUCUCUCACAAGCAUACGCAACUACGAAAGAAGAAUUAAGAUAAAUCUAACCAUAAAAUGAAACAUAUGGAUCCAAAUCAGCCUCUUACGAAGCAGCACAUAAACUAGGGUUUAAGCUUCUGUCACUCUAGCAACCCAUCAUCUACUUUUUACUUCCCAAUGCCUUUACCUAGGCCCAAAUAAUGGUGAAGUGUCAUGUAGUCGAAGUUCACAUGACACCACUAGAGGAGAUACAAUAUACAUCUUAUCAAAAUAUCAAACGAAUACCAAAUUCACAUGAUUACUUAUAACAAGACUUAUCCCAUGUCCUCAGGAACAAAUGUAACUACUCACAAAGAAUAUUCAUGUUCAUAAUCAGAGGAGUAUUAAUAAUAAUUAAGGAUAUGAACAUAUAAUCUUCCACCAAAUAAGGCAACUGGCAUCAACUACAAAGAGUAAUCAACACUAUUAGCAACCCACAGGUACCAACCUGAGGUUUUGAGACAAAGAUCGAAUACAAGAGAUGAACUAGGGUUUGGAGAGGAGAUGGUGCUCAUGAAGAUGUUGAUGUACAUUGACCCUCUCUCGAUGAGAGGAUCGUUGGUGAUGACGCUGGCUUCGAUUUCCCCCUCCGUGAGGGAAGUUUUCUCGGUGGAAUAGCUCGGCUGGAGCUCUAGAUUGGUUCUAUUGCAAUUCUGCCUCGAGAUGGUGGCGCCUCGUCCCAAAAGCUCUGAUAUGAUUUUUUUUUCAUGUCAAAACCCUUCAUAUAGCAUAAGAUGGGCACAGGAGGUCUGCCAGGGGGGCCACAAGCCUGCAGGGCGCGACGAGGGGGUGCUAGGCUACGCCCCCUGGUUUGUGACCUCCUACUGGGUCCCCUCUGGUAUUUCUUUCGCCCAACAUUUUUAUAUCUUCCAAAACAAUUGUCCGUGACUUUUCAUGACUUUUGGAGGUGUGCAGAAUAGGUCUCUUAGAUUUGCUCCUUUUCCAGUCUGGAAUUCCAUCUGCCGGCAUUCUCCCUCUUCAUGUAAACCUUGUAAAAUAAGAGAGAAAAGGCAUAAGUAUUGUACCAUAAUGUGUAUUAACAGCCCAUAAUGCAAUAAAUAUUGAUAUAAACAUGAUGCAAAAUGGACGUUGAUACGUCUCAAACAUAUUGACAUUUCCAAACACUUUUGCUAUUGUUUUGGCCUCAUUCUUGCAUGAUUUGAAUGAAACUAACCCGGACUGACGUUGUUUUCAACAGAGCUGCUUGUACGGUUUUCUUGUGCGCAGGAAAAUGGAUAUUUAGACGUCAUGGAAAAUUCCUAUAAAAAUAGAGAAAAUCCACACACCGGGAAGAACCAUGGGCCGGAAGAUGGGCCAGAGGGGAGAUACACGCCCCCCAGGCGACUUGUGGGCGCGACCUGCCCCCUCGCCGCACCGGAAGGCCGGCUGGGUGGGGCCCACCCCCUCUGGUGCCCUACUUUGGCUCCUAUUUUUACCCAUGAUGCAGAUAUCCCAGAACAGAAGUCAUCUCGUAAGUUCUCGACGCGGAGCCGCCGCCACCCUCGGUCUUCUUCGGGAGAGCUAAUCUGGAGGUUGUUUUGGCCUUCGGAGAGGGGAAAUCGUCGCCAUCGUCAUCACCAUCACCACUCCCUCAUCCUCCCAUGGCUUCCCCCAUCAUGUGCGAGUAAUUCUCUGCUGUAGGUGAAGGGGAUGGUACGGAUUGGAUGAGUUAUAUCAUGUAAUAGUUCGCCGGAUUGUUGGGGGCAUGUUGCCUAUCAUCUACUAUGGUGUUUAUCAUCUUUUCUACUACUUGUUACUCUUAAUGCUUGUCACUUUGGGACCGAGUGCCAUGAUUUCAUAUCUUAAUUCAUUAUGUUUUCAUGAAUAUAUUUGUGUUCUAGAUCCUAUCUAUGAGUAGUAUGCACCUAUUAUAGUCCGGAAUCGGCGAUCCCAAUGGUGACAGCUUGGGACACCAAAGGGGAUAGACUAUAGUAUGAGGAUUCAAUGUAUUCACUGAUUGUUAAUGCUUUGUUCCGGUGCUCUUUGACAGGAGCACCUUAAUCUCCAUAAGUUCCUUUUGGCCCCGUUGAUAGCGGGAUGGUAGGACAAAAUAUGUUCUGCAAGUUCUUAUUGCAAGCACACACGACUACCUAAGGAUACAUGCCUAAUGUUUGAUAUAUGCCUAGAUGAUCAUUACUUUUCUAUGUGCCUUGCCCCCAAGUUAAAUACAUGAUAUCUCUCAUCCAUGACCAACCAUCCAUCUCCCUAUCCUACAGUGUUUUAAUCCCGCUGGUCACAAGUCACUUUACUUUCCCUGUUUUACUUUCGUUGCUUUAUCACUAUUAUUUCCGUUGCCACCAUCACUUCCAUAUCACCGUUGCUAUUAAUAUUUCAUUGUCAAGCGAGUAUCUUUCAGGUGCGGUUGAAUUGACAACUCAACUAUUAAAGCUUAUAAAUAUUUUUGGCUCCCCUUGUGUCAAAUCAAUAAAUUUGCUUAUCUUACCCGUGAAGACUGUUGUGAUCCCCUACACUUGUGGGUUAUCAAGACCAUUUUCUGGCGUCGUUGCCAGGGAGCAUAGCUUUAUUUACAAGUCUACUUCGAGUUAUUUUGCUUGCUGCGAUUUAUUCACUAUGGGUAAGAAACGAGACCCCAAGGUUCCAAUUUUACCAUCCACUACGAGAAAAGGUAUUGUUCUUAGCACUAGCGCUACGAUUGAUUCACCUUCCGUUAUGAGUAAGUUUGCUUCACCACCACCACAUGUUGCUUCUACCGAGUCUGUCACUAUGCCUGGUACAUUUGACGAUGCUGCUACUACUAUUGAUGAGCCUAGUUUACUUGGUUAUUUUAUUGAGUCUCAGAUUGCUAAGGCUGCAAAGCAGUCUGGAAUUGAACUUCCUGUUACACGCUACCCCAUUGGUAGAUCUUUAGGUUACCCACACUUGAGUGGUCUCAAGGAAAAAAUUCUUGAUCAUGAUUAUAUUGAACUUGAUGAUGAUUUAUGCAGGGAACUUACCGAGUGUGCUCACUCUGACCCUACUUCUGUUAAGAAGUUGCUUGAAAAGCAUUCUAUGAAGAACAAAUUUACUCCUGAUCCUAAAUUUUCGUCAUCUCCUAUUUGCAUUGAGGAUGCUGAUUUUGAUUUCUCUAUUGAUCUUUCACUUAUCUCCAGAGUUGAAGCUAACCCCUUCUAUGGCAGAGAAAAUGACGAUGCUAUUGCACACCUUACCAAACUCACUGAGUUGGGUGGCUUAUUCACUAUAGAGGACAAGAAGAGAAACUAUUAUGUUACUAAGCUACUUCCUUUCUCUUUGAAGGAAGAUGCUAAAGCAUGGUAUGAUUCACUACCAUGUGGGUCCAUUACGAGUCCUCAAGAUUUAGCUCAAUCUUUUGUUGCUAAAUAUUUUCCUGCCCAUAAGGAACAUGCUGCUUUACAAAGAAUAUAUAACUUUAAACAGUUGCAGGAUGAGCACCUCCCUAAAGCUUGGGGGAGGUACUGCACUUUACUCAAGGCUAGACCGGGACAUGGAGUCCCGAAGAAUGAAUUGCUUGAUAUAUUUUAUCCUGGUCUAACCGAUGAAUCUAGAACCUAUCUGGAUAGUUGUGCUGGUUGUGUUUUCAGGGAAAGAACACCUGAGAUGCUGAAGAAUUAAUGGGUAAGAUAGCUAAGAAUCAUGAUGAUUGGUACAUUAUUGAACCACCUCCAUCACCAAAGAAGAGGGGUAUGCUUUUCUCGAGCCCCGAAGUUAUGCAAGAAGCCAAGAAGUCUAUGAAUGAGAGAGGUAUUCAAACUGAAGAUGUGAAGAAUCUACCUCCUAUUAAGAAAUUAUGUGAGCCUACCACUCACCGACCUAUGGUAGAGGUACACUCUAUUUUAGAAUUCAAUGCAAGUGACAUCCCUCAUGGUAAGCCCCUUGAUCAAUGUUUAGAUGAGCUUGAUAAUUGUAUUGUCAAGCAAAAUCACUUUAAUGAGAGGAUUCAAAGCCAAUUUCAUGAUAAUUCCCUUGCUAUCAAAAGUUUGCUUGAUGUUUUAAGUAGAACUGUUAAUGAUGUUAAACGUCAUGUUAAGCAUUUUUCAUAUGGUUCAAACUCAGCUUGAACAAAUUUCUAAUGUGCAAAAAGAUUUGCUUGCUAACAAUAUCAAACAAGUUGAUGCGCAAGCAUAUGGUAUAAAGACCCGAGGUGGUACACACACCCAUGACCCCCUCUAUCCGGAGGGGCAUCCAAAGAGGAUCGAGCAAGAUUCUCAAUUGCAAGAAGAAGACAUUGUCAGCUCCCCGAAGAAGAAGAAGAAACACAAGGAAGCUGACAACUCCAAUGAUCCCAUAAUUGAUGAAGAACCUAUUAUUGACCCUAAUAGUAUAUCUAUUUCCGAUGCUAAAACUAAAGAUGGUGCUAAACCUGAUAAAGAUAAUGAGAAGAUUGAUCCUCCUGAGAUACGAGAAUAAGAAGCACCCGACAAGCGCAAGAGAUAUACUCGAGAAGAUUUUGGUGCAAGAAAACAUGGGAAGGAAAGAGAACCGUGGGUACAGAAAUCAAUGCCCUUCCCAGGUAAGUCUUUCAAAACCAAAAAGAAGAGCAUUACAAUAAAUUUUGUGAAUGGAUGAAACCUCUUUUUCUUCAAAUUCCUUUGACCGAUGCUAUUAAGUUGCCUCCGUACUCGAGGUAUAUGAAAGAUAUUGUUACUAACAAAACAAAAGUUCCUAAUGAGGCAAUAUCCACUAUGGUUGCUAAUUUCUUUCAGUGGCAAGAUUUCCGAGAAGCUUGGUGAUCCAGGUAUACCCACCAUUCCUUGCUCCAUAAAAAUAAUUAUGUCAGAAUUGCUUUAUGUGAUCUUGGUGCAGGAGUGAGUGUUAUGCCUUUCUCUCUUUACAAAAGGCUUUGUCUAGAUAAACUAAUCCCUAGAGAUAUCUCUCUUCAAAUGGCUGAUAAGUCAACAAACGUUCCCGUAGGUAUUUGUGAGGAUGUUCCCGUUGAAGUUGCUAAUUGCUUGAUCCUUACUAACUUUGUUGUGCUUGACAUGCCUGAGGAUGGGAGCAUGUCUAUUAUUCUUGGUAGACCUUUUCUUAACACCGCAGGUGCUAUUAUUGAUUGCAAUAAAGGAUAGGUGACCUUCAGUGUUAAUGAGAAGGAGCAUACGGUAUAUUUUCCGAAGAAGAUUGAUAAAAGGCAUGGCCUUAAUUCUAUUGAGAAUAUUGAGACCGUGAAGGUUGGAGAGUGGGAUUGUCCUCUACAUAUGCACCAAAAAUACAAAACCAUUAUGGUGGGGACAAUAUCCAUUGAAAUAAAGGUACCAUGAUUGCUUUAUAAGAAGUGAAACUUUUUGCUCAAAUAUAACACCUGUUUGGUAGUAAGACUUGAUCAACCUUACUAACAAAUAUGAUUUAUAUGAGUAAAAAGAGAAGCUUGUUAUGUUUUCAUUUCCUUUAUCUUUCAUCCUCUUUGUUGUACCAAAGCAUUAUGUUUUUGAAGCCUCAUAUGUUUAACCUUUGUUUUGAGCUUUCUGCAAAUUUUGCAGCUUUCGGUACUUCGAUUUUUUUUCAAAAGUGAAGUUUUCAGAAAAAUUCCAGAAAAAUUAAAUGAAAAAUUUCCAUGAAAAAAGAGACGCAGGGGCACCUGGAGACAGCCAGGGGGGCCACCCUUGGUCCAGGCGGCCAGCAGGCGCGACCUGCCCCCUGGUCGCGCCCACAAGUUGUCUGGGCCCACGUGGUCCCCUUUCCAGGUACUUCUUCUUCCCUUCUCUCUUUCUCACUCCUAAAAUCCCGAUUUUUCUCCUGGAGCUCGAGUUCUUGCUGCUCUUGGUGGCAAAUUUUGAUCUGUCUCUACAGCCCAUCAUUUGCAUUGAGAAUUUGGGCAUUUGAUCCUUGGUAUGUGACUCCUCCACUCCUCCAAUUAAAAUUUUGAUUGGUGGUCUUAUUUGUGAGUAUUUAGUAGUUCUUGGUGCUAUUCAUAUGAGCUUGCAUGCAUGUUUAGAAAUUUAUUUGUGAUGUUUUGAUACAAGUUUAUGCAUCAGGGAAGUGAGUAGAAUAGUUUGAUCCAACUCAUUUUUGCUUAAAUCUCCAUUUUUGUGAUGAACCAAAAAAAUUAGAAAUGAGUUUGUUUGGAAAAGCAAAAGGAUGGCUUGGGAAGAAGAGACCUGAGCCUACUGAUAGACUAACUAGAGCUGCAGCUUCAUCCUCUACUGUGAGGACAAGUUACAAUGACGAUAUCGUGCCACCAGAGUUGUUCCACGAGACGGACACGGCACGUGCCAUGGCAUACCCGUGUUCAGAUUUCCUGAUGGCGGCAGGUAUUAAAGAUGAGUUUGAUAACCUCUGUGCAGCUGUAGGUUUGACACAUCUCGUAACACGACGUGUGCAACAAUAUCCAAAACUCACAUAUUAUUUUGUCAACUGGUUUAGAUAUAAUGAUAAAAUUUCCAUGAUUGAAUUCAUAUUAUAUGAGGAUGUCUUUACCAUGUCUUUGGCAGAAUUUUUUGAUGUUAUAGGUGUGCGGAAUGUCGGGAUGAUGACCAAAAUGAAUGUUCAUCCCUACGAGCUGAAAUCCCUAUUCACUUCCCUUUUGCAGUAAGGACCCGCGAGUAAUUCACUUGGGGGAGAUCUCCAGCAUCUUGUUUCCCCACAUCAAGUAUUUCGCAUACUAUAUUGCUCGAGGGGUGCUAGUUCGUGACAACACGAGUAACAUUUCGGAUCCGUACCUUGCUAUCUUGGCAUCCUCCCUCUUAGGAGAUUACACGUAUAAUAUUGGUGCGUUCAUUGUUCAUUGCCUCAUUGCUAACAGCGACAAAGGGCCUCACUUUGGUGGCAUUUAUGCCAGGCUUAUCCUCGAGCACCUCAGGCGCAAUGUGCGGACGAAUGAUACGCCUUUUUCAUUCAUAAGCUUUGAUAUUACCGCUAUGAAGAGGCAUGAGUUUGUUACUAGGACUUCCGAGUUUGGUAACCUUAUUUAUAUUAUGAGGUUUGGCGAGCUUACUACUCGCGAGAUCCGUCUACAUGCACCACUUUUGUUUGAUUACACUAGAAGGAAUGGAUAGUCCUUCACCUCGAUUGAGCUAGACGAGUUCGUGAUCCAGCAGCAGUUCCACAACCCCAUGGAGGGGAUUGUUCCCGAGGUAGAAGAGCCUUCUAAUUGGGAGGCCAGACGGGCAUCAGUGUAUGCGCCCGAGGCCUCGUAUCAUUCUUGGAGCCACCCAUACCACUCCGGAGCCAGAGGAAGCUCCUGGAGCCCUCAAUAGCCGAGCUCAACUUAGGCGAAAAGCCUAAGCUUGGUGGAGUACGUAUCCUUCUCACCUUUCAUUGUAUCAUCCGUAGUUUCCUUUUUAAUCUUUUCGGAGUUUUUGCCCGUUCUUCUUUGUUCUUUCUUUGCAAAAACAACAAAAAGAUUUCUCUUUUCUUUUGCUUUCGCUUAACCUUUGGAAAACCCAAAAAGAUUUCUUUUCUCUCUUUAGUUUGCUUUGUUUGCAGAGUUCAGCUCACGUCCAUGGUUGCAAUUGCACUUGAUUAUAUCUUUCUACGUUCGAUCGUGCAAGUGACGAUGCAAUAAUGAAGAAGAUCGACAGAAGGAAUGCAACAAGGAAAGUCGGUAUGAACUCUAUUUGUUUCUACUUUUGUACAUAUGCAUGUACUUAUGAUCUAGAGACUAGCUUAUAGCGACAUAGUACUAUGAUUACAAUGAUUCCCAGUAGUUCAUGCUUUCUUUGUGACUAGUCUCAAAUAGUUGGAGUGCAUAAUGUGUUAUUGAAAUGAUUAGCAUGCAUUGCAUUGUUCAUGGUUUGGCAUAUUGGAGUGGUAUUUCCCUUCGGAGAAUUUCUGGAUUGACUUGGCACAUGCUUACACAUGUUUAUGACUAGAAGUCUAUCAAGCCUUGAUGAUCUUUUUAUUUCAGAAUAGUUAAAUCGCUUUCAUGCCCGAUUCAAAGUUGAUUUGUCGCUCUACAUGAUUAUGACCAUUAUUGCUCUCUAGUUGGGCGCUUCCCCAUCUUUCGCUAGCCUUCACCUGUACUAAGCAGAUUGACUGCUUGUGCAUCCAAAAUGCUUGAAACCAGUUGCGCCAUAUGACUCCGCCAUACCUACCUAUAUGCGGUACUUAUGUGUCGUCCUAAAUAAAUUUGCAUGUGUCAUAUUCUUAACUUUCAAAUAAAUAUUUUGUUUUGUAUGCCCGAAUCACUCAUGUAGUGACUAGGGGCUAUCAGUAUCUUCCAUGCUACGUAGGUUAUUCUCAAGAUAUGUGUUGAUUCACUAUCAUUCACGAGAAAGUGGCUGGUAACCAGGAUGCCCAUUUCCAUGCUCAAAAGUCAAAUCAAAUUUAAUGAAACAAAACUCCCCCAAGAUUGUUGUUUGUAUGGACGGUACCCGUCGAUUCGUCCCGCCGUGGAGUGUGAUUGAUUGGUGGAGGGGGUAAAAACUUUACCAUUCUGUUUGGGAACCGCCUAUAAUCUAUUUAGCAUGGAAGAUAUUGAGAUCUCUUAGUUGUUAUGUUGACAAUGAAAACAUACCACCCAAAAUUUUGAUUUAUGUUUGUUUUAAAGCUCAAGCUUUGACACCUCUGCAAAUCAAUGCUUCCCUCUGUGAAGGGCCUGUCUAUUUUACUUUAUUGUUGAGUCAUCCUCUUCUCAUAAAAGCACCAACUAAGAGAGCAUAAUUGUCAUUCUCAGUGUAAUGUGCAUUGUCCCAAAGUACCACAUUGUCUUCUGUAUGAUUGUGAUAUUACUUAUUCUGAAAUAUUUAUUUCUAGUCUCCUUUAAGACUCCGGAGGAGCGUUUGCAUUUAUGUUCUGCUUCACUCAUGGGAGCUAGCGAGAUACCACUCUAGUAUAUCCAAGUCAUGUGCAUUGUGAUCUCGUUAUGAUUUUCAGUUACAUAUUAUUCAUUCUUAGUUGUUUGAAACUCUUCACAUGAUCGAAGGAUUGCUUCGUGCAUUGUCUUUGUAGCAUUGCUUCAAUACUUGUUGGGCUUGUUCGUAGUGCAUGCUUAUAUACAUCUGAUGAAGCAAAAGAGUUUGUCAAAGUUUUCUUUGUCGCGUUCAGUUUGUUGAACUGAAUUGCUUGAGGACAAGAAAUAUGCUAAGCUUGGGGGAGUUGAUACGCCUCAAACGUAUCGACUUUUCCAAACACUUUUGCUAUUGUUUUGGUCUCAUUCUUGCUUGAUUUGAAUGAAACUAACCCGGACUGACGUUGUUUUCAGCAGAGCUGCUUGUAUGGUUUACUUGUGCGCGGGAAAAUGGAUAUUUAGACGUCCCGGGAAAUUCCUAUAAAAAAUAGAGAAAAUCCACGCACCAGGAGGAACCAUGGGCCAGAAUAUGGGCUAGAGGGGAGCCACAGGGCCCCCAUGCGACUAUGGGUGCGGCCUGCCCCCUGGCCGCGCGGGAGGCCGCCUGGGUGGGGCUCACCCCCUCUGGUGCCCUACUUUGGCACCUAUUUUUACCCGUGUUGCAGAAAUACGAGAACAGAAGUCAUUUUGCAAAUUCUCGACGCGGAGCCGCCGCCACCCUCAGUUCUUCUUCGGGGGAGCUAAUUUGGAGGCUGUUUCGGCCUCCGGAGAGGGGAAAUCGUCGCCAUCGUCAUCACCAUCACCACUUCAUCAUCCUCCCAUGGCUUCCCCCAUCAUGUGUGAGUAAUUCCCUGCUGUAGGUGAAGGGGGUGGUAGGAAUUGGAUGAGUUAGAUCAUGUAAUAAUUCGUCGGAUUGUUGGGGGCAUGUUGCCUAUCAUCUAUUAUGGUGUUUAUCAUCUUUUCUACUACUUGUUACUCUUAAUGCUUGUCACUUUGGACCCGAGUGCCAUGAUUUCUCAUCUGAAUUUAUUAUGUUUUCAUGAAUAUAUUUUUGUUCUAGAUCCUAUCUCUGAGUAGUAUACACCUAUUAUAGUCCCAAACCGGCGAUCCCAAUGGUGACAGCUUGGGACACCAAAGGGGAUAUACUAUAGUUUGAGGAUUCCAUGUAUCCAUUGAUUGUUAAUGCUUUGUUCCGGUGCUCUUUGACAGGAGCACCUUAAUCUCCAUAAGUUCCUUUUGGCCCCGUUGAUAGUGGGAUGGUAGGACAAAAGAUGUUGUGCAAGUUCGUAUUGCAAGCACGCACGACUACCUCGAGAAACAUGCCUAAUGUUUGAUAUAUCCCUAGAUGAUCAUUACUUUUCUAUGUGCCUUCCCCCAAGUUAAAUACAUGAUAUCUCUCAUCCAUGACCAACCAUCAAUCUCCCUAGCCUAUAGUGUUUUAAUCACGCUGGUCACAAGUCACUUUACUUUCGCUGUUUUACUUUCGUUGAUUUGCCACUAUUAUUUAUGUUGCCACCAUCACUUUAAUAUCACCAUUGCUACUAAUAUUUCGUUGCCAAGCAAGUAUCUUUCAGGUGCGGUUGAAUUGACAACUCAACUGUUAAAGCUUAUAAAUAUUCUUUGGCUCCCCUUGUGUCGAAUCAAUAAAUUGGGUUAUCUUACCUUCGAAGACUGUUGCGAUCCCCUACACUUGUGGGUUAUCAGACGUAUCAAGGGGGGAGUUGUAGGCGUCGGGGAGGCGACGGUGGCAGCCAACACCGCACCCAUGUUGGCUCGGGUGAGUAGGAGGAGGACGGUGGGGCUAGGUGGGCUAGGCCGACAGUGUAACGAGUAGGCUUUAGUGUAGAGUACCGCUUGGACCCUUCCAUUUCUUUUUUUUCUCUUUGUUUUUUAUUUAAUUCCAAUAGUAAAUUACUUUUGUAAAAUAUAGUGUUUGACCCAAUCAUUAACUUGCAUUUUUAGGUUCAGCCACAAAAAUUUUGGGGCGCAUUUGUAAGUUUGGGAAUUUUCAUAAUUCAAAAAGGUAUUUAAGUAAUUGUUCCGGCCUCUCCUAUAAUUAUUUUGAGGCACCAAAUCACUUGAUAAAAUGUUGGUUCAUAUUUUAUAAUUACUAGGUGAAUAUUUGCCAAGCAACCAUGAUUUUAGUUUCAGGUUUGUCAAAAUAUUUAAUCCAUUUAUUAUUUUAAUUUUGAAUUUCAAAAGGGAAUUUCAAAUAAGAUAUGAUUCUAAGAUUGAUCAAGCAGUGUUUAGCAAACGCAUUAGCUUAAUCUUGGCCAUAACUGUAGCCUAAUUAUAGUGAUCACUAUAGCUUAAUCCAGGGGUGUCACGUAUACUUUUUGGGUAUUUAUUUACCAAUUUAUAUUAUUUUAGAGCACUAACCUAUUAACCCAGUGCCCACUGUGAGUUGUUGUUUUUUGUGUGUUUUUGGCUUUUCAGGUUUACGGUAGCAAACGAAGUCCAAUUGCCAUGAAACUUUUUAGUGAUUUUUUCUGGACCCAUUGGGGCGGACGCGCCCACAACUUAAAUUGAUGUAUCUUAUAUUUUGCCAAACAACAAAAUAUACUCUUGUCGCUGGUAUUAACAUGGCAUGAAAUUUCAAUUUUUCUCGAUAUAUCUAUUUAUUUGUACUGCUUUUCUCUACUUCAAUACCUGCUCGAUUUAGAUUGGGAAAAUCGUACAGAUUUUAUGAAACCUUAUCAUUUUUUUACUGAAUAUUUUGCAAACUAUCUCAGUUCCUUAAAGUCUACAGGUGGUCACGUACUGUGACUGAAAGUUUACAAGUAGUCAAGUAAUUUGACCAGCCAAGCCAAAAGAGAUGUGUACCAACCUCAUGAGAAUAAAUAAGUAUGUCAAACGGUGAGCACAUCAUACACCCUCAUUAGAAUAAAAAAGUACUAUGUCAAAGGGCACUCACUAGCUGGCACCGCCCAGCUCGAGGAGGCACGUCAAGGUCGCGUCCCAACACCUAGUUACCAAUACUAGUCGUCGACCCCGUGUAAUUGCACGGUCUAAUUAUUUAGACAAUAGCUUAGUGGACUUUUGUAAAUAUUGGUUAUACUUACAAAAAUAUAAAUGGAGAGGCUUUAUGUUGAGCUCUUCAAAAUGUACUUUUUUUAUGAUGAGGGGCGUUUUGGUAACGAUACAUUCAUAUAUAACAUUUACAAGAAGUUCUUCAUUUGUUAACUCUUCGAAGUAUAUGGAAAUUACAAAUAAAAUCAUGGAACAAACAAUAUUCCAAUAAAACUAAUAAAGAAAACUGCUCUUUACUUUCUUAAAUUUGGUGCAUAAUGAUAGUGCUAGAUAGAGUACGUAGUUUGGUGUAUAUAAUCAUGCCAUCAUUCCAAACAACUAAAAAAACAUGAGCACAUGAUACAUUGAAAAACAUAUGAUUUCUUCAUGUGUACUGAUCAAAAUAAAUUUACUUUUAUACAUCGUAGUACCCUUGAAAGUGGUAACUAUGAUAAGAAAUCAGGAUCGCAAAACUGAUACAGUAUUGUACGAAACCUAAUUCAAUUAUGAAAAGCUUUAGUACAGAAUAAGAAAUGUAAACAAAUCUUCUUGACAUAUGUCCACAUAUAUUACCUCUUCUCUGAAUCCACCAGCCAAUUAAAUUAUUUCUCUUCACUUAGAGAUCAAGUGGACUGUCAGAAUAAUAUAAUUAUUUCUGUAUAAAGGGCAUCUAUAAUGAAGUGAAAUUAGACUAGUAAUUUGAGAAAGAAUUUUGUUUUUUUUUAACAUGCACACGAACACAUCUAAUAUUUUAUUAGGGAAAUAAAAGAAUAUUUGGAUGUACCCAAUAUGUCUGGUAAGGAUAAAUGUCACCUUGCUUUAUAAUUUCAAGAAAGAACCGUCUGAAGUAGAGAUAGAGAAAAAUGUACCCAGAAGCAACUCCUCGAGAGAUAAAACUUGUUAUAUCCAGUUCUAUCAAGUGACUCCUAGUCUAGAUUUGCACUUUCUGGUGUGAUAUUGAUGAUUCCUGCCAAGAAACGUAAUUAGUAUAGUUGUGGAGUAAUUAUGAAGAGUGGAAAAGGUAAUUAGUAUUUAUUGGCUAGGCAUAUAAUUUUAUAUAGUGACGGAGGUGUAGUAAGAUAUUUUUUCGGCGAAAAGAGGUAACAACACAAUCAUAUUAGAACAGAGGUGAGAAAUAGGUAAUGCUGAGAAUGUUGCGAAGAACUGAAAUGUUUUAAUUCUGACAAAAACAUAUACCUCUCUUUGCAUCAAGAAUUAUAUUGCUGAGAUAAUAUAGAACAAUCGAACAUAUGAGAUAAGACGAUUAUCUGGCACAUGCCAGUGUGUCCGUGAUUUGUUUUCCUUUGGUCGAACAUAGAUGGCAUACUUGAGUAGUGCUGAUGAUGGAGACCAAAAGGCCAUAACUUGCGAAUAUAGUUAUACCAAAGGUUAUAAUUAUUAUCAUAUAAACAUUAGAUAAUUUUUCUAGUCUAAAUGACAAUUCUAAUUUUCGAUCUUGAGGAAAUGUAAUACAUGUUGAAGACUACUAUUCCUCAAUUAAUCUACAUCGACACUGAUAAAAUAUUAUAUUUGACAGCCUUUAUAGAGUGGACUCUGGAGACCCCAAAAAGACACACUAGUAGAAAUAAGGGCUUUCGUCCCAGCUCGAAAACACAUUAGUCCCGGUUCCUUUACGAACCGGGACUAAUGUUAGUAUUAGUCCCGGUUCGAGCGGCAAAGGCGCCGGUCGGGCAUUAGUCCCGGUUCAAAUGGGACCUUUAGUUCCGAUUCGUGUCUCGAACCGGGACUAAAGGGUUUGGAGGAUUUAGUCCCGGUUCGUGUCUUGGACCUUUAGUCCCGGUUCGUAUCUCGAACCGGGAGUAAAGGGUUUGGAUGAUUUAGUCCCGGUUGGUGUCUUGAACCGGGACUAAAGGUGUUCAGAUUUUUUUUGUGUUUUUAAAUUCUUGUUUGUAGUUUCUGUUUUAAAUUGCUUAUAUCUUUUAGGAUAUUUGAUGUUUUUUAUUGAUUCUUUUUGCAUUAGAUUCAAAAUUUUGUCUAGUUUCUGUUUGUGCCAUUAGUUUUCAAAUUUGAAUGGUUUAAAUUUGAAUUUGUUUAAAUUUGCUUCAAACCCAGUUUUUGAUUAACUUGAGUUUACAAAUAGUUUUUAAUUUAAUUCUUUUUGCUCCCACUCAUGUGUUAGAUUGUUAUCACAAUAAGAUUUAUUUGGUUAUUUUUAGAAUAAUUUAAAUUAGGAUUUUAAUUAAACAAAUAUUGUUUUGCUUAUAUAGUUGUUUUAGUCAUCUAGUUGUUGUUUUUUAUUAUGUUUAGUUAGUUCUUUCUGUAGAUUUUAACAUGUUGUAGUAUGGUGCAUAUUUAAUGCACAAAAAAAUCUAUAGUUCAAUUAAUUUUAAAAAAAUGCCUUUGUAGCAGAUGGGUUUUCGUCUGAAACCUUGAUACUUUGAGUUUUGUACAAAAUAAACAAAAAUGAUAAAAUCUUCAAAAAAUAAACAAAAAUGAUAAAAUCUUCAAACAAUAAAAUCCUUUGAGAUGUUGUUAGGUUUUAGUGUCUAGUCGGUAUAGAAAUUUUGAGAUAUGAAUUUUGACCAUUUUGGCAAAAAAAGGAAAAAAAUAAACGGCCAUAACUUUUGCAUACGAUGUCAAAACAAAUAAUAUAUCAAAAAAAACUAGAAAAUAUUGGUACUCGAUUUCACCCGGGCUUGCCCGAUGAAGUUUUCUCACAUGCUCAAAAUUCCAAAUGGAAAAAAAGUUAUUUCAAAAAGAAGUUUUUCCAAAAAAAAAAGAAAAAUAGUUUUAUUUAAAAAUAUUAGGUUGUUUUCAUUGAAAUUCACUAUUAUUGUUACUUAUUAAGUGUAUUUUAGUAAUUGUUUUUAAUUCAAAAAAUUAAAUCAUGUGACAUGACAUCAAGACCCAAGUUGUUUAGGAUUGAUAGCUUACUAUUGUCAGGAAAACAACAAGUGCACACUUGGCAACUAGGGGCGAUAGAACCAGAAAGUUAAGGUGCUCGGGCUGAAGCAGUGAAAGUAUGGGUGAUCGGCCGGGAAGUUAGACGAUUUGAAAUGAGUGAUCCACGCUAGAGCAGUGAGGAUGGGUGAUUAGAGAUUAAAUUGUCAAAUAAUUCAAAGAUUAGAAAAUUGGAAUAAAACAUAAAAAAUAUUCAAAAAUAAAAUUUGAAAAAAAUUAAAAAAAACUACAUUUUCGGGUCAAAAAAAACAGACGGAUCCUUUAGUCCCGGUUCGUAAGUAGAACCGGGACUAAGGGUGUGUUUGAUCCUCCCGCGGCGGCCGCCGGCCGCGUCGGCCGCCCAGAGUGGUUGCCACGCCCGCCCAUUGUUGGCGAUUGGCCACAUCCCUUUGUUUGGAGAAUAUUCCCAGCAUCUUGUUGACUCUAUCCCUCCUCGCCCCAGAUCCAAACUCAUGGCAACCACAGAAAAAACUGGUUAUCCCUGUCCGUGGGAGGAUAUCCCUCCAACCAAAUACACCCUAAAGAUACUCCCUCCGAGGCGGCCACGUGGAGCACCUUUGGUCCCGGCUUGGAACAGGGCCGGAACUAAAGGUUAGGCCUUUAGUUCCGCCCCUUUAGUCCCGGUUGAUGAACCGGGACUAAAGCCCCUUACGGGCCGGGACUAAAGGCCCUGUCACCACUAAUGACACUUACUAAACUAUCAAUCUAGCCGUACUUGAUCAAAUAGAAAGGAGCUAUAACUUGCACAUGGAGACAUGGCUAAACAGCAAGAUAGCAAUACACAGUACCCCUCACAGUUUGUACAUCCAGAAGACCUGAUCAAUUUUAACACGUACAUAUGAACAGGAAAUUCUACUAGUCUUGUAUCACACGUGAUAAAAAUCCUUUACUGAUAAUCAAUUUCCCCAUGCGCCUCACACCCUAAUUUUCUGCAAGACCAAGAAACUCAAUUGAUGCGAUACUGAAUAUCCCAAGAUCUACUUUUUAAAUCUUAUUCACAUUGUGCUAGACUCAUCUUGAAGACAUCAAUAGUUUUUUUUUUGCAGUGAUGAAGGCUUGAACAGUUUACUUAUUUACAACAGAUAAAAUAGACGGGCAAGGCUAGCAUUAGCAACGAUCCUGCGUAGCAGUAGCUAUAUACAAUCAAACCUAAACUAACAGCAUGAGUCGACUAAAAAAGUGCCAGUGUCCUCACCUGAGAUUAUGUAUAUUUUGCGUCAUCUCUGAUAAAGAAUUAUGAAUUAUGAUAGACCCGGAGUGUAUGGGGAUGUAUCUGCCUUGCCGAGUAGAAGCCUUCCAUAGACUAUGUAGCUCCACACCUGUAUUUGUAGUACGUCUCAUGUCAUGGCUCAUGGGGCAUGGGCCAUGGGCCAUGGAAUUCGCUUUCUACUGAAAGAUGUCUCUGUCGCUUCUGUCCAAGGCAUCACGACAGCUAUGGGCUCUUGCAUCGUAGCACGGGCCACUGCAUCACCCGCACCUUGAGCAAUGCUACAUCUACGUAAAUGUUUACGUAAGUUUACGGGAUAGUCUUGAUAGAUCCCGUGGAUCUUAGGCCAGAUGUGUUCGGUAUGAUGUGGAGAUUUAUUACCUUUUAGUUUGCUCGAUGAGCUCCCUCCGGUCGUCCAUCGUGAGGUGGUGACGACGGUGGGGAAGGAGAGAGAUGUAGCAGCGGCGGCGGUGGACUUCCCAUCGCUUCAGUGCAUCCCUCUAGAUCGGAUUAGGGUUAGAGAGUGGGGAACCAGUGGCGGCGGCGAACCUCGUGUCUUGUGCCAUGGUCCUCACCUCCUCUUUAUAGCACUGCGCGACAGGGGCCCACCAGCCUUACUUGGGCUGGACGCCCCCGAUCAGGGUGUGAGUCAAGGUCCAAUGGGCCGUUGGGCCCAUUGGGGAAAGAGAUCAACCUAACAUUCUCCCCAUUGAUCUCAUCAUAUACUUUUAACUUUACCCGUUUCGUAACAGAUCAAUACAUAGGGCAUGUUUCAUGUCACGGCUCAAUUGCUGAUGGACUCAGACAGCCACAAUGUACCUCUCUAUUUUGAGACAGAUUCUUUAACCUUGGGCCCUUUAUUGUCCGGAAAUUUUAGACUAUACCAAAAAAAACCAUGUCGAUUGUGUGUUCUCCGAACGCACUGGGCGGUAAGCCUUUGAUAAGAAGAUCUGCAAACACUUGUUUGUCGCUUUUAUGCUUUCAAGCAUUUUUCCAUAAUUCCGGACUUUCUCCUUCACAACACAUAACUCUUUGUCAGUGUGUUUGGCAUCAACACUUGACUCGUUGUGACAGGAGCGAAAGAAUUUAAAAUGGUUAUCGUUGUUGUCAACCAUUAUCAACUCCGGGUACAGGUAGCCUUAACCAUGUUGCCCGUCCCUCAGCCUCAUAUCAAGCUAUGACAUAUCAUUGCAUCAAAUUGAUGACAAUCGUUUUUACUCAUUUGGAGAUUUUCCACACAAAACACCGAGUAUGAAAGUUAGCGACAAUUGUGGAUUUCGCUAUACAUUUCACAAGUCCUCUUUUGUACUCACAAUGUUUUGAGAGCACUUAUUUCUUUCAUCAUGAGGCCGAUAUCUUUGACUCCAUUCCAUUGAUUUAUCUAUGGACUGGACAUUUCCAAAACAACCUGGAUAUAUACGUGAACUGUGUCAGGGUAAUAUCUUGAGCUUCCAACAACUGAAGCAUAUGGUACCAUAUCCGUUUACAAUCUUUCUUAUUAACUUUUGGAACACCAUAGUUUCCACUUCCAUUACCCAUGACUAUAAGAACAGGCAUAGGUUUUCUCGUAUGCAUACUUUAGAGAUCUUUCUUAGCAUGUUCAUGCGACAUUCCUAAUACCCCCUUUUAUUCUUUUGAACUUUGAGGACAAGAACUUCUUUUCUCCUCCUGCAGUAGAUUGACAUCACCACUAGCAAGUAGGACAUCAUCCACAUGCAUAGGAAUUGGGAAACGAAUUUCCCAUUCUAUGACUUUGCAUGAAUGCAAUUGUCCUCUCAUUUUCUUUGCACAAAAUCUUUCGAUUUAAGUCAUGUUUCACACAUUUACAUAUUUCCUUUCGAGUCACAUUUGCCUUGUAGACCCUUCAUAAAGUCUAUGUUAGNNNNNNNNNNNNNNNNNNNNNNNNNNNNNNNNNNNNNNNNNNNNNNNNNNNNNNNNNNNNNNNNNNNNNNNNNNNNNNNNNNNNNNNNNNNNNNNNNNNNNNNNNNNNNNNNNNNNNNNNNNNNNNNNNNNNNNNNNNNNNNNNNNNNNNNNNNNNNNNNNNNNNNNNNNNNNNNNNNNNNNNNNNNNNNNNNNNNNNNNNCUAACAUAGACUUUAUAGUAGUCACAAGUAUCUGAUUUUCACAUACCUAGAGAACAUUAAAAUCUCAGGUACUGGCACUUCUUUCAUAUGGGGUUGUCGUUGCUCUGUCAUUGCCAAGAGGGAAUUAAUUCUAUAGUCACCCAUUUCCAAAAGGCAAUAGGUUUUACAGGAACCUGUAUCACAAGAUCCCUUGUAGAGCUAACAACAGGUGUUGUAUAGGUCAUACAACAUGCUCCCCCAGAAUACUCCAUCUUCACACAAGAAAUGGCGUAUCUUUAAACUUUCUUCUUUAUGGCACUUUAAGCACCACCGUUGUAUUCCUUAGUCUGCUUUCGGAACUAUAAAAGAUCCGAAAAUACAAUUGUUUCUUUUCUUUAGGGGUAUCAUAAUGACGGUACUCCGAUGACUGUCGUACUCCCCUUGACAAUCACAUUCUUCAUUAAUGGAUCACUUUAGAUGCAUAAUGUGCAUCACAUCAUCUGAAGUACAGAGGAGUCAUGAAAUACACUACAAUGUAUUUCAUGUCUCUAUCUCCCCCUCGAAAUGUGGAAAGAACUUUUCUGCCACAAUUUUGAAACCCAUUCAUAGCUCUUUUGAAAUGAGGAAACUUCGAUUAUCUAGCUCAUUCAUCUUAUCACUUCAUGUAAAAUGAAGUUAUAAGUUAACUAGUAUGGGAGUACUUUUUCCUCAUUUCAUUUCGGAAACUCAAUAGAGUUCUUUAUAGUUGUCACUUUUGCAAGUUACACUUGCAUAUCAUUCUUGUCUUUAGGUUCGUCUGUUACUUUUAUCCUUUCUGGAUUUAGUGAUUGCAUAAUGACCGUUACACAUAAAGUGUACGGUCGAUAAUAGGAAAGCUUAAUAGCUACUCCAUACUUUUCUCCCAUAGUGGGACACAUUAACCGCACAUGAGUCAUCAUAACUUUCUCCUGUCAUAUAGGAUAAGACCUUUGCCAAAAUUUCUCCCGCCAUACACGGAUUGUUAACCUAAUACAAUGUCAACUUUACCCGGUGACGCAGGCAUUCUUCCCAGACUUUUCCCACCAUGCAGGUAAUUCCCUUUAAGGGACAUCAUAAAUGCCAUAAUUGGCUCUUUUGACUGCAUCAAAUUCAGAAAUAAAUCUGAAUUAUCUUUGACACACAUGUUUGAUCCGACGUUGGUCAAAUUAAACAUGCAUGUUGCUUGUUUCAUUUCAAUCAUGUUGACUGAAAAAAGGAGACUCCAUCAUAGAGAGUACAUGAAAGACAUUCGUCAACCAAGACUCUCAAUGAUCUAUCUCUUUUCUUUUCUUGAAUUAAUAUCCAAGAGUUCUUUUCUUUUGAAGCCAUUCUUUAGAGAGAAUUUAUUCCCUCAAGUUAUGACCUUUCUUUUCCAUCUUUCAGGUCACUAGUGCCCAAACAUUCGCUUUCAUGAGUGAAAGCUUGAAUAACUUUUAGUCUGAGAAAACAUAGCCAAUAAACAACGGUAAUGAGCAUUAAAAAUAACCCUACGUUGGUCUGAUUAAAAUCAUGCACAUUAAACCUUUUAAAACUUUCUGGAAUAUUCUAAAACACCGUUGUGGCAGAAUUAGAAUAAAACAUCAUUCUUCUGCAUUAAUUCCAUAUCAUCGUUGGGCAGAAAUGGAAAUAAUGCAUAUAACUCAUAAACAAUGUGAUGAUAGUAUUUCUAUUGAACAACUUUGCUAAUAAAUAAUCAUCAUCAUCAUUAACCAUAUUGCAGCAGAAAUAGAAAUAUGCAUUUCUUUAUCUCUACUCCGAAAAAUUGAUCACUUUGAUACAAAAUUUAUCAGAGAUUUAAGCUUUAAACAUAAGAUGACUCAUACAAUUAUGGUAUUGUUAUCAUCAACGUUGGUCACAAAAUAACAAUACCAUAUUUAACUUUAAAACAAACAUCACUCUAUUGUCAUAGCGGAAACUGUUUGAAUCCUAUUUCACCCACAAGGGAAAAACUUUGCUAAUAACAGUUCUUCUAAUUAAAUUUUCCCAUUGGUUUCAAUUUAAUUGGAGGAUUAAACAUUUACCUUGCAGCGGAAAAACGUGAAUAUAAAAUUCAUGCACCUUUACAGAAAAAUAUUCUGUUAAAAUCAAAAUUCAUGAACUUUAUUUUCCUUAUAUAAAAUCCAUGAACUUUUCAUUUUCUGAAAAAACUCUAUUUAUUUCCAGAAACAUCUACUUUUCUUUGGAGAAAUUUUUUGUCUUUUAUUCUGCACACACCUUUUAUUUAAUUUGCAUAAGGAUGCCUUUCCCUUUUCUAUUUUCUAAACAUAAUUUUCCAAGAAAAUUAUGCAUAGAAAAGACUAUUUUUCUACUUUACAGAAACUUUUCUUUUUCUGAAAAUUAUCUUUAAUUUUUCAGAAACUUUUCUGUUUUUCUUAUCAAGAAAAACUGUCAAUACUUUCUGGGCCGAAACGGGCCCAGUUACCCAGCAGCCGAGCGUGCUCCCGUGCAGCUCCUGACCUGGUGGGCCGCCGGCCUCAGCCGCCUCCCUUUUGGCCCCUUUGGCCCGAAAACUGGCCUGGGAGCGUGUCAUGUACCGCUGGCGGCGCUGGCCCGCUCUUUGCGGCCUAGUUGGCCCGGCUGGGCUAGGGUUAGGCACAGGAGCCAUCCUGGCCGCCCAUCUUGAUCCGACGGUCCCCCGUGGAGAUCGGGGAGACCAAAAACGAGACCGAGCCGGCAGGGGGAACCCUAGCGGUUCAUUCCCUCCCCCCAGCGCCGCUCAUCUGUGUCUCCCGAGCGCACAACCCCUUCCUGCCGCCGCGCCGUUUCGUUCGCCGCCGGUGGCCAGGCCACCGCUUCGCGCGCUCGCCUUUUCGUUUCCCUCCUUAUCUUGUGGCACAUCAAGAGUGAGGGACGCACCAUGCCUCAUGUCUUCCCUCGCGCGUUCUGUUACCGAACGGUGACAGCUCGGCCGCUCCGGCCACCAGCAGCGGUUUCCACCGCGCCGAGCGAGCCCUUUUCCCCUUCCUCUAUUCUUUCCUCCGGCGAGCGAGAGUGAGGGCAGCGAGGCGCGGCUGCGCGCCCCCUCUGCCCCCCGUUCCUAUUUUAGAUCCAGUGAUCUUUCUUUCAGCCACCACCGCCCCAGCGAGAAAGAGACGCGAGCAGAGCCUUCGUCUGCUUCUCUUCGCGCCCGACGACGGUUUCCAGAUGUGGCAGUGGCUGCGCCCCUGCCGACCCCUUCGCCGGUCGUGCGUUCCCCUUGCGGUGAGCGCGCCGCCGUCGAAUGGAUCGGUGGUGGUGCUUGUACUUUGCCCCGAAGGGUGGAUUUCUUUGCAUGUUUUUUUUGUUUGCUUUUUUCGGAUCCAAUCUGAUUCCUUUGUUGGUUUUCCUUUUGGAUCUAAUCAGAUCCAUACUUUUCCUCCAAGGAGGUUGGUUCUUCUUCCCCACACCUCGGCUUGCCGAUGCGUGCGGGGAUCGAGAGGAACAGGCGCGGCCGAGGCGGCACUCUUUGCCGGAGAGGACUCCGGUGAAACCUUUCUUUUCUUUGAUCUUUGCCCUUCUCGGGUUCAUAUCGGGGAGGGGGAAACUUUUCUUGUACAUGUUUCAACCGAAACUCAUCUAAAGCCUCGUGGCUCAUGAUACCAUUGAUAGAUCCCGUGGAUCUUAGGCUAGAUGUGUUCGGUAUGAUGUGGAGAUUUAUUACCUUUUAGUGUGCUCGAUGAGCUCCCUCCAGUCGUCCAUCGUGAGGUGGUGACAACGGUGGGGAAGGAGAGAGAUGUAGCAGCGGCGGCGGUGGACUUCCCAUCGCUUCAGUGCAUCCCUCUAGAUCGGAUUAGGGUUAGAGAGUGGGGAACCAGUGGCGGCGGCGAACCUCGUGUCUUGUGCCAUGGUCCCCACCUCCUCUUUAUAGCACUGCGCGACAGGGGACCACCAGGCUUACUUGGGCUGGACGCCCCCGAUCAGGGCGUGAGUCAAGGUCCAAUGGACCGUUGGGCCCAUUGGGGAAAGAGAUCAACCUAACAAGUCUCACUUGACAAUCAUUGAUUGGAUUAUGAGGAGGAUGAGGCCCACCCACCCCUGAAAAUCAGGGGGGCAUAUUUAGAUUAGUUGAAAGGUUUAGUAAACGUAAGUAAGAUUUAGUAGGUCUAGCAUUUUCGCCCGCACCAUACGUGAAGCCAUGCAUAAUCCUGCUUUUGAUCUCAUCUACCGCCAGGGAGAGUGAGGACGUUUCAGGAGGAGAAGAACACACCAUCAGCCACAGUCGGGCUAGUGCAUCUCCUACUCGAGCGAUGCGGACUUCACAUGGGAGAUGUGCUCCGAGAGAAAUGCCCAAUCGUGGGUGUGUGUCCAUGCCGCAUGGCACCUGGAAGCUAGGGCGCUGCUCCUGUAUGACUGGAAGAUGAGGAGGCCGAUGGAUGGAGACAUGCUGAAUAGUAAUCUCGUCCGCACCAGAUCAAGAAGGAAUCAACAAAGAAGUGGUUUGCAUAUGUACCUUGCAUCUGCACAGCACAAACCAAUCAGAGGCAUGGCUAGCUGCUUGGCCGAAUAAUAGGAGAUCGUUUGUUUUCUAGAAGAAAAAGAAGAGAGAUGGGUUUUCUGUAGGGAGAGAAAGGAGAGAGAUGGACGAUAGGAAUCGUGCCGCACAUGGCUACCCAAAUGUACGCGUUCAUGUAUUCAAGAAAAAAUAAAAAAAGGUAUGCGUUUAUCAUACAACUUUAGAUAGAUCAAUGGUUCUGCUAAAAGAAGAUACAUUAUGGGUUAAAAGAAACUAAUCCUAUUGAAAUAUUUGCACCAUAAAAACUUGGUCCCACCCGAGGAAGGGAUCUCCGAUGAAAAACUUUUUUAACCCUGUCGAAAGAUCUCCACCGUAAUAACUUGGUCCCACAAAAUAAACGGCUCCUAAUUUCUGAUUAACAUGAGAAUUUCUAGAGAGUCCAUAAUUAGUAUAAGUAUAAAUAUAGAUUAUGCAUGCCAUAAACUGAUGCUCAAUAAUAAAACCAACUGAUCCUCUUGUAAAAUUUGAAAGAUUUGUAGGCCAAAUCAUAUUAAAUCAAAGCAUAUUUCCACUCACCAAUUUUGCUAUGAAUUGAUCUAUGCGACGUAUUUUGAAUGGCGACAGGCAUAAUGUCUCAACUCCAUGCAAGCAUAAUACAGCUAUACGUAUAAAUUUCCACUAACACAUACCUUGUCUCACUCUCCAGUUGAACUAAGGACAAUGCUAGAAUACUGCACCAUAUUUUUUGAUACAUUCUUAGGGCGAUUGAUAAACAUUGGUGAUUACCAUAAUGUCCAUGUAAACUUCAUCCACCAAAGCCCGUAUAGCCGAAAUAAACAAAUGAAGUGAUAAAUCAAGUAUUUCGGCCCUUUGGAUCAACAACGAACUUAUAGAUAAUCAAAUGUAUAGUGAUUUGGUAAUACCCCUUCAUGAUAUAAGAAAUUAUAUUGCAUCCAUCAAUCUAAAUAAGCCCAUACAGGGUAACCGAUCAUACAUCUGACGUAAUUGUUUUUGCUUCCAUCCUACUAUUUCUUUCCUUUUGUAACACUUGUUGGAAUAGAAGGUUGCACAUCAUUUUUAUUUUUCAAAACCCAAGUCAUGUUGUUGUGUCUCAGCUCUUGUGCACUAAGCUUUUAUAGUUCCUUCAUUUUCCAAUACGUUAAGCCGAGUGGACGCCUCGACUGUGGUUUUUUUUUUCAAGCAAUGGUAACUCUUUUUUGGCCUUGUAUACUCUCAACUUCUUCCCUUCAGAUUUUGCACUUUAAUUUUAACAAUUGAUUGCUUCACUUCUUUACCUUUUGUAGCCAAUACUAACUCUUUAAGUGGUUCCUUAUAUUUUUCGACCAAACCUGAAUUGGCACUCUUGAGACCAUCUUUUUUACUCGAUAUACUUGUUUGAUCACCUUUUCUUUUUUCUUGAGCUCCGAAUUAUUGAAAUGAUUUUGAACAUAUGACUACUCAUUGAAUGUUAGUAUUCUUGGAGCUGUAUAAUAUUGGUGAUAUGGUUAUAAGAAGAUGGAGAAUGUGCCCUUGAAUCAUACCUAUCCCAUGAUGGAUACAGAUUUACGCGAGCAUAGGGAGGCAUCCACGACACUGGCAUUGGCGGCCCAAAUUAAGGAUAUGAAUAUGUUGCAUUGAAAUUCUCGCUUUCUCAAACCGAUCCUUGGUUCUGCGCCUAGGGGGUGAUCUUGAUGCUUUUACAUUAUUUAGUCGAUAAGCCCUUUUUAGCACAUUCAAUUCUUAUAUUUAAAGUUUUGAUUUUUUUUAUCCUUUUGCUUAUUUUGACCUUUUUUCUCCUUUCUUGCAUCAACCUUUGGAUUUUCUUGCUUCCCCCAGAGCUUGACGUCUUCAUUCCAGCUUCGGUGGAAUUCUUGUCGUCAAUAAUAUCUUCAAUGUGAAGUUGAACAAUCUCUUUAGAAAGCUUGAUUCCAUCCCCUGAAGUUUUUGCCUUCUCUUUAAAUGGAUGGUUUGAAGAAACCCAAGAAAAAACUUUUUGCCAUCAUGACCCAUCGGAAUAGACUGGUCAUCCCAUGUUCUUUCAACAAAUUUCAAUUUUCCUUUUUCAAUGGCCGAUUUAGCUAUUUGACGAAACAUGUUGCAAUCCUCAAAACUAUGUUUGAAUGAAUCGUGCAACUUACAAUACAUUUGUCCUUAGAUAGAUGGCUUUACAUGGUGACCAAGAAUUCUAAUAUAAUCAUUUUUAGCAACAAAUCAAAGAUUUGAUCACACAUCCUUGAGUUAAAUGUAAAUCUCUUAUUUUGCCGAUCUUUCUAUGAGAAUGGCUUUGGAAGUAAGAAAAUGAAUGGUUUCGAUUUGGCAUCUCCCCAUUCGCCUAUGAAUUUCUUUCGCAUUCUUUUUCCGAUGUCAUUGUGUAAGAAAUUAUACUAGCAUCGGUUUUCUCAAAAGUAUUUAACCUUGGCUUCAAGUUACUGGAAAGAAAAUAGCUAGAACAUACAUGCCUCAAUUGAGGCCAAGUGUAAGCCAAGUAUGAAACAAGCAAAGCUACCCAUGUAGAUAUAAACUCUAAAUAAAACAAAAGGGAAAGCUUCAAUUGUAAUAAUUUUUCACUAUCCGUCUUUUUGAAUGGUGCGAUAUGUUGACCAAUAUGCUUUGUCAUAAUAUGAUUGCUAACAAUAAAUUACCCUUAUUCAUUGGUCUCUCAGUAUUACUUAUGAAGAUUUUUCUAAUAGAUGCAUCAACAACAAAGUUAUGAACAAAUUGUAAUAGAGGUAAAUUACUUGCUAAACGUACCUCUUCGGUUAGGUUGGGAGAGAAUGAUGGUUGCAUGACAUGAAUAAUAUCAUGCUUUGUUUAUGGAUGGCUUCCCAACACCUCAAAUCCCUGAUUUUCUUGGUUUGUGCAUCAUUACAUUGAAGAUGUUUGUCAACUGAACUUUGUUCAGCUACUUGUUCUUGUCCUUGAAGCUCGUCAAUUUGUAUGGCACUAGACUCAUAGGGCAGGAAGUAGGUUCCAUUAACUUCAAAAUAAUCAAACAUGGUUACUAUUCUAUCGUUGCCAUGACCUUUCUCAAUAAUCCUUUCCUCUUUGGAUUUGAUGGAUUCAUAAUAUAUACUACUUGAUUUGGCUUUUUCAACCGAGCACUUUCAUGUUCAGAAUCAUCCUUAUUUUCAUUGAUUCUACAAACUCGCAAUAAUUAUUGAAAGGAUCGAUAUGGUUGACUAUAGGGGUGGCUAAUAGAUAACUAACAAUUUUUAAGCUUUACUUAAUCAAUUAAACUUUAGCAACAAAUAGGUUUUCUAAAUAUGCAACUAAGAGAAUGACCUAUAUGAUGCUAGCAACAUGAAUAACAAGUAAGUAAAUAAUGCAAGUAAGGGAAAGAAGUAACCACAAGUGGAACUGAUGAAGACGAGGAUGUGUUCCCAAAGUUCCUUCCCACAUGGGUAAGUACGUCUCCGUUGGAGCGGUGUAGUGGCACUAUGCUCCCCAAGAUGCCACUAAGACCACGAUAUUCUCCUCACUCCCUCACACAAUGCGAGGUGCCGUGAUUCCACUAGUGGUGCCCUUGAAGGUGGCGACCGAACCUUUACAAAAAUGGUUGGGACAAUCUCCACAGCUGAAUUGGAGGCUCCCAACGAUACCACGAAGCUUCACCACAAUGGAAUAUGGCUUCGAGGUGACCUCAACCGUCUAGGGUGCUAAAACACCCAUGAGUAACAAGAUCAGCGAGGGAUUAGUGGGGGGAUCAAAAAUUUCUUGGUGGAAGUGUAGAUCAAGGCCCUCUCAACCAGACCCUCGAGUAUCAAGAAGUUUUGUUGACUAGGGAGAGAGAUCGGGUGAAAAUGGAGGAACAAUGGAGCUUAGGGUUAGGAAAGGUGAGGUUGUUUGGGAAGAAGAACCCCUUUAUAUAGUGAGCGAAAGAACCUGCCCGUAACCCACCUGUUCUGCCCGUACAAGAGCGGUGCUACCGAUGAUAAGAGGUAGUAUCGCUCCAAAGUGAGCGGUACUACCGCUCACGCACAGGACAGCCGAUCCGAGUGAGCGGCAGGGGCUAGUAGUACUGCCGGAGUGGUACUACCGUUGCCAGAAGCGGUACUACCGCUCAUAAGAGUUAGUACUGCAUCCUACAUCCGCUCGGGGAUCAGUUGCGGUCCUAGCCCAGAAAAAAAAGGACUCCCGACAUGGUAGUAACAAGCGGUAAUACCGCCCAACGGGCGGUACUACCGCACAGUCCGACACAAAAAGUGUCGAGAUCCGCGGGCAGCAGUACUGGCCAACGGACCAAGCUCGGCAACAUCCGCCCUGGAGCGGUACUACCGCCAGCCUGUGUGGUACUACCGAUGACAAGAGGUAGUAGCGCUACCAGGAACGGUACUGCCGCUUGGGUAUUUAUGGACAUUGUUGGGCAAGGGAAGAAGCUCCAUUGAGGUGGGAAAGAUGUUGCGAGGGAAAGUGUACGUGAUGAUUCCACCCAGACCUUUCCGAGGCGGACCCUCUGUUAAUAGUAUGGCUUUUCGUGCGACUCAAGUCCACCGACAACGAAACGUAAGAGAGAAAGCCGUCUUCAUAUCAAUACACCGAGGGGCAUGCAUCGUCUUUGUGCCAAAUGAGGAAAUACCUGAAAGGCUUAGGGCACAUGAUUAGUCCGCAAAAGUAUUGUCAUCAAUCACCAAAACCACUAGGGUAGAAAUAUGCCCUUACACUUAUUUUAUUUCAUCCAAUUAUUUUCCUUCUUAUUUCUAACGGCGAGCGGCAAUUUUGGUUUUAAGUUUUUUCUCAAUUUCAGCCCGCUCAAGAUAUGAUUGCCUCCAAAUCUUUUAGAUUCUUUCGCAAUGACACACUCGUGUUGUCGAAAGUUGGCAAUUGUGUAGCGCGUGUAUAAUAUGACAUAGGACUAGGUGAAGGUGUAUGUAUUGUUGCAAAACCAUAUUUUUGCUCGCCAAUUUUAUCAUUUGGAAAAGAUUCAUCCUCUUAUAAAACUCUACUUUUAUUGCAUUAUAAUGAGGAACUAGCCCCUUAUCAUGCUCUUCAAGGCAAAGAGCACUUCCCUUGUUGUUUCAGGACGUGUCUCUUUUUAAUAUAGGUACUUCCAUCCCGGCCGUAAGGGAUUGCUCCACAAUACUUUUAGAUCUCGACAAUGCGAUGUUGCCAAAAUUGUGCAAUUGCGUAGAGGAUGCAUUAUAUGCUACAAUAUUAGAUGAUGUCAUGUGCACUCCUGCACAAUUUUCACUUAUUCAACUAUGACCAUGAAGCUUUGAAGUUGAAUUGUGAGCAUCUACAGUUGUGUACGGUGCCAAAAAAUUACUAACACAUGAGGUGUAGCAUAUGACGGUUGACAGUAACUGGUCGAAUAGUUAGUGGUAGCAUGGCCAAUUCUCCCAUCCAUCAGCAAUGGGGUAUUUAUUCCAGGCCGGCGGUAUCAUUGUUGAGCGAUCGCUCGGUUGAACUAGUACAUUGUAAAUUAGCUGUCCAAGAAUAAAAAGGUCAAACACUUUGUUGCAUGCUAUUGGAACUUCCUACACAAUGUGUUUCAAUUUGAUUGACCAAACUCAUCAUGUUGUUCAUCCGCAUAACGAUUUGUGGAGUUGCUGAUGGAUGAGAGUUUAAAUACAUAUGGUGCAUGUUACUAGUAUCAUAAGUUGAAGCACGUAUAUAACCUUGAAUUGGCCUUUGCAUGUGAUUAGAUGCAUGAUUGAAACAACUAGGGAUGGUCGAUAGAGUAUACUCAUUGAACGAUCUAGUAAUACCAUAUGAAUUAUUUGUAUGUACACUAGGGAAUUGGGUAUUCGUAUCACCUUUGUAGAUUUCAAACCCUAGAUGACGGUCUCUUCAUACCAAGAACGGGUUAGGGAUUGUUCGAAGUUUCGUCCCUAGCAGAGUCACCAAAAAGUGUGUUCGCACACGAACACAUUACUGUGCACCCUUACUGUCGAGGGUGACACAUUAAAGGAGACCAGUUUGAAAAAGCGGUUCACAAGUAGUCCGACGAGCACUUUUGUAGAUCCGAAACUCCCACAUGGCCGAAAGGGACCCCGUCAAAGCGCAUGGUGGCUAUGGGCUACAUUAGGUCGACCUGACCGCCCCUAGGGCCUUGUGGUUCGCCCAAUAGGAAGAACGAACAAAAGAACGAGGAAGAAGAAGAACUAGGGUUAAGGAGAAAAGUUAAAGGUAAAAAUUGGUAGAUUGAUUUUGCAGUUGUGUGUUGUUCAAUCGUCUGUCAUCUCUUAUCUAUUUAUGAGGCGAUUGGACUUUCCAUACAAGAAAAGGACAAAAAAAAUCCGUUUCAAAUAUCUAAAAUCCUAACCUAACUCGGACAGGAAUCUUUUGUAAUUUUCCGUCUUAAUUCGGGCCCUCCAAGUGGUUUCGUUCAGUCUCACCGAGUGGACGUUGCCAACUUUCUGUAAUCUUUUGUAUCUCACUCGAAAGUUCCAAAUGGGUUUCACUCGGUCUCACCGAGUGCACUGGAUGCUUCGUGAAUUUUUUUUCCAACACCAACUCGGUCUCACCGAGUCAAAUACACUCGGUCUGUCCAAAGUGACUCUGCGGUUUUUGUUCUUGACCUUAUUUUGACUCCACAGGUCGCAUACGAUCUAAGAUUAAGAUAAUUUUUCUAUCAAAUUCAACCAUUUCGAUGAGCCAGACAACUUUGAUGUUGAACACAUUUUCAUCAGAGUCCAUCUUAAUUAUGUUUCAUGACAUAUUAUAAUCUAAUAUCAACACGAGCAUGUGUAAAAUUUCAUAACUUUUGCAUCUGAACUCCAUUUUGGCCCAUCCUCGUAUCCAUCUUUGAUCUCCUUGAAUAGAACAGAACCAUCCGAAGGUGACUUUCAAUCGUAAGUUUGAAUUAAUUUUGACAUAGCUUAAGUUACUUUUAUGACUGUCACUUUUGAGCGCCGACAAUGGCCUAGUAUUUUCCUGGAGUUGUUGCCACUCUCUUAUACUUCUCCCGGAAGAGUUUUUCUGAUAGCCAUUCUGUCCAAAUCGUUCUCCAGGCUUUCUUCACUGUCUUAUUCUUUAAGAAGGCAAUGAGUUGUAUCUGUGAAAUUCUGUGUCAGCAAUUAGUUAUAUCUGUGAAAUUCUGUGUCAGCAGUGCUAUAUCGGGCUCUAGUGCGCCGCCCAUACUUGACAGCGAACCCAGCCUGUGCCAUGGUAUACCAUGAAGCGGAGACGUGCUCAUGGGCCCUGCGCUGAUCGCCGUCCAUAUCCGAUUCCAGCGAUUUGACACCGAAUCAGCCUACCUAUCUCACUGGGCAUGUUGGACCUCCGGUAGGCACACGUCGACAUUGCUUUCCAUAUAUUGUAUGUUGUCAUCCUCACACCACGAAAUUGUACUCUGCACAUUAGUUGAUGGGUAAUAAAGCAACGAAAAGGACAUGCACAACGCUGCACCCUCGCAGAUUCACCCAAAGGCUAGGUUGUUCACGCAUCAGGUGGACACGCUCUAGCUCUCGAACUUUCAGAAGACCAGAUGGUAUGUCAGUUGGCAAUCCUUUUCCCUUUCUGUCGUUUCUACGGACACUGUAACUUGCAUGGUUAAUUAUCUGCCGCGGUAUACCUUUAUUCUUGAGGUUGGUCCGUAGUAUGGGUUGGAUCAAUGGUGUUCCCAUUGCGUUGGUCAUAUUUCCGUUGUUCCUUUUCCUUCGUAGUACCUGCUCACGAAUAUACACGUCGAACAGAAUGCAUAAAACAGAAGCGCUUACAUCCAAGUUGGCAUAGAUGCACGUACUCCAGACUUAACUAAUCACACCAUCAUCACCAUGCAUAAAAGGGUUAUGCACUACCAGCUUUGAGCGGUGCCCAUGAUCCAUUGUCAUCGGCUUCCGCUUUUCAAAGUAUAAUAGACCAAACGGGAGAUCAGCUCAUAUGCCGUAAUUAUUGUUGCCCACGGAGCUGACAGCACAUCUUAGCUUCAUGUUAUCUGUAAAACUCUAACUCGUCUCGAACGUAGCUGUGAUGUCCUCUGUUUUCACGGCAUGCACGCAUGAAUAAGAAUAGAAUGUACUCCAUACGUGCUAGCUCGUUGUACAUCUAAUUAGUUUAUUACUAGACCACUCUUCGAUUAAAAAGUAACAUUAUCAGGCCCUUCCCGAUUGAUGAUCCUAGGCAGUAGCACUGGCGUAUUCCGCGUUCAUCUCACGCUAUGCACUAUGAUUAUCUCACGGCUCUCAAUCGGUAACAGUUUCCAGUAGUACCAAAUCAAGUCCAAUGUUCUGAACCUAACGCUAUUGUAGCUGCAAUGUUCGUAGCUAGCUAGUGUCCACGCACAUCAUUGCGCUCUUGCACACGAUUUGGUCAUGUGGGAAUCAUCAUCCUUAACCUGUGCACCUCAGUCCACUCAACGUAGCUGCAUUCAUUCAGGCUAAACACAGUAGGAGUAACUUAGAGCAUCUCUAACAAACCUCGUAAAAGGACACCACCCGUAUAAUUCUGACGAGUAUCUGGUUCUGGUGUGUUUUUCUUAUCAGGACAGACUCCAUAUCCCGUGCGCGGCCCCUAAAAAGUUUAGGGUGGCCUGAAAAAAGGCCCUCUCCAUCAUUAUUUAUGUGGUUUCAUUGUUCGGAUACGGGUCAAACCCUAUCCGCCUUCGCCGCCGCUCCACCACGAUUCCCCUCCCCCUUCGCCCCAAUUUCUCGUCAUCGACGAGCCUAAAAAAAGUCCUAGCGACCCUUCCCGACCCAUGAACGACUACGGAAGUGGUGGGGAUGACGCGAAGCGCCGCCGACGCCGCACGCAAACGGAAGGGGGGGAGUGGAUCAACUAUGGGAGCCGGCUACCACCGACGUUCGAACAUCGCGAGGUCGACGAGUACGAGCGAGAUCUCGCGGUCCACGUCCAAGGAGAUCUUCCUCGAGCAGGGUGUCGCGGCGUCGCACGCGCAAGCGUCCAAGGAGACGGACCUGAUCAUCGACCUCAACUCCGACGAGGACUGAGCACAUCUGGCUCCUCCGUCAUAUCAUGGCCGACGCAGGCUCGUGUACACUGCACGGCCCGCAGAUCUCCCCCUAUGUAGCACUAUGAUGUAGUAUGAUAAGCAACUUCUAUGAUGCAGUAUGAUAAUCAACUAUGUAUGAUGAAUGCCAUUGUAAGUUUCUCCCAUUAAUGUUUUUUCCCAAAUUUUAUAGUUUCAUAUACGGGGUCUUUAUCUGCAGCGCAUAAAUUAGCCCCGCAAAUCUGAUCUGUGGCGAACUAUAAACGUGCUUUUCGGGUCCAACUUUUACGGGGUCUGUUAUACAAGUACAUAACACACUUCAAGGCAGGUUUAUUUAUGUGGCAAGCAGUUUAUAAUGCAAGAGGUGAUUCUGCUAUAAUAAUACACUACCAAAAGAGUUGGGCGAGCUUUACUGCACCAUUAGUGUUGUUGGGUUUUCAUGUUUUAUUGUCUCAAUCUGUUUCAAAAUAUAAGGUCUAUUAGUUUUUUAAAAGUCGAACCUCUUUAAGUUUCAUCAAAUCUGCAGAGAAGUAUAUCAAAAUCCAUAAUAUGAAUUUGGUAUCACUAGAUUCAUCAUGAAAUAAAUUUCUAUAUUUUAUUUUAUUUUAUUUUGUAUUGUGGAUGUCGAUAAUUUUGGCUGUGAACUUGAUCAAAGUCAAAGAAAAUUGACUUUUCAAAAAACUAUUACACCUUAUAUUUUGGAAGUGAGGAAAUAUUUGUUUUCGCGAGUGGGAAAGAUGGUGGCGUGUGUUUUAUUUUAAUUUAUAUAAUGUGGUGUUUUGGUGUGUCUUUCGCACUGUGAUUCUUUGUUAUCUGCGAAUCAACUCAUAUUUAUGUGAGGAAUUUUUUUGCGUCACUGAGUGCAUGUACUAAAUUGGUUCUAGUGUAUCACAUGGUGGUGCUUCUUUUGUCUAGGUGAUGAGAGGAAGCGCGGAAUUGAUGUGUUUUAUAGGCUGGUUGUUGCUAAUUGAAUUGAAAAAUCGUUGGCCGGUAAAAUCAUGAAUCAAAUUCAAAACUGAAUACCUCAUUCGAAUGGAAGAGUUUCAAAUUUAGGAAGCAUGGUGAAUUAAUUGGAAUGAGAGAACUCCUUGAGAAAUUGAAUGAAAUCGGAUGACCCAAUUCUAAAUUGGGGACCUCAAUUGAUUAUGAGCGCUUCAAAAUCAGUGAGCCUCGUGUAUUAAAAGAAUUGAAUGAGUGAACUCCUUAAGAAAUUUUUGACCCUAUCAAAAUCGUAUGACCCAAUUUUAUUGAUUGCGAGGCCUUAAAAGUUAGGGAACAUAGUCUAUAGUACUAGAAAGACUGGACGUGAUUUGCUGCAUCGUUGGUGUUGUUGGGUUGUUAAAUAAUUACCCAUUCUGUUUCAAAAUAUAAGAUGUAUAUUAUUACGUUUUUGAAAAAUCAAACCUUUUAAGUUUGAUCAAUUUUGUAGAGAAAUAUGUCAAAUCACAUAAUAUUUAAUCAGUGUGAUUAGAUUCAUCAUGAAAUGAUUUUCUAUUAAAAAAUAAUAUUGUGGAUGUUGAUAUUUUUUGCUCUCGUUGUUGGUGAAAUUUGACUUUUCGAAAAACUAAUACCCCUUAUAAUUUGAAAUUGAUGGAAUUUACUUUGGCCGAUGAAGGAGAUGAUGGACUGAGUUUUAUUUUUAUUUAUAAUGCGUUGAUGUGAUGACCUUUCAUGGUGUGAUUAUGUGUUAUCUCGUAACUGAUACGUCUUCAACGUAUCGGUUAUUUAUGAAGUAUUCAUGUCAUGUUUGUCUAUGUUUACAACACUUUUAUAUGGUUUAGAUGCACUUUAUAUGAUUUAUUUAGAACUAACCCGGACUGACGCUAUUUUCUGCAGAAUUAUCGUGGGUUUUUUUGUGUGUGUUGAAAAUGAAAGUUCUCGGAAUCACCCAAAACAUUUAUAUAUUUUUUCUGGAGGAAAUAAGCAACAUUGGAGCGAAGAACUACCGGAGGGGAGCCACCUGUGGGCUACAAGCCAACAGGCCCCCACCCCCUAGGUCGUGUUGUGAUGGCUUGUGGGACCACAUGGCUCCGUUUGGCGUGAUUCCAACACUGAAAAAUCCUAUAUAUACUAAAACCUCCAGAAAUAAAGAAAGACCUUCUGCUCGGCUGGCACAACUCUCACUACUAGGAAAAACCUUAUAGGCAUUAUGUUGCAUAUUAUCGUUCAAAUUAUGUUGCAUAUUAUCGUUCAAAUCAUGCCUCUUUGUUUUCUUAAGUACAUUAUGUUGCAUAUUAUCGUUCAAAUCAACAACUCACGAUGCAGGUACCUAGAUCAGAGAUGGCGAAGGACUACUACGCCGUGUACGUUGGGAGGGUUCCAAGAGUCUACGACCACUGGCCAGCCGCUCAGGCCCAGGUGCACAGGUACCCGGGUGCUAGCCACAGAGGGUUCGACACCAGAGCCGAAGCGGAAAGUAGUUACUUGAGGUGGGGUACUACAUAGCCGCGCUCUUCAUCAUGCUGAUUGCUCUUCACUUCUACAUCAUGUUGUAGAUAGAGAUGAUGAAACUUGUGGGUGUGUCAUGACCAUGCAGUUGUACUUAUUCGAGACAUGACAUGAUCGCACUUAUGUAUUGCUAUUUUUGAGAUGAUGUGAUGAUAUUUGUGUUGAAUGAUGAUGAUGAUGAUGGUAUGACGAGACUACUGUAUGUCUAUGAUAUGUGAGAAUAGUGUAUGUUUAAUAUGAUGUGAUGAAACUAUUGUAUAGAGCAUGUAUAAAUACACCACAAAUACGUAGAGGGUGCAAAUCUGUGAAAGCAGAAAUACUUACCAGUAGCGCUUAAAAAUACUUACCAGUAGCGCGGCUUAGCAGCAACGCGCCAUAUGAACAAGCGCUACAACUAUAGUUAUCAGUAGCGCUGGACAAGGAAGCGCUACUACUAACACUACUUACCAGUAGCGCUGCCCAUACCAGCGCUACUACUAGGGUUUAGCUGUAGCCGAUAGCAGUAGCGCUUGGCCCAGCGCUACUACUAUGCAUAUUUCAAGCGCUACUACUAGGGUUUUCCCUAGUAGUGUCUGUGUAUCGACGAGAAACCAAUCUGAAUAGAAAAAACAGUAGCGAAAACAGGAGAGAAAUAGAGAGAGGGGUCCAAUCUUGGAGGGGCUUUCGCCCCUCCGGGAGCCAUGGUGGCCAAGGACCAGAGGGGAGAACCUCUCCCCAUCUAGGGAAAGGCCAUGAAGGAGGAAGCCUAAGGGGGAGACACUCUCCCCUCUGUUCCUGCAGCGCUGGACUGCCUUUGGAGGAACCAUCCCCGUGGUGAUCGUCUUCAUUAACAUCACCGUCUACAUCACCUUUGCUCAUCUAUCUAUGGCGGUUCACUCUCCCACAUCCCAUUGUAAUCCCCUACUUGAACCUGGUAUUUCACGCCACAUAUUAUUAAUCAAUGAUGUGUUUCCAUCCUAUGAUGUUUGAGUAGAUUUAUGUUGUCCUUUGGGUUGAUUGAUUUUUGUGUAUGUUUUAUUUUGUGUUGUCCUAUGGUGCCCCUCGUGUAGCACGCACGUGAGGGAAUUCUUGUUGUAGGGUUUGCAAUAUGUUCAUGAUUCGCUUAUAGUGGGUGGCUAGUGUGACAUGAGAUUACAACCGAGUAAGGAAGUUGUUUGCCUACGGGAGUAAAGGAGACUUGAUGUUUAAUAUUAUGGUUGGGUUUACCUUCAUGAUCUCUAGUAGUUGUCGAUGCUUGCUAUAGAUCAAGUCAUAAGUUCAUAUGAUCCAAGUACGGAAAGUAUGUUAGCUCAUGCCUCUCCCUCAUAUAAAAUUGUAAAAAAGAUUAUCGAUCUUUGUUAUCUAUUGCCUAGGAUUAUUCCGCACUCCAUACCAUCAUUCUUCCACACUAACUAUUUGUAAUAUAUUCUAAGUUUAUUUAAUGGAACAACUAUUUUCAUAUUUUUGUUCCCCAAUAUCAUGCAAAGUUACCCUCUUUAUACCCAAAAACAUACUUUUAAAUAGCGAAGAUAGCAUCCGCUAUUGCGUCCGCAACAGCGCUAGCGCCAUAGCGACCGCUAUCACUAAAAUUAAAUGGCAUUAGCUUUUCUUCAUGUUCUAGUGAUAUAAACAAGAAUUUAGUGUUUUUACAAAUCUGUUGCGCAGACAAAGCACCUGCAGUCUCGCGUGCUAUCCUCAUUCCACCAUGCUUAACCCAAUCCGCUACGAGUCCGCUAUCCGCUAUUUAAAACCAUGCCCACAACGCAAUUUUAUUUCUUGUUACUAGAUAGAAGCAAACGUUCGGUGUAUGUAGGGUUUGGUAAAUAGGACUUGAGAUAAUAUUGAUCUUACCUUUAGCUCCUUGUGGGUUCGAUACUUCAUACUUAGAAAUUCCUUGUGUAGAAAAUGCUAUGAUGAUUUCUUGCACUUGGGGAUUAUCAGUAGCCAACAUAUAUUUAUACAGGAAAUUUUAUGUGUCGGCAACUGCAUUGGUAUGUUGAUGUUACAUUAUCACAUGAUGGUGUUUAUUUUUAUGGGUGGUGGGAGGGUGCAUGGAAUUGACAUGUUUUUUAGGCCAGUGGUGCUCACUGAUUUGAAAAUCGAUGGUCCGACGAUAUCGCAAACCGAAUACAAAAUUGAAUACCUCAAUUAAAUGAAAGAUGAUGAGGAUAUGGCUACCUUGGGUACGAUAAAUAAUAUUUUAUAUUUGCAUAUUUAUGUGGUGAUUUAUUAUAAUAAUUAUGUAAUAAUUUAUUUGUGUUAUCCGGAACAAAAAUACUUCACCUAUUUUUACUCCAUGCCUAAAUGUAGAAUUAUCGAACGUUUGCACGAACCACAUGUGAAGAUAAAGAAAGAGGAAAUAAUUAGGUGUUGUUAAAGAAGUCGUUUCACAUCAAAGGAAAUUAUUAUGUGUUGUUCAAGAAGUUCUCUCACAUUACUUUUGGGCCAAGAGAAGAUAAAGUUCAAGUCUCUGACGUUCUUGACUCAGAUUCGGACUGCACACACAUACGUGUCUCAAAACAUCAACAACUUUUUCAUACGGACUCUGAAUUGGGUGAUUCUUUUUUUUGUAAAUUACAUUUUAUGUGCGUUCCAUCCCAAUUAGAAUCGCCUUAAAAUUCUUUCGGACCGUGGAGAUGUCGACGAAACAAUCUGACGUUGCACGAGAAUUCGAGUCAAACUACAAGUCCAAAGGUGUCGCAUCACCUCCACUUGGGCCCAUAGGCCUUGUACGACCUAUGGUUAGUUUUAGGCUGCCUUGGGUUGUCCUCCCACCUCCAUGACCGCCACCCCUUGAUCCUAUAUAAGUAGAUCUACCUAGUAUCUUUUUUAUGGGGAUUUGUUUAGUUAAAUUUAAUGGUAUUUCCGCGGCAGAUGCCAGGAGUGGCUUAGAAUGUGGUUUGGGGUCGAUGGACGCCAGCGACGUCUAGGAACGGGUGAUGGAGCGAGACAUAUGACAUCGAUCUAUCCAGGUUCAGGGUCCUCCGAUGAGGUAAAAAUCCAUAGUCCUGCCGGUUUGACUAUAUGAGAUCACAAUACAAUGGUCCUCCUUGAGCUAUUCGUGAGGAGGGACACGAAGCUCUUGCUGCCUCGGUGGUAUGUGUCUAAGGGUUCGCUAGUUUUCUUCUCCCAUUCUCUUAGGGGAUUGGGGUUCGGAUUUAUAGUGUAGCCAAAUGUAUGCAAUAAUGGGUAGAAAUGGGGUGCGGGGCCCGACUUUCAGCCUCUCUACCUGGCUGUGAGGCUCGCCGGCUGUCGGAUCUUGUCUGGCGCGGGUCCCGUCGGACGUGUGCUGCGGCGAAUAAUGCACCGGCCGCCAGGGAGUUGGUAGGGGUAGGCCCUAGCGGCCACCUCGCUCGGUCAGCCUCGGGCGUAACCGGUGGUGCUGUAGCCACGCCGAGCCUUGCAUGAUGACGCGUGUAGCUGCGCCGGCACUGUCAACAUGCACUGUAGCCAUGUGCGCCCCUGCGCUGAGGGUAUGGUCUUGUUCAUCGUACCUCAAUAUGACCGGAUGGGAUUGGCGCUGACCCACUUGCUGCUGCCAGCCGACCCGUCGUGCGCUGGCCAAACGAGCCGUCUGUGGCCAUCCGGCCAAGGGCGCCCAGCCAAAAGGGUCAAACGCCAAUAUUCGGCCCGUCACACGGUGGCUAGGCGAGCCGCGUGUAUCCAGCCGCCUAGGGGGGCAGACGGCCCGAAUGUCAAGCAGAGGGAUUCCCUCUGCUUUGGUAUACCCAAGGGCCAUAACCCCGUUAGUAGCCCGCAAAACCGUUGGGGUCUGGAGGCCUCCAGGCGAGGGGCCAGUGGUUUAUCCCUCCCCUCCGCCUGAAGGUGUUAUCGAAGUUGAUACGCCCGCCGGAGCCGGCGAGCGGGGACGCGUGUCCCCAGCCGGCUGUGGUGGCAGCCGGUUGUGUCUUAGUCGAACAUUGCGGCGCCUCGGAGGGUCGGAGGUAGAUAAGAGGCCCACCACCACGCGCGCGAUGGGACAUCGCUACAUGCCCGACCUGGCACACCUCAGCCCACGCGCGGUAUCAUUUGUGGCCGUGGACCGACGGUUGUGGUUACCCACGCUGUUUAAUGCGCGUGGGGAUCAUGUGUUAGUGGGGGACGUGGGCGUAACCGAUCGCACGCCCCCACGUCUCCCCCGAGGCUUUAAAAGGGGGGAGACCCGUUUCGCCAUUGCCUCCCCUCGUCCCACCUUCAUUUUUCCCUUGCGAUGGUGCUCUCCGUCGUCGUCCUUACUACUCACGCCUGGAGCACUCGCCGCUGCCGCCACCCCUCCUCGCGGGCGGAGCGCACACCGCCAUCUUUCCUCCAUCCUUCGCAUGUAGUGCCUCCCUGUGGUCGAUCCUAUCGGGAGUUGCAUCUCUCGCCUCCUUUUCUCCGCUUCAUUGCCGGCGACCGACGAGAUGGUCGGACCACCCGCCGGCUCGUGGGAGGGCUCGAUCAUGACGGAUGAACACAUCGACUACCUCCAGCGGACGCGGAAACUCCCGCCCGCGGAGCUUGAUACGUGUCCAACGUAUCUACAAUUUACGAAGUAUUCAUGACAUGUUUACAAUAAUUCUAUAUGAUUUUGGUAUGAUUUCAUUAGAACUAACCCGGCUCAUGUUGUUUUCAGUAGAGCUACCGUGGUGUUGUUUCUGUGCAAAAAUAAAAGUUCUCAGAAUAGGCUGAAAAUUUACGGAGAAUAUUUUUGGAAAAUAUGAAUAAAAUGGAGCAAAAAGAUAUCAGAGAGGAGUCCCAAGGCAGUGAUAAGCCACCAGGCCCCCCCCCUAGGGCACUCCCCUCGCUUAUAAGCCCCUCGAGCACUCCCCUGACGUGAUUCCAACGCCAAAUAUUCUUAUAAAUACAGAAACCCUCGAAAAGAAACCAAGAUCAGGAAUUCCGCCGUCGCAAGCCUCCACAGCCACGAAAAACCAAUCUUGUCCCUCUCUGGCACCCUGCCGGAGGGUGUCACCAUGACCGGAGACCAUGGACGAGGAAGACGGAGGGGCCAUAAUCACGAUGGAGGCCAAGGACCAGAGGGAGAACCUAUCCCCGCCUUGGGGCGGCCAUGGAGGAGUAGGCACAAGGGGGAGACCCUCUCCCCCUCUAUCAGGGUGGUCCCGGAGUGCCACCAGGACAACAAUCGCCGCAGUGAUCGUCUUCAUCAACAUCACCUUCUUCAUCACCAUCCUCAUGUUCUUUUAGCGGUCCACCCUCCCGCACCCCGUUGUAAUCUCCUACUUGAACAUGGUGCUUUAUGCCACAUAUUAUGAUCCAAUGAUGUGUUUCCGUCCUAUGAUGUUUUAAGUAGAUUCCCUUUGUCUCAUGGGCCGAUUGAUGAUCUAGAUUGGUUUGAGUUGCCUGCUUUAUUAUUGGUGAUGUCCUAUGGUGCUCUCCAUGUCGCGCAAGCGUGAAGGAUUCCCGUUGUACGGUGUUGCAAUACGUUCAUGAUUCACUUAUAGUGGGUUCUUGAGUGACAGAAGCAUAAACCCGAGUAGAUGGGUUAUUGCGUAUGGGAUAAAGGGGACUUGAUGCUUUAAUGAUAUGGUUGGGUUUUACAUUAAUGAUCUUUAGUACGAUUGCUUGCUAGAGUUCCAAUCAUAAGUGCAUAUGAUUCAAGUAGAUAAAACAUGUUAGCUUAUGCUUCUCCCUCAUAUAAAAUCGCAAUAAUAAUUAUCGAUCUUGUUAACAAUUGCCUCAGACAAUUCCGCACACCGACCCAUCCUCAUUCCACACUCACUAUUUGUAAUAUAUUCUAACUAUACGAUAACAGCACCUAUUUUUAUAUUUUAGUUCUUCGAUGUCAUGCAAAGUUAUUCUCUUCAUACCCACAAUGUAUUUUUAUUUCUCGUUCCUAGUUGGAAGCAAAUGUUUGGCAUACGUAGAGUUGUAUCAGUGGCAGAUAGGACUUGAGAGAAUAUUUCUCUUACCUUUAUCUCCUUGUGGGUUCGACACUCCAUACUUAUCACUUCCACCUUUGAAAAUUGCUACGAUGAUUCCUUGCACUUGGGGAUUAUUAAGCUCUUUUCUGGCGCCGUUGCCGGGGAGCAAUAGCGUGGGGUUGAUAUUCUUGUGUGUGCUUGUUUUCUUUCUUCACUAAGUAGGUUUUGUUUUCCAUUUUUUCUUUGUUUAGUUGUGGAUUAAAUAAAAAAUUACUUGCCUCUUAUAACUAAGAAUUUUUCAAAAAGAGAAGUGAUUGGAAGGUUGUGCAUUGGAGAAGUGACGGUCGACCUUGAGCACUUGUGUUCAUGAUCAUGGAAGCAAUGUAGAAUUUUUCAUGGAAGUUUAUCAAAAAUAAUUAUGCCCUUGUAUAUAUCCAUUGUAUUAUAAAAUAAUGUGCCAAGAUUUUCCUUUAGGAUGAUUGGAUUGCUUGUUUGGUGUGUUCAGUGCAAAAACAGAAAUUUUGGCUGUACUGCGUGAAUUUACGUUUUUUACUAGAAGGUCGCAAGUUUCUGAAUUUUUUACACAGUACUCCUAUGCAAAAAAAUUAUUUAUUCCUAAUUAUUCAGAAUUUUUUUAGUUACAUAAGUAUACGAAGUUUCCAGAUUGCUAAAAACUAUCUUGUUUUUGAUAGGUUCUGUAUUCUAUGCAUUGUUCUCUUAUUUUGAUGAAUCUAUGGGUAGUACCAGGGGGUACGAACCAUGGUGAAGUUGGACUACAGUAGAUAUAAUGUUAAUAUGAAUUUGGAAUGAGUUCACAAUAGUACUUAAGUAGUAUUUUUCUUUAUUAUACUAACGGAUCUCGCGAGGGUUUUGUUAAGUUUUGUGUGAAUGAAGUGUUCAAAGAUCGAGGAUGUAUCGAUAAAAGAAGAAUAUAGAGAGACAAUAGUUCAAGCUUGGGGAUGCCCAAGGCACCCCAAGUAAAUAUUUCAAGGAUUUUCAAGAAUAUAAGCUUGCGGAUGCCCCGGAAGGCAUCCCAUCUUUAUUCUUCAACAAUUAUCGGUAUACCUUGGUUUUUGUUUUGUUCACAUAAUAUGCUUCUUUAGUGUUUUUGUUCUCUUUUUAUGGACACUUCUAGUAUGAGAUAGUCCUUCAUUGAUUUAUAAAAUUCUUCAUGCUCUUCACUUAAAUAUUUUGAGUAUUUCUUUGUGGAAUGCUCUUUGUGUUUCACUUAAAUCGUUUGAGUAUGGCUCUGUAGAAUGCUCUUCGUACUUCACUUAAAUCUUUUGAGUAUAGCCUUAUAGAAUGCUUCGUGUGGUUCACUUAUAUAUUUUGAGCUUGGAUAUUGGUUGAUAUAUAUUAAUUGUAUAAUUCCCUAUGAACUUCACUUAUAUCUUUUAGAGUAUGAAUAAAAUCAUCAUCGGAAUUAGGCUUGGAAGGGAAUCAUUGAAAUAACCAUGCCUAACUAAAAGGCAUUAAAGAAAAGCGCUUGUUGGAAGACAACCCAACACUUUUACCUUCUGUUUUAAUGAGUUCACAAGAUUAAGCUACUGUAUUAAUCAUGUUUUGUGUCUUUUGUUGCUAUAAACUGCCAAGUAAAGCCUUUGGGAUGACUCACAAGAUGACUAGAAUUGAUGUUGAACCAAAACAGAAACUUUUGACUCCGGUACAGGAAUUUUUAUUUUUUACCGGAGCAUGAUAAUGAUCUUAAAUUUUUACAAAUUCUUUAUAUAUAAAUUAUUCUGGUUGUCCUAAUUUUUUCAGAAUUUUUAGAGACAGGUACGUAUGGCUAUACUACAGAUCUUCACAGACUGUUCUGUUUUUGACAGAUUCUAUUUUGCAUGCAUAGUAUGGUUAUUUUAGUGUUCCCAUAGCUUAUAUUCAGUAAUAUAAAUUAUGGUAAUGAUAGAAUAAAGUAGGUAUCAUGUGGUAACAAUUAUGAAUCUUGUCUUGACAGUACCUAAGUGAAUGAUCUAUCUUUUUUACACUAACCCUUCUCACGAAGUUCCGUUAAGUUUUGUGUGAUUGAAGUUUUCAAGUUUUGGGUGAGACACCGAUAUGAGGAGAACAAGGAGUGACAAGAACCUAAGAUUAGGGAUUCCCAAGGAACCCCCAAGGUAAUAUCCAUGGAAUACUCAAGUGCCUAAGCUUGAGGAUGCCCCGAAAGCAUCCCCUCUUUCGUCUCCAACGCUAUCGGUAAUCUUACUUAGAGCUAUAUUUUUAUUCAUCACAUAAUAUGAGUUUUUAUUGGAGCAUCAUUUUAUUUUGUUGAUUUAUGUUAGGUGCUAUAUAUAAAAAAAAUCAAUAAAAAAGUUUCAAGAAUUGCAUUAGGAUGCUUGCAUUGCAUGGUUUGAUGUGUGUUAUGUAAAAACAAAAACUCUUUAUGUAGUUUUUGAAUUUGCAUAUUUUACUAGAACAUGGAAAGUUUAUGAAAUUUUUACACAGUGUUAUCAUACAAAGUUUAUAGCAUGUCCUAAAUGUUCAUAAUUUUUUGAGUUACACAAGUACAAUGUUUUCAUAUAUUGCUACACACUGUUCUGUUUGGACAAAUUGUUGUUAUAGUUUUGUUAUCUACUUAUCCUAUAGUUUCCAUAGCCUAUAUUGGUAGAUAUAAAUUGUGGAAAUGAUAGUAAACAGUAGAUGAUGUUUGAAAAUUAUUAUACAACUUGUCUUGGCAGUAAAUGAAGAGUUGAUUUAUUAUUGUGUGGACUAACCUAUCUCACGAGUUCUUUUCGAGUUUUGUGUGGAUGAAGUUUUUGAGAAUAGGUGAAACCAUGAUAUGAGAGGAUUGAACGAGAUACGAAAGCUCAAUCUUGCGGAUGCACAAGGCACCCCAAGUAAAUAUUUCAAGGACUCUCAAGCAUCUAAUCUUGGGUAUGCUACGCAUCCCACCUCUCUUCGUCAACUAUCGGUUAGCCUAUGUUGAGCCUAAAUUUUUAUUCGUUCACAUGACACAUCCUAUUCUUGGAGUGUUAUUUUUCUUUUGCUUGAUGUUUAAAUAAAAUACUCAGAUCUGAAAAUCUUUAUUGAGGGAGAGGGUGAAAGUCCUCACAUAGCUACUUAAUUGUUUGACUACUCAUUCAUCUUCACUUAUAUGUUUUGGAGUAGUUUUGUCAUUUACUCUCGUGCUUCACGUAUAUCCUCUAAGUAAAUAGUUGAGUGAAUUGAAUAUCGUAAAUCUGAAAUUAUAUAUAUUUUAAAUUAUAGGUGGUAAAAUUUAUUGAACGUUAGCAAACAAUGCAUUGGCCACUUGAUCAAUUCAUGAAAUAAUAUUGAAGGAAGAGAGAGUCCACAUAUAAAUAUACUAUCUUGGACAUCUUCUAUGAUUGCGAGCCCCAUUAAUUAUUUUCAAAAUUCAUCAAAUUAGUUGAUGUUCGGCAAGGAAGACAACUUAAUGAGUUAUGUUUGGGUAUAUUUGCAUAGAAAUUAUAUUGUUAUGGAUCCUCCAACAUGUGGUGCUUGUUUAGAACCUUUUGCUAGCCAACACUGCGUACUAAGUAUAGAUACUACUUGUGCAUCCAAAAAUCCUUAAACCUAGUUUCUUGCCAAGAGAGUCCACUAUAUCGACCUAUAUGCCGUAUUUACCUGCCGUUCCAAGUAAAUUUGCAUGUGCCAAACUCUAAACCUUCAAAUAAUAUUAUGUUCUGUAUGCCCGAAUCGCUCAUGUAGUGACUAGGGGUUGUGAGUAUCUUCCAUGCUAGGUGGGUUAUUCUCAAGAUAUGUGUUGAUUCACUAUCAUUCACGAGAAAGUGGCUGGUAUUCGGGAUGCUGAGUUCCAUGCUCAAAAAUCAAAUCAAAAUAUAAGGAAACAAAACUCCCCCAAGAUUGUUGUUUGUAUGGUUGGUACCCGUGGAUUCGGCUCACUAUGGAGUGUGAUUGAUUUGUGAAGGGGGAGUAAAAACUUUACCAUUCUGUUUGGGAACCUCCUAUAAUGUAUCUAGCAUGGCAGAUACCAAUAUCUCUUGGUUGUUAUGUUGACAAUGAAAGCAUACUUCUGAAAAUUAUUAUUCAUCUCUAUUUUAAAAACUCGAGCUCUGGCACAUAUGCAAAUCACUACUUCCCUCUGCGAAGGGUCAAUCUAUUUACUUUCAUGUUAUUUACUAUUCUUGUUGAGUUAACUUAGUUUUCCAACCUCAAAGUAUUAGUUGGCAAGCAUCAUGUGGUGGGGAAAGAUCCACACAUAUAUAUGCGAACAAAUAUAUUUGAUCAUGAAUUAUAAUUGUUGACAAUUAUAAAUAUGAUAAAUAAGUUGUGAGGCGAAACUUUAAGCCCCUAUCUUUCUCCUUGUUAGAUGGAUGUUAUUUGUUCUAAAAAUAUGCUUUGAAUGUCAAUAAUCAUGGAAUCCUUCCUAAAAAUAAGAUGAAUUGCAAUUAUUCGAUGACUGAAAGCAUAGUUUGUUAGUUUUCAAGAAACUUUAUGGUCUACACUUUAACACGUGAAUAGCUUGUUACUUCAUCAUGAUAAGUUUUAUGAUAUGAGCUACUGUUUAUGAUAUAUAAUGAUGCUAGAAAAAGUGUUUGGAACUAUCAUUGAUCAAAUUUAUACACUAUGCUAGCAUUCACACUUCCUAAAUUAUUUCUUUCAUCAUUUACCUACUCGAGGACGAGCAGGAAUUAAGCUGGGGGGUGCUGAUACGUUUCCCAUGUAUCUAUAAUUUAUGAAGUAUUCAUGCCAUGUUUACAAUAAUUCUGUAUGAUUUUCGGUUGAUUUUAUUAGAACUAACCCGGACUAAUGAUGUGUUCAGCACACUAUCACGGUAUUGUUUUUGUGGAGAAAUAAAAGUUCUCGGAAUGUGCUGAAAAUUUACGGAGAAUAUUUUUGGAAAAUAUGAAAAGUAAUGGAGCAAAAAUAUGCUGGAGAGGAGUCCUGAGGCAGCCACCAGGGCGGCCCCGUAGGGUGCGCCCCCUGGCUUGUGGGUCCCUCGAGCACUCCCCUGGCGUGAUUCCAAUGCCAAAUAUUCUUAUAAAUAUAGAGGCCCCCAAAAAGAAACCUAGAUCGGGAGGUCUACCGCUGCAAGCCUAUAGAACCACGAAAAAACAAUCAGGCCCUCUCCGGCACCCUGCUGGAGGGGGUCACCAUCACCGGAGAACAUGGAGGAGGAAGACGGAGGGGCCAUCAUCACCAUGGAGGCGACGAACGAGAGGGAGAACCUCUCCUCACCUUGGGGGCCAUGGAGGAGGAGGCACAAGGCGGAGACCCUCUCCCCCUCUCUCCCGGUAGUGCCGGAGUGCCACAGAGGGAACCAUCGCCGAGGUGAUCGUCUUCAUCAACAUCACCUUCUUCAUCACCAUCCUCAUCUUCUUUUAGCAGUCCACUCUCCUGCACCCCGCUGUAAUACCCUACUUGAACAUGGUGCUUUAUGCCACAUAUUAUGAUCCAAGGAGGUGUUGCCAUCCUAUGAUGUUUUGAGUAGAUUCCCUUUGUCUUAUGGGUUAAUUGAUGAUCUAGAUUGUCUUGAGUUGCAUGCUUUAUUAUUGGUGUUAUCGUAUGGUGCUCUACGUGUCGUGCAAGCGUGAGGGAUUCCUAUUGUAUGGUGUUGCAAUACGUUCAUGAUUCGCUUAUAGUGGGUUGCUUGAGUGACACAAGCAUAAACCAGAGUAGGUGGGUUGUUGCGUAUGGGAUAAAGGGGACUUGAUGCUUUAAUGCUAUGGUAGUUAGCUUAUGCUUCUCCCUUACAUAAAAUUGCAAUAAUGCUUAACAAUCUUGUUAACAAUUGCCUAGGACAAUUCCGUACACCGACCCAUCAUCAUUCCACACUCGCUAUUUGCAAUAUAUUGUAAUAGAUUCUAACUAUAUAAUAACAUCACUUAUUUUCAUAUUUUAGUUCUCUGAUGUCAUGCAAAGCUAUUCUCUUCAUACCCACAACGUAGUUUUAUUUCUCUUUCCUAGUUGGAAGCAAACGUUCGGCGUACGUAGAGUUGUAUCAGUGGCAGAUAGGACUUGGGAGAAUAUUGCUCUUACCUUUAGCUCCUUGUGGGUUCGACACUCCAUACUUAUCAAUUCCACCUUUGGAAAUUGCUAUGAUGAUUCCUUGCACUUGGGAAUUAUAAGAGCUUCUCGAGGCCUGCGCGCUCGGCGGCGAGCAAGUGCCGGAGCCUCGAGUCGGCGAGCGUAUCGUCUUCGGCACACACUUCCUCGUCGGCUUUGGGCUUCCGGGGAGCUGCUUCUUGUGGAAUUUUCUUGAGGUCUAUGGGAUCCAGAUGCAUCAUAUGGGGCCUAACUCCGUUCCGUACCUCGCGUGCUUCGCAUUGCUAUGCAAGGCAUAUAUGGACUUCUGGCCCUUUCCCUCCUUCUUCCGCCACUUCUUCCAUUUAUGUGCCCACGCGCACGAUAGUGUGUCGUACUCCUGUGGUGGCGCGGUGGUGUACAAGAAGCGCGGCAGGCCGUUUCCGCAGAUGAAGUGGAAGGAGUCCUUCAAGAAAUGGCAGCACACCUUCUUCUACGUCCGCAACAUCGGCCUGGGGCGGGACUGGUUAACCUCCCGCCCUUUGCUGACGAGCCAACGACUGGGGAGAACUAAAAUCUCGAGUUGUGCAAUGACUUGCUGGUGUCGAUUGGCGGCCAGCUGCAGGAGCUCAUGGGCUCCCUAGGGCUGGUGGCCCCGGACCUGGUGGCGGCCUUUGUCUCUCGCCGAGUGCUGCCUCUGCAGGCACGGCCGCACCGGAUGUGCGACAUGAGCAUCCGCAAGGAACCGUGCUGGCUGUUAGUGGUGGACCUGCCGUUGAGCAAGGUUGCCGCCAGGGUGAACAGAAUCACCGACUUCCAUCGUGGCAACCAUGGACCGCUGGUAAGAUUUCGUCCAACUGAGGUCAUCCCCUUUUUUCCUUUCCCGUAGUAUGUGACACAUGGUCAUGUAUUUCCUCAGCUUUUUGUUCGGCAGAACACAUCAAACGGACCGAAUCCGGAGCGCUUUUCCCCAUAUUAGGAUGAAUCCGACGCCGAGGACUACGAAUUGAACGGGGACGGUCCUGAAGGCCCUGAAGAUUUGUACGCGACGGAGGCGGCGGAGGAUGAUGAUGGUGUUGAGGAGGACGAGGAGGAGGCGGCCGGUGCCGUGGCUGGCAAGGUGGGGACGUCAAGUACUAAUGACCCACAAGUGUAGGGGAUCUAUCAUAGUCCUUUCAAAAAGUAAGAGUGUCGAACCCAACAAGGAGCGGAAGGAUCUGACGAGUGGUUUUCAGCAAGGUAAUAUCUGCAAGAACUGAAAUUAUCGGUAACAAGUAGUUGUGUGGUGAGAUGAUUCGUAGGAAGUAGCAAGUAAGAAAAGUAACAACGGUGCAGCAAAGUGGCCCAAUCCCUUUUGUAGCAAGGGACAAGCCUGGACAAACUCUUAUAGGAGGUAAAACGCUCCCGAGGACACAUGGGAAUUUCUGUCAAGCUAGUUUUCAUCAUGUUCAUAUGAUUCGCGUUCGCUACUUUGAUAGUUUGAUAUGUGGGUGGACCGGCGCUUGGGUACUUCCCUUACUUGGACAAGCACCCCACUUAUGAUUAACCCCUCUCGCAAGAAUCCGCAACUACGAAAGAAGAAUUAAGACAAAGUCUAACCAUUGCAUUAAACUAGUGGAUCCAAAUCAGCCCCUUACGAAGCAACGCAUAAACUAGGGUUUAAGCUUCUGUCACUCUAGCAACCCAUCAUCUACUUACUACUUCCCAAUGCCUUCCUCUAGGACCAAAUAAUGGUGAAGUGUUAGGUAGUCGACGUUCACAUAACACCACUAGAGGAAAAACAACAUACAACACAUCAAAUUAUCGAACGAAUACCAAAUUCACAUGACUACUUAUAGCAAGACUUAUCACAUGUCCUCAGGAACAAAAGUAACUACUCACGAAGCAUAAUCAUAUUCAUGCCCAGGGAGGUAAUGAGUAGCAUCAAAGAUCUGAACAUAUAAUCUUCCACAAAGUAAUCCAACUAGCAUCAACUACAAAGAGUAAUUAACACUACUAGCAACCUUACAAGUACCAAUCGGAGUCGCGAGACGGAGAUUGGUUACAAGAGAUGAACUAGGGUUUGGAGAUGAGAUGGUGCUGAUGAUGAUGUUGAUGGUGACGAGUCCCCUCCGAUGAGAGGAGUGUUGGUGAUGACGAUGGCGACGAUUUCCCCCUCCGGGAGGGAAGUUUCCUCGGCAGGAUCGGCCUGCCGGAGCUCUAGAUUGGUUCUGCUCACGUUCCUCCUCAUGGCGGCGUUGAACCCUCCGAAAAGCCUCUUGUUGAUUUUUUUUUCUGGAACAAAACCAUUCUUGUAGCAAAAUGGGUGAGCCAGAGGGCUAAGUGGGAGCCCACAAGCCCCCUAGGCGCGGCCAGGGGGAGGUCGCGCCUAGCGGGCUUGUGGCCUCCUGCUGGCGCCCCUCUGGUACUUCUUCGGCCUAGUAUUUUUAAUAAAUCCCAAAAAAAUCCACGUUGAUUUUCAUGACUUUUGGAGUUGUGCAGAAGAGGUAUCUCAAACUUGCUCCUUUUUCAGGCCAGAAUUCCAGCUGCCGGCAUUCUCCCUCUUCAUGUAAACCUUGCAAAAUAAGAGAUAAAAGGCAUAAGUAUUGUACCUUGAAGUGUAAUAACAGACCAAAAAGCGAUAAAUAUAAACAUGAAAGCAUGAUGCAAAAUGGACAUAUCAACUCUCCCAAGCUUAGACCUCGCUUGUCCUCAAGCGAAAGCCGAGAUCAAUAAAUAUGCCCACAUGUUUAGAGAGAGAGGUGUCGACAAAACAAGAUACGGACAUGCAGGCAUCAUGAUCAUAAUCAGAAUAGCAAUACCAACAUAUAAUCUCUCAUGCUAAAGUGAUAAUUCCUUCACAAAGUAAAGCAUGGAUCAAGAACCUUACCGAGAAUUAACAACCGAUAGCCUUUAGUCAUUGAAGCAAUUGCAAUUUAUCACAAUAUCAGAAAGAGUCAAAUAAGAGCUUGUAAAGCAAAUCCAAAUACUCAAUCAUCCUUUCGUUCUCUACAAUUUCUACAACUCACGUGGUACUCAUGAGAUCAAAGUUUCAGCUGGACACAAAGAAAGAUAGGGAUUUAUAGUUUCGCCUCCCAACCAUUUACCUCAAGGGUAAUGUCAACAAUAAUAAUUCAUGAAUACUUACUUCCAAGUUGACAUAUGAAUAUAGAUCUUUCCCAAGCAUAUGACAUUAGCCAAGAUAAAGGCGAAACAAGGAAUUGGUGAAGAUCACCAUGACUCUUUCACGGGAAAAAUUAAAGGUACAAGAUAGGCCCUUUGCAGGGGGAAGCAGAGGUUGUCAUGUGCUUUUGAGGUUUGGAUGUGUGUCCUCUUAGUGUGGAGGAACGUCACUUUAUAUUGCCUCCUGUGAUAAAGAACUUUAUUAUGCAUUCCGUCGCUUUUAUCUAUUCCUCAUCACAGGUUCGUACAAAGCUUAUUUUCCAUGCACUAAUAGAUCAUACAUAUUAGGGGGGCAAUUUUUAUUGCUUGCAUCGAUGACAACUUACUUGAAGGAUCUUAUUCAAUCCAUAGGUAGGUAUGGUGGACUCUCAUGGAAAAACUGGGUCGAAGGUUUAUGGAUGCACAAGUAGUAUCUCUACUUGGUGCGAGUGUUUUGGCUAAUACGAGGUGGAAGCAAUCUUCACAUGCCAAGGGAUCUCUAGUCAUAUAACAUUGUUCGGAACCAAGCAAACACAAUUCAUUAUGUUGUCUUCCUUGUCCAACAUCCACUUCUAAGCAUGUAAUAGUGUAGUGAGUGUUCACAAUCAUAGAUGGUGUCAAAGAUGAUAUAUUUAUAUGUGAACCUCUCCUUCUUUAUCACUUCCUAUUAAUUGCAACAAUGACCAAGGUCUACGUUUGUCUAUCCUCAACAAGUUUCAAUCAACAUUGUUUUCAUAUGUGAAGCCAUCACUUCCCAUAAGAUCAUUACAUGAUCUUUCAUGCUUUUGUUCUUUUCUCAUUCUCUUGAUCAUGGCAUGAGGCAACGCCCUUAACUAAGACACUCUUUAUUAUAUGGCUCACGAGCUCGAAUACAUCGGGGGUGGCACAAAUAAAAACUCAAGCCUAAAACACUAAGACCUUUAAUCUACUAGAGAAAGAGAAAACUGAAAAGGAACAAACUAAAACAAAGGUAAAGGAAAAAGAUGUGAUGGUGAUACGAUAGCGGGGCAACUCCCCCAAGCUUGGCACAAGCCAAGGGGAUUGCCCAUACCCAUGCUUAGUUGUCUUCCUUUGGAGGUGAUGGUGAUGGAGUUGUUGCAGAGGUCUUGAACUUGUUUAAUUUCCACUUGAGCGUAAAAUUCUGCUCCCUCAGAUCAUCAAUUUCCUCUUCAAGCCUCAACAACCUUUUGCAUAAUUCCUGCUUACUCUCCUGCAAGAAAUGAGAAGGGAUAAACAAUGUUUUAGGCUUCUUCCUUGAGUCAGGGAGGCUCGAUUUCUUGAACUCCACAUGCGUGUGUCCAAGUUGAGGUAGAGGAGCCUCCUCCUCAUCGGAACUUGUUCGUUCCUUCCCCUUGGGAUCAUAAUCUUCUUCCUCAUAAGUGGUCCACCGAUAAGGAUACAAGUCCCCAUAGACCUUGGGGUUGGCAAGGUAAUCGGCCACAUAGCUCUCCCCCUCUAAAUCUUGAGAAGACAUCUUGCCCUAAAUCUGCGCCAGAAAAUAGGCUCGAAACGAAAACAGAGGAAAAUUGCAUGAUACGAGGGUCAGACCUUUCGAGAGAAUAUAUAAUGAUUUUUUUCUGACCAGAAGGAGUACUCCGCAAGAAAACGGAGUCCGGGAGGCACACGAGGUGGCCACAAGCCUCCCAGGCCCGGCCAGGGGGGUGGCUCGCGCCUGGCAGGCUUGUCUCCUCCUCGUUCUUUUUCCGGGCUGCUUUAAAUUUUUCUAUUUUUUCAAAAAUUCCAAAACGGAGAAAAAAUCCUACUGGAAAAGUUUUGGAGUCUAUUUACUUACCGAAUCACAUACCUCUUCGUUUUCGGAGUCUGAAAGAGGCUGAUAAAUAUCCGUUAGGUACUCCUCCUUAGUUAUGGUAUUCAUAAUAUUGCUUUCAACAUUUAUGGGAGUACCUGAGAUAUAAUGCUUGAUUCUCUGCCCAUUUACAACUCUCGGACAAUUAUCUUCCGUGUUGUUGAUCUUGAUAGCACCGGAACGAUAUAGUUCCUCAAAAAUGUAAGAAUCUUCCCAUUUAGAGAGAAGCUUCCCUGCAAAAAAUCUUAAACGAGAAUUAUAUUGCAAGACAUAAUCACCUACAUUUAACUCACGCUUUUUUAUCCUUUUAUCAUGCCACCUCUUAACCUUUUCUUUGAACAACUAGGCAUUUUCAUAUGCCUGAGUUCUCCACUCAUCAAGCAAGCUAAUAUCAAAUAACCUCUUCUCACCAGCAAGUUUGAAAUCAAAGUUAAGCUCUUUGAUUUCCCAAUAAGCUUUAUGCUCUAGCUCAAGAGGUAAAUGACAUGCUUUACCGUAUACCAUUUUGUACGGAGACAUGCCCAUGGGAUUCUUAUAGGCAGUUCUAUAAGCCCACAGUGCAUCAUCGAGCUUCUUAGACCAAUUCUUUCUAGACCUGUUGACAGUCUUUUGCAGAAUUAGUUUAAUAUCUCUAUUUCUUAGCUCUACCUGACCAUUGGACUGAGGGUGAUAGGGAGACGCAAUUAUAUGGUUAACAUCGUACUUAGAAAGCAUUUUACGGAAAGCACCAUGAAUGAAAUGUGAACCACCGUCGGUCAAUAGAUAUCUAGGGACUCCAAAUCUAGGGAAAACAACUUCUUUAAGCAUCCUGAUAGAGGUGUUGUGAUCAGCACUACUAGUGGGGAUAGCUUCUACCCACUUAGUGACGUGAUCAACAGCAACUAGGAUAUGAGUAUACCCGUUGGAUUUUGGAAGAGGUCCCAUAUAAUCAAAGCCCCAAACAUCAAAUGGUUCAAUGAAAAGUGAAUAAUUCAUAGGCAUUUCCUGACGUUUACCAAUAUUACCUAUUCUUUGACAUUCGUCACAAGACAAGACAAACUUACGGGCAUCCUUGAAGUGAGUGGGCCAAUAGAAACCUUAUUGCAAUACCUUGUGCGCAGUUCUAUCUCCCGCAUGGUGUCCUCCGUAGGCCUCGGAGUGACACUUCUGUAGCAUCUGUCCCUGUUCAUGUUCAAGUACACAACGUCUAAUAAGACCAUCUACUCCUUCCUUAUAAAGGUGAGGAGCAUCCCAAAAGUAAUGUCUCAAGUCAAAGAAGAAUUUCUUCUUUUGCUGGUAUGUGAAACUAGGUGGUAUAUAUUUGGCAACGAUAUAGUUUGCAUAAUUAGCAUACCAAGGUUCACUAGGUGAAGUAUUGAUGACAUUCAAUUGCUCAUCAGGAAAGCUAUCAGGUUGUGGGUCAUCAAGAACAUUCUCCAACCUAGACAAGUUAUCUGCUACUGGGUUAUCAGCACCCUUCCUAUCGACAACAUGCAAAUCAAAUUCUUGUAGCAAGAGAACCCAUCUGAUAAGUCUAGGUUUAGCGUCUUUCUUCUCCAUUAGGUACUUAAUAGCAAGAUGAUCAGUAUGAAUGGUGACUUUGGAAUCAACUAUGUAAGACCUGAACUUUUCACAUGCAAACACGACUGCUAAAAAUUCAUUUUCUGUAGUAGCAUAGUUUCUUUGGGCAUUGUCUAGAGUUUUACUAGCAUAGUGAAUAACAUUCAACUUCUUAUCAACUCUUUGCCAUAGAAUAGCACCAAUAGCAUAAUCACUAGCAUCACACAUGAUUUCAAAAGGUAAGUUCCAAUCAGGUGGUUGAACAAUAGGCGCAGUUAUCAAGGCCUUCUUAAGUAUUUCGAAGGGUUCCUCACAAUCAUCGUCGAAAACAAAAGGAAUAUCCUUUUGCAAGAGAUUGGUAAGAGGCCUAGAAAUGUUAGAGAAGUCUUUAAUGAACCUUCUAUAGAAACCAGCAUGACCAAGGAACCUUCUAUAGAAACCAGCAUCACCAUCCUAUAGCCAGUAAUAAUCCUCUGUGGGAUCAAUUCAUCCUUAUCAUUAGGGACAACGGUAAUGCCUCCCUUCUUAGCGACGGAAUGCACCAUACUAACCCAAUCACUAUGAGCAACAUGAUAGAUAAUACCUUCUUCCAGGAGCUUUAGUAUUUCUUUUCUUACUACCUCUUUCAUCUUAGGAUUUAAUCUCAUUUGAUGAUUAGCAACUGGUUUGGAAUCAGGAUCGGUUUUAAUCUUGUGCUGGCAUAGAGUGGGACUAAUGCCCUUAAGAUCAUCAAGAGUAUAUCCAAUAGCAGCACGGUGCUUCCUUAGAGUUUUUAGUAACUUCUUUUCUUCAUGCUCUGAGAGGCUAGCACUAAUUAUAACAGGAUAUAUCUCUUUUUCAUCAAGAUAAGCAUACUUAAGAGUAUCAGACAACUGUUUAAGCUCGAACACAGGAUCACCCUUUGGUGGGGGUGGAUCUCCAAGCAGUUCAACAGGCAAGUUAUUCUUAAGGAUAGGAUAUUGUUCUAAGACAACUCUAUCUAUCUCAUCCCUUUCAUCCAUAUGCAUAUCAUUUUCAUGCUCAAGCAAGUAUUGCUCUAAGGGAUCCGUAGGAGGCACGACAAUCGAAGCUAGGGAAAUAAUUUCAUCCUUACUAGGCAACUCUUUUUCAUGAGGUUGUCUACUAAACUUGGAGAAAUUGAACUCAUGUGACACACCUUCAAAGCCAACAGUGACAGUUUGCUUCUCAUAGUCAAUAUGAGCAUUGACGGUAUUGAGGAAGGGUCUGCCAAAUAUGAUGGGACAAAGGCUAUCUUGUGUGGUAGCAAAAACGAGGAAAUGAGGAGGAUACUUCGUUUUACCACACAAGACUUCAACAUCCCUAAUAAUUUCCACAGGGCAGAUAGUAUCUCUAUUGGCAAGCUGAAUAGUGACAUCAAUGGGUUCUAUCUCGACAGGUGCAAUCUCGUCUUUAAUUUCAUCAUAUAGGGAUUGAGGUAUUGCACUAACACUAGCACCCACAUCACAUAAACCAUGAUAACAAUGAUCUCCUAUCUUAACAGAAACAACAGGCGUGCCAACAACAGGCCUAUGUUUGUCUCUAGCAUGGGGUUUAGCAAUUCUUGCAGCAUCUUGAUACGUCUCCAACGUAUCUAUUUUUUUUUAUGGUUUCAUGCUAUUAUCUUGUCAAACUUUGGAUGUUUUGCAUGCCUUUUAUAUAUUUUUUGGGACUAACUUAUUAACUCGGUGCCAAGUGCCAGUUCUUGUUUUUUCCAUGUAUUUGACCGCUUUCAGAGGAGAUUUUGAAACGGAGUCCAAACGGAAGAAAAUCCCCGAAAAGAUUUUUUCUGAAACCGAAGAAGAUCAGGAAGCUUGAGAGCCAAGGCAGGGGGGCCCAGGGGCCCCACAAGCCCUCACCCCGCGACCAGGGGAAAGGUCGUGGCCCACAGGCUUGUGGGCCCCCUGGACGCCCUCUGCCCUAGGGUUUGCACCUAUAUAUCCCCAAAAGUUCCACAAAAAAUCAAGAGAUCAUCGAAAGUACUUUUCCGCCGCCGCAAGCUUCUGUCUCCGCAAGAUCCCAUCUGGGGCACGUUCCGGUGCCCUGUCGGAGGGGGGAUUCAGAUAUGGAGGGCUUCUUCAUCAACACCAUGACCUCUCCGAUGAUGCGUGAGUAGCUCACCAUAGACCUCCGAGUCCAUAGCUAGUAACUAGAUGGCUUCUUCUCUCUCUUGGAUCUUCUAUACAAAGUUCUCCAUGAUCUUCAUGGAGAUCUAUCCGAUGCAAUCUUAUUUUGCGGUGUGUUUGUCGAGAUCCGAUGAAUUGUGGAUUUAUGAUCAGAUUAUCUAUGAAUCUUAUUUGAGUUUCUUCUGAUCUCUCUUAUGCAUGAUUUCAUAUCCUUGUAAUUCUCUUCGAGUUGUGGGUUUUGUUUGGCCAACUAGAUCUAUGAUUCUUGUAAUGGGAGAAUUGCUUGGUUUUGGGUUCAUACCGUGUGGUGACCUCACCCAAUGACAGAAGGGGUAGCGAGGCACGCAUCGUGUUGUUGCCAUCAAGGGUAAAAAGAUGGGGUUUUCAUCAUUGGUUUGAGAUUAUCCCUCUACAUCAUGUCAUCUUUCUUAAGGCGUUACUCUAUUCGUCAUGAACUCAAUACACUAGAUGCAUGCUGGAUAGCGGUCGAUGUGUGGAGUAAUAGUAGUAGAUGCAGAAAGUAUCGGUCUACUUGUCUCGGACGUAAUGCCUAUAUGUAUGGUCAUUGCCUUAGAUAUCGUCAUGAGUUUGUGCGGUUCUAUCAAUUGCUCGACAGUAAUUUGUUCACCCACCGUGAUAUUUGCUAUUUUGAGAGAAGCCUCUAGUGAACACUAUGGCCCCCGGGUCUACUCCACACCAUACUUUCAGCCUUACACUUUUUACUUCGUUGCACUUUCCGCCUUUAGAUCUCACUUUGCAAACAAUCUUGAAGGGAUUGACAACCCCUUUGAAGCGUUGGGUGCAAGAUCGUUUGUGUUUGCGCAGGUACUCUGGACUUGACGAGACCCUCCUUCUGGAUCGAUACCUUGCUUCUCAAAACUGAGGGAAAUACUUACUACUCAUGUGCUGCAUCAUCCUUUCCUCUUCAAGGGAAAAACCGACGCAAACAAGAGAAGUAGCAAGAAGAAGUCCUGUCGUUGCUUGGGAAGGGCUUUUGUUGCUGUAGCAGAAGGAUUUCUGGUGCUGUUGCCGGGGAGGAAGAUCAAGUCAAGAACUCAUCCAAGUAAGUGUCGCAAACUCAUCUCUUGCAUUUACUUUUGUUUGUCAGUUGCCUCUCGUUUUCCUCUCCCCCACUUCACCAAUUUGCCUUUUUCAUUUGCCUUUUUCGUUUGCCUUUUUCGUUCGCCCUUUCUUCCGCUUUCUUUCUGUUUGCUUGUGUUUUAUGUGCCUUCAAUAUGCUUGCAUCUUCGCUUGCUGAAAAUAUAUUGAUAUGGAUCCUCAUCCACUUGCUAAUCUCUUUAAGAGAUCCAAUUAUGUUGAUAAAAUUGCUAUUGAGUUGAGUGCACUUGACUUUCUCUAUGGAGUUUUGCUUGAGAUGCGUGAAUCUGAAAAUUGUGAUGAAGAAAUUCAUGAAGUGAUUCACGAGGGCUCCUUGAAUGAAAAGCAUGAUUGCAAUGAUUUCAUUAUAAAUUCUAUUAAUGACAAUCAUGCUAAAAAUAUGCAAAACCCUAAGCUUGGGGAUGUUAGUUUUGCUAUGUCCACUACUUGUUGCAAUGAUCAUGAGUGGGGCAAUGAUUUUUCUUAUGAUCAUGAAAAUUUGUUUAAGCCUCAUGAUGAAUAUGAUAUUUGCAAUAUUAUUGAAAGUAGGUUUGGAGACGUCAUGACUUUAAUUGAUGAUAAUCCCAGUAUUUUUGAAGAGCAUCAACUUUGCAUGCAUGUGGAUCAUGAAAAGAAUAUCCUAUGUGAUAGUUACAUUGUUGAAUUCAGAUAUGAUCCCACAUGUAAUUAUUAUGAGAGAGGAAAAUAUGGUGGUAGAAACUUUCAUACCACUAAAUCACCUCUCGUUAUGUUGAGAUUGCUCUUGUCUCUUUCUUCUUCCUUGCAUUUGAUAACUAUUGGUUGUCUUGCCAAUUUUUUCCUAUAAAAUGCCUAUGCAUAGGAAGUAUGUUAGACUUAGACGUGAUUUUCACAUGCUUUAUGAUGCUCACGUUGUGCAUCAAUUUCUAUCUUCUAUGUGAGCAUCAUUGAAUUAUCAAUGCCUAGCUAAGGGUGUUAAACAAUAGCGCUUUUUGGGAGGCAACCCAAUGAAUUUAUCUUUUUCUUUCUGUUUUGUUGUGUCCACGCCAUCAUAAUUCUGUUGUGAUUGUGUUUUUUGGGUUUCUUUUUGUGUUUGAGCCAAGCAAAACCUUUAUGACUAGUCUUGGUAAUGGUUAUUUGAUCCUUCUGGAAAAAGACAGAAACUUUUCGCUCACGAGAUGAUUUUUCAUUUUUAUUCAGAAAGAGCUUUUGAGUUGAUUCUUUUUGCUGAUGGUUGAUAUGUAUUUUUCCCAGGCAGUCGUAAUUGUUCAUAUUUUUGUAGGUAACAGAAGUAUACGAAGUAUAUAGAUUGCUACAGACUGGUCUAUUUUUGACAGAUUCUGGUUUUGUUGAGUUGGUUGCUUGUUUUGAUGAAACUAUGGUUAGUAUCGGGGGGUACUAGCCAUGGAAAAGUGAGAAUACAAUAUCCCAACACCAACAUAGAUGGAAUUCAAGUUUCCUACAGUACCAAAAGAGGUGUUAGUUUAUUUUCUUGUGCUAAUGUUAUCACGAGUUUCUGUUUAAAUUUUGUGUUGUGAAGUUUUCAAGUUUUGGGUGAUGUUCUCAAGGACAAAGAGAUAAGGAGUGGAAAGAGCUCAAGCUUGGGUAUGCCCAAGGCAUCCCAAGCCAAAUUCAAGGACACCAAAAAUCCUAAGCUUGGGGAUGCCCUGGGAAGGCAUCCCCUCUUUCGUCUUCAGUUCAUCGGUAACAUUACUUGGAGCUAUAUUUUUAUUCACCACAUGAUAUGUGUUUUGCUUGGAGCGUCUUGUAUCGUAGGAGUCUUUUCUUUUUUUUGUUUCACAAUCAUUCUUGCUGCACACCUUUUUGAGAGAGAGAGAGAUGCACUCAUCGUGAUUUUGCUAGAAUGCUCAUAGUGCUUCACUUAUAUCUUUUGAGCUAGAUACUUUUUCUCUAUGUGCUUCACUUAUAUCUUUUAGAGCACGGUGCUGCGUGACUUGGUAGUUGGCUUAUGCUAUGAAAGUAGUCCCAAAGGUGAUAGGUACCCAAAGAGGAUGCAAAAACCUCCAUCUUGAUGUGCAUUGAGUAGAAAGAGAAGCCUUGAUUCCUCUCAAUUAGUUUUGAGACGUGGAUUUGGUAAUAUUAAGAGCUAUGUUAGUACGGUGUUGUGAAUCUAGAAGUACUUGUGUUGAAGUUAGUGAUUCCCGUAGCAUGCACGUAUGGUGAACCGCUAUGUUAGGAAGUCGGAGCAUAAUUGAUCUAUUGAUUGUCAUCCUUUGUGUUGAGGUCUUGAUCGCGUGAUGGUUAACACCUACCAACCCUUCCCCUAGGAGUAUGUGUUUAGCACUUUGUUUCGGUUACUAAUAAAAACUUUCGCAACAAGUAUGUGAGUUCAUCAUGACUAAUGUGAGUCCAUGGUAUAGAUGCACUUUCACCUUCCACCAUUGCUAGCCUCUUUAGCGCCGCGCAAUUCUCGCCGAUGCAAAAACCCACCAUAUGCCUUCCUCAAAACAGCCACCAUACCUACCUACUAUGGCAUUUUCAUAGCCAUUCCGAGAUAUAUUGCCAUGCAACUCCCACCGUUCCAUCUCAUGACUUGUGCCGUCACUCUCAUAUUGCCAUUGCAUCAUCGUAAGAUAGCUAGCGAGAUGUUUCCAACGUCAUACGCCAUGCUAGAUCGUUGCACAUCCCAGUACACUGCCGGAGGCAUUUCCUAUAGAGUCAUCAUCGUUCUAAGCUUUGAGCUGUGAGUAAAUAAAAGUGUGAUGAUCACCAUUAUUAGAGCAUUGUCCCAUGUGAGGAAAAAAAGAGAAGAAGAGGCCAAAGAGAGGGAAAAAAAGAGAAAAAAAGAGGCCUAAGAGCCCAAAUGAAAAAAAGAGAGAGAAAAAGAGAGAAGGGACAAUGCUACUAUCUUUUUCCACACUUGUGCUUCAUAAUAGCACCAUGUUCUUCAUGAUUGAGAGCUUUUUGCUUUGUGACUACCAUAUACUAGUGGGAAUCUUCAUUACAUAACUUGGUUUGUAUAUUCCAAUGAUGGGCUUCCUCAAAAUUGCCCUAGGUCUUUGUGAGCAAGCAAGUUGGAUGCACACCCACUAGGUUUCCUUUUGAGCUUUCACAUACUUAUAGCUCUAGUGCAUCUCUUGUAUGGCAAUCCCUACUCAUUCACAUUGAUAUCUAUUAAUGGGCAUCUCCAUAGCCCUUUGAUACGCCAAGUCAAUGUGACCAUCUCCUCCUUUUUGUCUCACAACCACCACCACACUCUAUUCCACCUAUAGUGCUAUAUCCAUGUCUCAUGCUCAUGUAUUGCGUGAUAGUUAUAAAAAGUUUGAGAAAGUAAGAGUGUGAAAACAAUUACUUGGCCAAUACCGGGGUUGUGCAUGAUUUACAUUGGUUGUGUGAGGAUGAUGGAGCAUAGCCAGACUAUAUGAUUUUGUAGGGAUAACUUUCUUUGGCCUUGUUAUUUUGAAAGUUCAUGAUUACCUUGCUAGUUUGCUUGAAGUAUUAUUCUUUUCAUGUCAAUAGCAAACUAUUGUUUUGAAUCUUACGGAUCUGAACAUUCAUGUCACGUGAAAUAAGUUGCAAAGGACAACUAUGCUAGGUAGCAUUCCACAUCAAAAAUUCAUUCUUUAUCACUUCCCUACUCGAAGACGAGCAGGAGUUAAGCUUGGGGAUGCUUGAUACGUCUCCACAUAUCUAUAAUUUUUAAUGGUUUCAUGCUAUUAUCUUGUCAAACUUUGGAUGUUUUGCAUGCCUUUUAUAUAUUUUUUGGGACUAACUUAUUAACUCGGUGCCAAGUGCCAGAUCCUGUUUUUUCCAUGUUUUUGACCCCUUUUAGAGGAGAUUUUGAAACGGACUCCAAACGGAAGAAAAUCCCCGAAAAGAUUUUUUCUGUAACGGAAGAAGAUCAGGAAGCUUGAGAGCCAAGGCAGGGGGGCCCAGGCGCCCCACAAGCCCUCACCUUGCGGCCAGGGGGGAGGCCGCAGCCCACAGGAUUUUGGGCCCCCGGGACGCCCUCUGCCCUAGGGUUUGCGCCUAUAUAUCCCCAAAAAUUCCACAAAAAAUCAAGAGAUCAUCGAAAUUACUUUUCCGCCACCGCAAGCUUCUGUCUCCGCAAGAUCCCAUCUGGGGCACGUUCCGGUGCCCUAUCGGAGGGGGGAUUCGGAUACGGAGGGCUUCUUCAUCAACACCAUGACCUCUCCGAUGAUGCGUGAGUAGUUCACCAUAGACCUACGGGUCCAUAGCUAGUAACUAGAUGGCUUCUUCUCUCUCUUGGAUCUUCAAUACAAAGUUCUCCAUGAUCUUCAUGGAGAUCUAUCCAAUGUAAUCUUCUUUUGCGGUGUGUUUGUCGAGAUCCGAUAAAUUGUGGAUUUAUUAUCAGAUUAUCUAUGAAUCUUAUUUGAGUUUCUUCUGAUCAUGUCAUCUUGCUUAAGGCAUUACUAUGUUCGUCAUGAACUCAAUACACUAGAUGCAUGUUAGAUAGCGGUCGAUGUGUGGAGUAAUAAUAGUAGAUGCAUAAAGUGUCGGUCUACUUGUCUCGUAUGUGAUGCCUAUAUGUAUGAUCAUUGCCUUAGAUAUCGUCAUGAAUUUGCGCGGUUCUAUCAAUUGCUCGACGGUAAUUUGUUCACCCACCGUGAUAUUUGCUAUUAUGAGAGAAGCCUCUAGUGAACACUAUGGCCCCCGGGUCUACUCCACACCAUCUUUUCAGCCUUACACUUUUUACUUAGUUGCACUUUCCGCCUUCAUAUCUCACUUUGCAAACAAUCUCGAAGGGAUUGACAACCCCUUUGAAGCGUUGGGUGCAAGCUCGUUUUUGUUUGCGCAGGUACUCUGGACUUGACGAGACCCUCCUUCUGGAUCGAUACCUUGGUUCUCAAAACUGAGGGAAAUACUUACUGCUCUUGUGCUGCAUCACCCUUUCCUCUUCAAGGGAAAAACCGACGCAAACAAGAGAAGUAGCAAGAAGAAUUCCUGGCGUUGCUUGGGAAGGACUUUUGUUGCCGUAGCACAUCUUCACAGAAGUGAAUAUCAUGGCCAUCAACAUUGUCGGACAAGAGAUAUUUGAUAAUAGCAAUGCUAGGUUCAACUCUAAUUUGCUCAGGGGGUGUAGGUGUUCUAAUGUAACCUCUACGUCUCACAUUUGAAGCUUUAGAAUGAUCUUUUAUCCUAACAGGGAAAGGUGGUUGCUCAAUGUAAGCACUAGGAACAAUAGGAUAAUUAUAGGCAAUGACUUUCUCUUCAACUGGAUUGGGUUUAACUACAUUGACUUCUAAGGGAGGAUGAUAUUUAAACCACUUCUCUUUGGGGAGAUCAAUAUGAGCAGAAAAUGAUUCACACAAUGAGGCUACUAUCUCUGAGUCAAGUCCAUAUUUAACGCUAAACUCACAAAAGGUAUUUGUUUCAACAAAGGAUUUAACGCAAUCAACCUUGAAAUUCAUACCUAACUCCUUACCUUCAUCAAGCUCCCAAUCUUCAGAGUUGCGUUUAAUUCUUUCCAAUAAAUUCCAUCUGAAGUCAAUAUCUCUCUUCAUAAAAGAACGGGUACAAGAAGUGUCAAGCAUGUUGCGAUCAUCAUGAGAAAGCCGAGCAUAGAAGUUCUGAAUGAUAAUUUCUCUCGAGAGCUCAUGGUUGGGUCAUGAAUAUAACAUUGAUUUAAGCCUCCCCCAAGCUUGAGUGAUGCUUUCUAUGUCAUGAGGCCAACAAUUAUAAUUAUAAUUCCGAUCACGAUGUACUAGAUGCAUAGGAUAAAUUUUUUGAUGAAAUUCCAAUUUCAACCGAUUGUAGUUCCAUGAUCCAGUAUCAUCACAUAGCCUAUACCAUGUCAACGCCUUAUCCCUCAAAGAUAAGGGAAAUACCUUCUUCUUGACCUCAUCCUCGGGCAAACCUGCAAGCUUAAAUAAACCACAAACUUCAUCUACAUAGAUUAGAUGCAAGUCUGGAUGUGAUGUUCCAUCUCCUACAAAAGCAUUAGCCAGCAGUUUCUCAAGCAUACCCGAAGGAAAUUCAUAGCAAAUAUUUUUAGUAGGUGCGGCAGGUUGAGGAGAAACUCUUUGUGCUUCCGUUCGAGGUGAAGAUACCCCGAACAAGCUCCUCAAAGGAUUAGUUUCCAUAGUAACAAGUGACAGUAAAUUUCAGCACACUAUAUAAAUGUUUCCUUUCCAAAUUCCACUUACGAAAGGCCCUUCACUCCCCGGCAACGGCGCCAGAAAAGAGUCUUUAUGACCCACAAGUAUAGGGGAUCUAUCAUAGUCCUUUCGAUAAGUAAGAGUGUCGAACCCAACGAGGAGCAGAAGGAUCUGACAAGUGGUUUUCAGCAAGGUAAUAUCUGCAAGCACUCAAAUUAUCGAUAACAAGUAGUUGUGUGGUGAGAUGAUUCAUAGCAAGUAGCAAGUAAAAAAGUAACAACAGUGCAACAAAGUGGACCAAUCCCUUUUGUAGCAAGGGACAAGCCUGGACAAACUCUUAUAGGAGGUAAAACGCUCCCGAGGACACAUGGGAAUUUCUAUCAAGCUAGUUUUCAUCAUGUUCAUCUGAUUCGCGUUCACUACUUUGAUAGGUUGAUAUGUGGGUGGACCGGCGCUUGGGUACUGCCCUUACUUGGACAAGCAUCCCACUUAUGAUUAACCCCUCUCGCAAGCAUCCGCAACUACGAAAGAAGAAUUAAGACAAAGUCUAACCAUAGCAUUAAACUAGUGGAUCCAAAUCAGCCCCUUACGAAGCAACGCAUAAACUAGGGUUUAAGCUUGUGUCACUCUAGCAACCCAUCAUCUACUUAAUACUUCCCAAUGCCUUCCUCUAGGCCCAAAUAAUGGUGAAGUGUUAUGUAGUUGAUGUUUACAUAACACCACUAGAGGAAAAACAACAUACAACACAUCAAAUUAUCGAACGAAUACCAAAUUCACAUGACUACUUAUAGCAAGACUUAUCCCAUGUCCUCAGGAACAAAAGUAACUACUCACAAAGCAUAAUCAUAUUCAUGACCAGAUACGUAAUGAGUAGCAUCAAAGAUCUGAACAUAUAAUCUUCCACCAAGUAAUCCAACUAGCGUCAACUACAAAGAGUAAUUAACACUACUAGCAACCUUACAAGUACCAAUCGGAGUCGCGAGACGGAGAUUGGUUACAAGAGAUGAACUAGGGUUUGGAGAUGAGAUGGUGCUGAUGAAGAUGUUGAUGGUGAUGAGUCCCCUCCAGUGAGAGGAGUGUUGGUGAUAACGAUGGCGACGAUUUCCCCCUCCGGAGGGAAGUUUCCCCCGCAGGAUCGUCCUGCCGGAGCUCUAGAUUGGUUCUGCUCAAGUUCCGCCUCAUGGCGGCGGCGAAUCCUCCGAAAAGCCUCUUGUUGAUUUUUUUUCUAGAAUGAAACCCUUCUUGUAGAAAAAGGGGGGAGCCAGAGGGCCAAGUGGGAGCCCACAAGCCCACUAGGCGCGACCAGGGGGGAGGCCGCGCCUAGCAGGCUUGUGGACUCCUACUGGCGCCCCUCUCGUACUUCUUCGACCCAUUAUUUUUUAUAAAUACCAAAAAAAAAUCCACAUUGAUUUUCACGGCUUUUGAAGUUGCGCAGAAUAGGUAUCGCAAACUUGCUCCUUUUUCAGGCCAGAAUUCCAGCUGCCGGCAUUCUCCCUCUUCAUGUAAACCUUGCAAAAUAAGAGAGAAAAGGCAUAAGUAUUGUACCUUGAAGUGUAAUAAUAGCCCAAAAAGCGAUAAUUAUCAACAUGAAAGCAUGAUGCAAAAUGGACGUAUCACGUACCCCUCCCGACGGGUCCGUGACAGACUGGAUAGAUGAUGAUGGUGACGACAACGUGUAGGUGCUUGAGGCGAUGCCACGUGUGACGGGGCCGCCUCGGGGCCAUCGUCGUGGAAAGAGCGAGGAGCUGUCGGCCGGGGGCCAGCUGGCCGUCAGCCAACUAGCCAGUUGCCACACGGAAGAGGAACGCCGUAGGGACACGCGGUCGGCCGAGGACUCGAUCGACACCCCAGCCACCAAGAAGGUUCAGUCGGCGGCGCUGCCGGCGGGCGCCCCUUGGUGCUGGGUAAGGUUUCUUUAAGGCUCAUGCCCCUUCUUUUCUUGCUUUCUUUGUCGUGUGGCAUUUGAGCUCGUGCUCUCUUGUCUUGUUUUGCUUUCUCAGUGAGGCUAUUCAGCUACCGGCGCCGGAUGCAUCGGCCCUUGGGGCCGAACAAGUAACGCCGCUUGCCAUGGAGCAUGCGACGAGGGCGCGGCUUGAACGGGAGUGUGUCGUUCAGCUUCGUGCGGCCAAGCCGAAGGCCUCGUAGGCUAUGACGACCGGAAUAAGCGUCCCCGUGGCUGGGGCAACAAGUGAUGCCACUGCUCCACAACACCGCCGGUCAGUUUUAUCGGUACUUUUGCUUGUCUUAGUCAUUUUUCCUGUGCACCCUGCUCCUUUGUCAUUUCUCCUGCCGGCCAGCCAGCUUGCGGAUUGUGACUGGGCGAAGAGUGGGCUGGUGGAGCCGAGGUGUUUGGUACUUUGGCUUUUGCAAGGCGGGUGUUGAAAAAACCGAGUAGCGUAGCCGGACCUGGCCCGCCCCUUGUCGAUAUUUCCUAUUCGCUCUGACCCUUUGCUUGUGCUCCUGCCAAACGGGCAACUAGGUUGUGGUCUGUAGCCAGCGAGGGUUGGGCUGCCGGUGCGGAGGUAUAGUACUUUGCCGAGCUGGGGUGGGAGUUGGGCGUCUCGUAGUCCCCGGGCCGGCUGGACCGAUCCGGGGAUGACCAAGAAAGUAAAAACAAUUGAAACAUGAGUAGGAUGGAAAAGGCAGUCUCUGAGUCCUGCUCUAGGGUGCCGGCUAUUCAUUGAUUUUCUUGAAAAGGGAACAUACAUAUGUUCACUUGCCUAACUGUAAAACGGGCGGAGGAGUUCCACGUUUCGUGGUCGCUCCGUCUCGGAGCCGGAUGCGUCCUUCUUGUUCUUUCUUGCCUUUUGAGCAUCGAUUAUAAAGUAGGCGUUAUUGCUCACUGACGGAUGUCCGUUGGAUCAGCAAGAGAACAAGGUCACCCUCUCGGAAUGAGAGAGGGCUUGACCCGCUGGCUACGGUAGCGGCGUAGGCCUUGCUGAUAGAUGGUUGUUCUGGACAGUGCCAGCUCGCAUGCCUCUUCGAGGAGGUCGACGUCGUCUUCUCUGGCCUCUUUGGCGUCAGCCUCGGUGUGCAGGGUGACCCGAGGCGAAUCGAACUCGACGUCGUUGAGGAUGAUCGCCUCGGCCCCGUACACCAAGAAGAAUGGGGUGAAGCCGGUCGACCGGUUGAGCGUGGUUUGCAGGCUCCACAACACCGCCGGCAGUUCCUCGACCCAGGCACCGGCCGAGCGCUUGAGUGGCUCGACAAGCCUGGGUUUCAGGACGACCAGGAUGAGGCCGAUUGCCCGCUCUAGCUGGCCGUUUGACUGCGGCUGGGCCACGGACGAGAGGUCCAGCCGGAUUCCGUGCUCGCUGCAGUAGCGGGCGAGCGCAGGCUUGGCGAAGUUGGUCCCAUUGUCGAUGAUGAUGAUGCUGGGGAGGCCAUAGUGAACGGCUAUGUCCUUGAUGAACGUGACGACCGUUGGGCCAUCGAGCUUCUCUAUUGGCUUGGCCUUGAUCCACUUUGUGAACUUGUCGACUGCCACCAGGAGAUGUGUCACACCGCCUCGGGCGGUUUUGAACAGGCCCAUCAUGUCCAACCCCCAGAAGGCAAAGGGCCGCGUGAGGGGGAUGGUUUGCAGGGCCGCGGCCGUCUGGUGGAUGCGCGCUUUGAAAUGCUAGCAGCCAUUGCACUUGUCAAUUAAUGCCUUGGCGUCCUUCAGGGCGGACGACCAAUAGAAACUGUGGCGGAAUGCCUUGGCCGCCAGGGAGCGUGAGGAGGCAUGGUGGCCACACUCGCCCUGGUGGAUGCCGAGGAGGAUAUCGUGGCCUUUGUCUGCCUCGAUGCAGUGCUGGAACACGCCAGUCACGCUGCGCUUGACGAGCUCGUUGUUGAUGAUGGUGUAGGUGGCAGAGCGUCUUUGGAUUAUCCGGGCCACGACUUCAUCGGCAGGCAGGGUGCCAUUCUCGAUGUAGUCGAGGAAGGGUUGCGCUCAGGAUAGGGCUGUGACCACCGUGAGCAUGGCCACCAUGAUUGGGUUUGCUGCGGCGGGGACGGCACGCGGUUGGCCGCCUGCCGCAGUCCCCGAGUCGGGCUGGAGGGAUCCCAGGGGAGGGUCGGCAGCCCUCGGGCCGGCUAGAGUAGUCGAUGCGGUGGCGGUAGUCGGCUGACCAGCUGCCGUAGUCCCCGAGUGGGACGGGGCAGUUCCCGCGUCAGCGCCGGCAGCCCCCAGGGCCGGCGGGGCAGCCCCCGGGUCUGCCGGGAUGAAUAUGUACUCGGAUUCCGGAGAGAGCGUGAUGGAGGGCUUCCGCAGGUUCUCAAGAGAUACGUCGACUGGGAUUGGUUGCCGGGUGGAGACGAUUUGUUGAGUGUGUCGGCGGCCUCGUUGCCGGAUCGGAGGAUGUGGUGGAACUCGCGGCCUUUGAAACCGCCGGUCAGUUGUUGCACCAGAAAGCGGUAGCUGCCCAUGUUUGCGUCUCUCGCGUCCCACUCACGAGUGACUUGCUGCACCACCAGGUCGAAGUCACCUAAGAAAAGGAUUCGUCGGACGCCGAUUUCCCUAGCCAACCGGAGGCCAUGGGUGAGCGCUUCAUACUCCGCCACGUUGUUGGACGCAACAAAGUGGAUCUUCAUGACGUACUGGAGCUGGUUACCCUUAGGGGACGAGAGGAUGAUGCCAGCCCCAAGGCCGGUGCGCAUCUUCGAGCCAUCGAAGUGCAUGCGCCAAUGGGUUGAGUCUGGAGGCGGCCGUAGGUACUCCGUUUCGGCCUAGUCGACGAGGAAAUCCACCAAGGCCUAUGACUUUACGACGGUGCGGGACUCGUAGGCGAUGUGGUGGUCGGCCAGCUGGAGAGCCCACUUGGCGAUUCGGCCGGCUACGUUCCUGUUGCCCACGAUCUCUCCGAGGGUAGCGGUGCUCACCAAAGUGAUCGAGUGCUCCUCGAAGUAAGGCUUGAGCUUCUUGGCAGCCAGGAACACGACGUAGCACAUCUUCUGAUAGUGCAGCUAGUUCUACUUGGAGGCGGAGAGCACCUCGCUCAGGUAGUAGACAGGUCGUUCGACCAGCUGCGCCCGGCCCGGCUCGGAGCGCUCGACGGUCAUGACUAUACUGACCACUCGGAUGGUCGCGGCGAUGUAGAGCAAUAUCGGCUCCUUAUCCACUGGCGAGGCCAGCAUGGGCACGAUGGUGAGUGCACGCUUGAGGUCGCGCACGGCCUCAUCCGCCCGGUCGCUCCAGACAAACUCGUCCGCCUUCUUGAGCAGACGAUAGAGAGGGAGGGCCUCCUCCCCUGGUCGGCUGAUGAAGCAGCUGAGCGAGGCGAGGCAGCCAGUGAUCUUUUGGAUGUCAGCCAAGUUGGCCCGGAUCUUCUCGGGGAUGGCCUCUAUCCCUUGUUCCAAAAUGACGAAACCGAGGAGCUGGCCGGAUGGUAAGCCGAACACGCACUUUGCCGGCUUCAGCCGGAUUUUGAACUCGCGUAGAUUCACAAAUGUCUCCUUGAGAUCAUCCAGGGGGUGCGAUUUUCCUUGGUUUUGACCACAACGUCGUCCAUGUAGACGUGUACAUUGCGGCCGAGAUGCCUAUAGAGGCAUUGCUGCAUGCAACGCUGAAACGUGGCGCCAACAUUUUUCAGCUCGAAUGCCAUCGUAACAUAGCAGAAUGCCCCGAAUGGGGUUAUGAAAGUUGUCUUGAUCCGGUCGGUCGGAUUCAGCUUGAUCUGGUGAUAGCCUGAAUAGGCGUCUAAGUAGGACAGUAGCUCGAAGCCAGCCAUCGAGUCGAUCACUUGAUCCAUACGGGGCAGAGCAAAAGGAUCCUUGGGGCAUGCCUUGUUUAGGCUCGUGUAGUCGAUACUCAUGCGCCAAGUCUUGUUCUUCUUCAGCACCAGGAAUGGGUUCGCCACCCAAUCCGGGUGGAAGACUUCCAUGAUGAAUUCAAAUGCCAGUAGCCGGGUGAUUUAUUCACCGAUGGUUUUUUGCUUCUCCUCUGAGAAGCGGCGCAACGGUUGAUUAACCAGUUUUGCGUCUGACCGGACGUGCAAGAAGUGCUCGGCGUACUUCCUCGGGACUCGUGGCAUGUCCUUUGGGGCCAUGCGAACAUAUCCCGAUUCUCACGGAGGAAGUCGACGAGCUCAAUUUCCUAUUUGCUGCUGAGACCAGCCCCACCACGACGUACUUGCCGGUGGGGUCGGCCGGGUCCUCGGGCCCCUCUUGGUGUCCUUGCCGGAGGCCGGCUGGAACUGGGCCUGUGUGGCGGGCUGCUUAAGCUUCGGCUCUGAGAGGGGCGCCGUCUCACAGGCUAGUGCCACGAAACGAUCGAUCUGUCACUGCUCCUCGAUGAUAACGAAGGAUUCGGCCAACUUGGAGACGGCCAUGGUGCACUCGGUCGAGUUCUUCUAGUCACCGGAGACGGUGACAAUGUCGUGUGGACCCGGCAGCUUCAUCUUGAGAUAAGCAUAGUGGGAGACAACCAUGAACUUGGCCAGGGGGACGGAACGAGAGCGCAUGGUAGCGGCUAGUGAGGUCGACCACCUCGAACCAUAUGGUCUCGCGACGGAAGUUCUUCGGAUAGGCCGAACAACACGUACAGUCGGACCUUGCUGGUCCGGGAGUGAUAAUCCCCAAGUGCAAGGAAUCAUUGUAGCAAUUUCAAAAGGUGGAAGUGAUAAGUAUGGAGUGUUGCACCCACAAGGAGCUAAAGGUAAGAGCAAUAUUCUCUCAAGAGCUAUCUUCCACUCAUACAACACUAUGUACGCUGAACGUUUGCUUCCAACUAGGAACGAGAAAUGAAACUACGUUGUGGGUAUGAAAAGAAUAGCUUUGCAUGACAUCGGACAACUAAAAUAUAAAAAUAGGUGUUGUUAUCAUAAAGUUAGAAUAUAUUACAAUAUAUUAGAAAUAGUGAGUGUGGAAUAAUGAUGGGUCGGUGUGCGGAAUUGUCCUAGGCAAUUGUUAACAAGAUCGGUAAUCAUUCUUGCAAUUUUAUAUGAGGGAGAGGCAUAAGCUAACAUAAUUUCUCUACUUUGAUCAUAUGCACUUAUGGUUGGAACUCUAGCAAACAUCUGCAACUAUUAAAGAUCAUUAAGGUGAAACCCAACCUUAUCAUUAAAGCAUCUCAACAACCCAGCUACUCGGGUUUAUGCUUGUGUCACUCAAGCAACCCACUAUAAGUGAAUCAUGAACGUAUUGGAACACCAUACAACAAGAGUCCCUCAUGCUUGCGCGACACGGAGAGCACCAUAGGACAACACCAAUAAUAAAGCAUACAACUUAAACCAAUCUAGAUCAUCAAUCGACCCAUAAUACCAAGGGAAUCUACUCAAAACAUCAUAGGAUGGCAACACAUCAUUGGAUCAUAAUAUGUGGCAUGGACCACCUGUUGGAGAACGUCGCAUGGGAAACAAAAAAUUUCCUACGCGCACGAAGACCUAUCAUGGUGAUGUCCAUCUACGAGAGGGGAUGAGUGAUCUACGUACCCUUGUAGACCGUACAGCAGAAGCGUUAGAGAACGCGGUUGAUGUAGUGGAACGUCCUCACGUCCCUCGAUCCGCCCCGCGAACAAUCUCGCGAUCAGUCCCACCAUCUAGUACCGAACGGACGGCACCUCCGCGUUCAGCACACGUACAGCUCGACGAUGAUCUCGGCCUUCUUGAUCCAGCAAGAGAGACGGAGAGGUAGAAGAGUUCUCCGGCAGCGUGACGGCGCUCCGGAGGUUGGUGAUGACCUUGUUUCAGCAGGGCUCCGCCCGAGCUCCGCAGAAACGCGAUCUAGAGGAAAAACCGUGGAGGUAUGUGGUCGGGCUGCCGUGGAAAAGUCGUCUCAAAUCAGCCCUAAAACCUCCGUAUAUAUAGGUGGGAGGGAGGGGGCCUUGCCUUGGGGCUCAAGGAGCCCCAAGGGGGUCGGCCGAGUCCAAGGGGGAGGACUCUCCACCCCCAAACCGAGUUGGACUAGGUUUGGUGGGAGGGAGUCCCCCUCCCUUCCCACCUCCUCCUUUUUUUUUUUUUUUNCCGAGAUUCGAUCGUCAGUAUCCGCAUACCUAUUUCAAUCUCGUUUACCGGCAAGUCUCUUUACUCGUUCCGUAAUACAAGAUCCCGAACUUACACUAAGUUACAUUGCUUGCAAGGCUUGUGUGUGAUGUUGUAUUACCGAGUGGGCCCCGAGAUACCUCUCCGUCACACGGAGUGACAAAUCCCAGUCUUGAUCCAUACUAACUCAACUAACACCUUCGGAGAUACCUGUAGAGCAUCUUUAUAGUCACCCAGUUACGUUGCGACGUUUGAUACACACAAAGCAUUCCUCCGGUGUCAGUGAGUUAUAUGAUCUCAUGGUCAUAGGAAUAAAUACUUGACACGCAGAAAACAGUAGCAACAAAAUGACACGAUCAACAUGCUACGUCUAUUAGUUUGGGUCUAGUCCAUCACAUGAUUCUCCCAAUGACUUGAUCCAGUUAUCAAGCAACAACACCUUGUUCAUAAUCAGAAGACACUGACUAUCAUUGACUAACUGGCUAGCCAACUAGAGGCAUGCUAGGGACGGUGUUUUGUCUAUGUAUCCACACAUGUAAAUGAGUCUUCAUUCAAUACAAUUAUAGCAUGGAUAAUAAACUAUUAUCUUGAUACAUGAAUUAUAAUAAUAACCAUAUUUAUUAUUGCCUCUAGGGCAUAAUUCCAACACCACCAUGUUCAAUUAGGGGAUCACAACGGGUGCGGGAGAGUGGACCGCUCAAAAAAGACGAGGAUGGUGAUGAAGAAGGUGAUGUUGAUGAAGACGGUCACCGCAGCGAUGGUUCCCCCGGUGGCACUCUGGCACCACCGGGAGAGCGGGAGAGAGGGUCUCCACCUUUUGCCUCCUCCUCCAUGGCCUCCCCCAAGGUGGGGAGAGGUUCUCCCUCUGGUUCUUUGCCUCCAUGGUGAUGGUGGCCCCUCCGUCUUCCUCCUCCAUGGUGUCCGGUGAUGGUGACCCCCUCCGGCAGGGUGCCAAAGAGGGCCAAGAUUGGUUUUUCGUGGCUCUGGAGGCUUGCGGUGGCGGAACUCCCGAUCUAGGUUUCUUUCUGGGGGUUUUGGGAUUUAUAUGAUUUUUUGGCAUCGGUCUCACAUCAAGGGGACUCUCGAGGGAUCCACAAGCCACGGGUGUGCCCUAGGGGGUGCCCUAGGCUUGUGACUGCCUCGGGACUCCUCUCUGGUAUCUUUUUGCUCCACUAUUUUUUAUAUUUUCCAAAAAUAUUUUCCGUAAAUUUUCAGCCCAUUCGGAGAACUUUUAUUUCUGCACAAAAACAUCAUCACGGUAGUUCUGCUGAAAACAGCGUGAGUUAGGGUUAGUUCUAAUAAAAUCAUAUAAAAUUAUUGUGAACAUGGCAUGUAUACUUCAUAAAUUAUAGAUACGUUGGAGAUGUAUCAGCAUCCCCAAGCUUAAUUCUUGCUCGUCCUCGAAUAGGGAAAUGAUAAAAGAAACAAUUUAUGAAGUGUGAAUGCUAGCAUAGUGCAUAAAUUUGAUCAAUGAUAGUUCCAAAGACUUGUGCUAGCAUCACUAUAUAUCAUAAACAGUAGCUCAUCUCAUAAAACUUCUCAUGAUGAAGUAACAAGCUAUUCACAUGUUAAAGUAUAGACCAUAAAGUUUCUUGAAAACUAACAAACUAUGCUUUCGGUGACCAAACAUUUGCAAUUCAUCUUAUUUUCGGGAAGGGUCUAUGUAAGAGCUUUUGAUUUAGCAAAUUCCACAUACUCAACUAUCAUAUAGUCUUCCAUGAUUCCUAACACUCAAAUCAUAUUUUUAGAGCAAAUGGCAUUCGUCGAACAGAGAGAAAGAUAGGGGCUUAAAGUGUCGCCUUCCAACUUAUUUAUCAUAUAGAUAGUUGUGAACAAUACUAAUUCAUGAACAAAUAUAUUUGAAUGGACAUAUAUGCUUGGAUCUUUCCCCAGCACAUGAUGUUUGCCAAGAGGAAAAGGCGAAAUAUAGGAAGUGCUGAAGAUCACCAUGAAUCUUGUAUAAAGGUAAGUACUGUAAAGUAAAAGAUAGGCCCUUCGCAGAGGGAAGCAUUGAUUUGCAGAGGUGCCAGAGCUCGAGCUUUUAGAACAGAGAUGAGUAAUAAUUUUGAGUGGUAUGAUCUCAUUGUCAACAUAACAACCGAGAGAUCUCGGUAUCUUCCAUGAUAGAUACAUUAUAGGCAGUUCCCAAACAGAAUGUUAAAUUUUUUACUCCCCCUCCACCAAUCAAUCACACUCCACGGCGAUCCAAAUCCACAAGUACCGUCCAUACAAACAACAAUCUUGGGGUGUUUUGUUUCAUUAUAUUUUGAUUUGAUUUUUGAGCAUGGAACUAGGCAUCCAGAAUACCAGCCACUCUCUCGUGAAUGAUAGUGAAUCAACACAUAUCGUGAGAAUAACCCACCUAGCAUGGAAGAUAUCGAUAGCCUCUACUCACUACAUGAGCGAUUCAGGCAUACAAAACAAAAUAUUAUUUGAAGGUUUAGAGUUUGGCACAUGCAAAUUUACUUGGAAUGGCACAUAAAUACCGCAUAUAGGUAGAUAUAGUGGACUAUCAUGGCAAGAAACUGAGUUUAAGGGUUUUUGGAUGCACAAGUAGUAUCCCUACUUAGUACGAAGUGUUGGCUAGCAAAAGGUUCUAAACAAGCACCACAUGUUGGAGGAUCCAUAACAAUAUAACUUCUAUGAAAAUAUACCCAAACAUAACUCAUUAAGUUGUCUUCCUUGUCCAACUUCAACUAAUUUUGUGAAGUUUGAAAAUAAUUAAUGGGGCUCACAAUCAUAGGAGAUGUCCAAGAUAGAAUAUUUAUAUGUGGAAUCUCUCUUCCUUCAAUAUUCUUUCAUGAAUUGUUCAAGGGACCAAUGCGGUGUUUGCUAACUUUUAAUAAAUUUUAGCACCUAUACUUCUUAUAUGUGAAGUCAUUACUACCCAUGGGAUAAGAAUUCAAAACAUAUAUAAUUUUAAAUUUAUGAUAUCAAAUUUAAUCAACUAUUUACUCAUAGGAUAUAAGUGAAGCACGAGAUUAAAUGACAAAGCUACUCCCAAACAUAUAAGUGGAGAUCAAUGAGUAGUCAAACAAUUAAGUAGCUAUGUGAGGAUUUUCUCCGUCUCUCGCAAUAAAGAUUUUCAGAUCUGAGUAUUUUGUUUAAACAGUAAGCAAAAGAAAAAUAGCACUCCAAGAAUAGGACGUGUCAUGUGAACGAAUAAAAAUUUAGGCUCAACAUAAUCUAACUGAUAGUUCACGAAGAGAGGUGGAUUGCGUAGCCUCCCCAACCUGAGUGUUCUUGAAAUAUUUACUUGGGGUGCCUUGGUCAUCCCCAAGCUUGAGCUUUCGUAUCUUGUUCAAUCCUCUCAUAUCAUGGUUUCACCUAUUCUCAAAAGUUUCAUCCACACAGAUCUCGAAAAUAACUCGUGAGAUAGGUUAGUACACACUAUAAUAAAUCAACUCUUCAUGUACUGCCAAGACAAGUUGUAUAAUAAUUUUCAAACAUCAUCUACUGUUUACUAUCAUUUCCACAAUUUAUAUCUACCAAUAUAUGCUGUGGAAACUAUAGGAUAAGUAGAUAACAAAACUAUGACAGCAAUCUGUCCAAACAGAACAGUCUAUAGCAAUUUAUGAAAACAAUGUACUUCUGUAACUCAAAAUAGUUUGAAAAUUUUGGACAUUCUAUAAAAUUUAUAUGAAAACACUAUGUAAAUAUUUCAGAAACUUUCCACGUUCUAGUAAAAUAUGAAAAUUCCAAUACUAUAAAAAGAGUUUCUGUUUUUACACAGCACACAUCAAACCAUGCAAUGCAAGCAUCCUAAUGCAAUUCUUGGAACUUUUUUAUUGAAAACAAAAUUAUAAAUAACACCUAACAUAAAUAAACAAAACAAAAUGACGCUCCAAGAAAAACUCAUAUUAUGUGACGAAUAAAAAUAUAGCUCUAAGUAAGAUUAUCGAUAGCGUUGGAGACAAAAGAGGAGAUGCUUCCGGAGCAUCCUCAAGCUUAGGCACUCCAGUCUUCCAUGGAUAGGACCUGGGGGGUGCCUUGGGCAUCCCCAAGCUUAGGUUCUUUUCACUCCUUCUUCUCCUCAUAUCGGUGUCUCACCCAAAACUUGAAAACUUCAAUCACACUUAACUUAAUGGAACUUCGUGAGAAGGGUUAGUGUAAUAAAGAUAGAUCAUUCACUUUGGUACUGUGAAGACAAGAUUCAUAAUUGUUACCACAUGAUACCUACUGUAUUCUAUCAUUUCCAUAAUUUAUAUUACUGAAUAUAAGCUGUGGGAACACCAAAAUAAGCAAACUAUGCAUGCAAAACAGAAUCUGUCAAAAAUAGAACAGUCUGUAAAGAUCUGUAGUAUAGCCAUACUUUCCUGCAUCUAAAAAUUCUGACAAAUUAGGACAACCAGAAGUUUUUGGAUAUAAAGACUGUGUCAAAAUUUCAAAUCAUUAUUAUGCUCCAGUAAAAAAUUAAAAUUCAUGUACUAGAGUCAAAAGUUACUGUUUUGGUUCAACAUCAAUUCUACUCAUCUUGUGAGUCAUCCCAAAGGCUUUACUUGGUACUUUAUUGAAAUAAAAGACACAAAACAUGAUUACUACAGUAUCUUAAUCAUGUGAACUCAAAAAAACAGAAGGUAAACGUGUUGGGUUGUCUCCCAACAAGGGCUUUUCUUUAAUGUCUUUUAGCUGGGCAUGGUUAUUUCAAUGAUGCUCUUCCAAGCCUAAAUACGAUGAUGAUUUUAUUCACACUCUAAAAGAUAUAAGUGAAGUUCAUAUAGAAUUCUACAAUUAAUAUAGAUCAACCAAUAUCCAUGCUGAAAAUAUAUAAGUGAAGCACACGAAGCAUUCUAUAAGGCCAUACUCAAAAGAUUUAAGUGAAGCACGAAGAGCAUUCUAUAGAGCCAUACUCAAAAGAUUUAAGUGAAGCACAAAGAGCAUUCUACAAUGCCAUACUCAAAAGAUUUAACUGAAGCACAUGAAGCAUUAUAUAAAUCAAUAAAGGACUAUCUCAUGCUAGACGGGUGCAUAAAAGGAGAAGAAAAACACUAAGGACACAUAUCAUGUGAACAAAACAAAAACCGAGGUAUACCGAUAAUUGUGGAAGAAUAAAGAUGGGAUGCCUUCCAGGGCAUCCCCAAGAUUAGAUGCUUGAGCCUCCUUGGAAUAUUUACUUGGGGUGCCUUGGGCAUCCCCAAGAUUGAACUCUUGUCUCCGUGUAUUCAUCUUUUAUUGAUACCUCCUCGAUCUUCGAAAACUUCAUUCAUACAGAACUUAACAAAACCCUCGUGAGAUCCGUUAGUAAAAUAAAGCAAAAUACUACUUUAAGUACUGUUGUGAACUCAUUCCAAAUUCAUAUUAGAAUUAUAUCUACUGUAGUCCAACUUCACAAUGGUUCAUACCCCCAGUACUACCCAUAUAUUCAUCAAAACAAGAGAACAAUGCAUAGAAAACAAAAUUUGUCAAAAAGAGGAGAGUCUAUAGUAAUCUGGAAACUUUGUAUACUACUGUAAAUCAAACAAUUCCGAAUAAGUUGGAAGAAAUAAAAAAUAUUCAUAGAAGUAGUGUGUAAAAAGUUCAGAAACUUUUUACAUUCCAGUAAAAAACGUAAAUUCACGCACUACAACGAAAGUUUCUGUUUUUGCACUUCACACACCAAACAAGCAAUCUAAUCAUCCUAAUGGCAAAUCUUGGCAUGUUACUUUUAUAAUACAAUGGAUAUAUACAAGGGGAUAAUUAUUUUUGAGAAACUUCCAUCAAAAAUUCUACAUUGCUUACAUGAUCAUGAACACAAGUGUUCAAGGUCGACCCUCACUUCCCCAAUGCACAACCUUCCAAUCACUUCUCUUUUUGAAAACUUCUUAGGCAUAAGAGGCAAGUAAAUAUUUUUGUAUUUUUAAUUAUUUUUUUAGUUUCACCCACAAAUAAAUAAAUCAAAAUGGGAAAAAAUCUACUUAGUGAAGAAAUCAAACAAGCACAUUCGAGAAUAUCAACCCCACGCUAUUGCUCCCCGAAAACGGCGCCAGAAAAGAGCUUGAUAAUCCCCAAGUGCAAGGAAUCAUCGUGGCAAUUUCCAAAGGUGGAAGUGAUAAGUAUGGACUGUCGAACCCACAAGGAGCUAAAGGUAAGAGAAAUAUUAUCCCAAGUCCUAUAUGCCACUGACACUACUCUACGUACGCCGAACAUUUGCUUCCAACUAGGAAGGAGAAAUAAAACUACGUUGUGGGUAUGAAGAGAAUAGCUUUGCAUGACAUCGAAGAACUAAAAUAUAAAAAUAGGUGCUUUUAUCAUAAAGCUAGAAUAUGUUACAAUAUAUUAUAAAUAGCGAGUGUGGAAUAAUGAUGGGUCGGUGUGCGGAAUUGUCCUAGGCAAUUGUUAAGUAGAUUGGUAAUCAUUAUUGCAAUUUUACAUGAGGGAGAGGCAUAAGCUAACAUACUUUCUCUACUUGGAUAAUAUGCAGUUAUGAAUGGAACUCUAGCAAGCAUCCGCAACUACUAAAGAUCAUUGAGGUAAAACCCAACAAUAGCAUCAAGUCCCCUUUCUCCCAUACGCAACAACCCACCUACUCGGGUUUAUGCUUCUGUCACUCUAGCAACCCACUAUAAGAGAUCAUGAACGUAUUGCAACUCCCUACAGCGAGAAUCCCUCACGCUUGCACGACACGGAGAGCGUCAUAAGACAGAACCAAUAAUAAAUCACGCGACUCAAACCAAUCUAGAUCAUCAACCAACCCAUAAGACAAAGGGAAACUACUCAAAACAUCAUACCAUGGCAACACAUCAUUGGAUCAUAAUAUGUGGCAUGAAGCACCAUUUUCAUGUAGGGGAUUAUAGCGGGAUGCGGGAGAGUGGACCGCUAAAAAGAAGAUGAGGAUGGUGAUGAAGAAGGUGAUGUUGAUGAAGACGAUCACCGCGGUGAUGGUUCCCUCGAUGGCACUCGGCACCACCGGGAGAGAGGGGGAGAGGAUCUCCCCCUUGUGGCUCCUCCCCCAUGGUUUUCCCCCCAAGGUGGGGAGAGGUUCCCCCUCUAAUCCUUGGCAUCCAUGGUGACGAUGGCCCCUCCGUCUUCCUCCUCCAUGGUCUCCGGCGAUGGUGACCCCUCCGGCAGCGUGCCGGAGUGGGUCAAGAUUGAUUUUUCGUGGCUCUAGCUUGCGGUGGCGGAACUCCCGAUCUAGGUUUCUUUCUGGGGGUUUUGGGUUUUAUAGGAAUUUUUGGCGUCAGUCUCACGUCAAGGGGACUCCUGAGGGACUCCUCGGGAGUCCUCUCUGGUAUCUUUUUCCUCCAGUAUUUUUUAUAUUCUCCAAAAAUAUUCUUUGUAAAUUUUCAGCCCAUUCCGAGGAUUUUUAUUUAUGCACAAAAACACCACAUUAGUUCUGCCGAAAACAGCGUCACUCCGGGUUAGUUCUAAUAAAAUCAUACCAAAAUCAUAUAAAAUUAAUGUAAACAUGGCAUGAAUACUUUAUAAAUUAUAGAUACGUUGGAGACGUAUCAAGGAGCAAGAGUGGCUGGGGACGAUGUCGUGGAAAACUGUCCGGGUCGGCUGGAGCUCGGACUCCAGGAUGCCGAGCUUGUCCAUGGUGUCGCGGUAGAGGAUGUUGAUGCUGCUACCUCCCUUGAUGAGCAUCGGUGCGAAACCGGGAGGUGCUCCGUGUGGAGACGAAGGUGGGGUCGAGAACCAGCGCGUAUCCGCCUCGCGUGGGCAUCACAGGAGAAUGGUCUUGGCACCGAAGGUGACGGGCUUGUUCAACCAUUGCAUGUACUCUGGGACAGGAGGAACGAUGAUGUUGACCUACAGCGCGUGACGGCGCUCGCUGUGCUUGUCGUCGUCUUCAGUGGUGAAGACACGUACGUCGCGUCUUGCUGGGGGUAGUCGUCCCGAGCGCCGCCGGCUCCCAGAGCGGGUGGUGGUGGUGGCGGCUGCGACACGGGAGGCAAAGCCUCGUCCCGCACGAUCUUGGUGAACCAGCUGCACUGGCGUCCCGUGUGCGCUGCGGGCUUGGCCCCGUUGUCGAACUUGCAGGGUCCGUCGAGCAUGGACUCGAAUUUGUACUUGCUGUGCCAUGGAUGCUUGCCCUCAUUGGUGCACUGACGCCGGCUGGCGCCUUGGCCGUCAUCCAUACAGCCGUCGGCUGGUGCCUUGGCGGGCGUACGGCUGGUCUGCCUUACGCUUGCCCUGGUCUGGCUGGUAUCGGACGGCAGCCGGGGUGGCAGCCGGCUUGGCGGCGGUCGGCUUGGCGGUCAUGUCGACAUGCACUCGGAGCUUCAUGGAAGACUCGGUCAUGGCGUAUUGGUCGACGAUGGACAUUAGUUGCACCAGGGUCGCCGGCUCCCGGCGCACGAGUUUGCUUGAGGAGGGUGUCGUCCCGGCAGCCGUAGAUGAAGUACUGCAUCGCUUGCAACUCGUGGAUGCCAUCGCAGGAAUUUCGGAGCUCGUCCCAUCGCGUUACGUAGUCGUGGAGAAGCUCGUCCGGCCCGUGCACGCACAACGUGAGCUGGUGAGGCCGGCCCGGACGCUUGUAGGUGCCGAUGAAGUUGCACACAAACGUCUCCUAGAAGUCCAGCCAGCCGUUGACGCUGUCGGCCGGAAGGCUGUUAAGCCAGGUCCGAACCGAGCUCAGUAGCAUGUGGGGCGCGUAGCACACUGCCACACGCUUGUUGCCGCUGGCGAUGCCGACAGCGGUGGUGUAGUCGAUCAACCAUUCUUCCUGCUUGGUCAAACCGUUGUACUUGGGAGUGUCGCGCGCCAAGGUUAAGCCCUUAGAAAACGACUCCUUUAGGAAGCGCGGCCCGAAGCAGGACCGGCCAGCUGUGCCUUCCUCCUCGGCGGCUUGGGACCCGGCGAUGCACGCCAUAUGGAAGCGGGCAUCCUGGUCGUCCAGCUGACGCACGUCGACACGCUUGGAUACGGGGUGACGGGAAGGCGGAUGCUCGGCCUCCCGGUCGCGGUCCUCGCAUUGAUUCCUCCGUGUGGGCUGGUGGUCGCCCUGGCCAGUCGGCUCCCUCACACGGCUGUCGACAACUGAUGGGUUGUGGUCUCGCCGACCGUGUCUGCCCGCGCCAACUGUCAUGGUGCUGGUCGGUGUUGGCAGGUAAAGAUGCGUGAUUCGGGUCCCGCCGACUGGCCGCAAGCUAGUAGGGGCCAAUGAGGUCGUUGUUGGUCCUCGAGCGGGAGCCAGUCGUGCCGCGGAGCGACUGGCUUGCCUGCUCGUGGUGCGCGUUGGCAGCCUCCAUGAGAGCGCGGAUGUGCUCCUGCUAUGCCUCAAGGGUCGGGCCGUCGAGCCCCCUAGCUAGCCGAGGGCGGCCUCUGCGGCCCUCAUGUUCUUGACGGGGGUAUCGUAGACGGGGCAGCCGCCUACCAGCUACUGGCCAACGGCACCGCCGCAGCGCCGCACUUCCGCCACCCGGCUGGGUGCGAUGUCAGCCAGCGUGAGGCCAUGGGCCACAUUGAAAUCGUGCUGAGCAGCCUCGAACUUGCUUUGGGUCGCCUCCAACGCUUCCGCCUCCGCGAGAAGGCGCUCGCGGUGGUUGUCCAGUUCCGCGGUUGCGGCCGCAGGGUCAGCCACAACCAGGAUGGGCACGCGUAGUGUGUCUAGUGAAGCGCAAAGAGGGGUGCGGUACGCGGACGUACCACCCAGGGAGAUGGCAAUCAUUACCUCCACACGGAUGCAUAGGACGUCGAUGUCGCUAGAGAGGUCGUCGUCGGACGACGACAUGACAUCACCACAUGACGGCAGACGACGGGUUACUCGUCGGAGAUGACGGCGACAUAGAAGCGGUGGGACCCGAAGGCGACGAAGGAGCCGUUGUCGGGGAAGUCUGCAUCCUCGAGGCGAUGGGCGUUGUCCUUGACACAGUUGAGUGCGUCGUAGCACAGGAGCAAGCCAUGCGCCACGCGCUCGCCAGAAAGGGUUACGGGUCCCGCCCAGAACGUCACUCCGGCCUGCAUCGCUGCCGGCCCUACGGUGGGCACCAACUAUCAUAGUAUUUCCGCGGCAGAUGCCAGGGGGUGGCUUAGAACAUGGUUUGGGGCCGAUGGGUGUGAUACAUCUCCACCGUAUCUAUAAUUUAUGAACUAUUCAUGCCAUGUUUACAAUAAUUCUAUAUGAUAUUGGUAUGAUAUUAUUAGAACUAACCCGGAGUGACGCUGUUUUCAACAAAGCUACCGUGUUGUUAUUUUUGUGCAGAAAUAAAAGUUCUCAGAAUGGGCUGAAAAUUUACGGAGAAUAUUUUUGGAAAAUAUGAAAAAUAAUGGAGCAAAAAGAUACCGGAGAGGAGUCCCGAGGCAGUCACCAGGGCGCGACCCCCCCUAGGUCGUGCCCCUGGCUUGUGGGCCCGUCGAGCACUCCCGUGACAUGGUUCCAACGCCAAAUAUUCUUAUAAAUAUAGAAACCCUCGAAAAGAAACUUUGAUCAGGAGUUCCCCCGCAGCAAGCCUCCAGAGCCAUGAAAAACCAAUCUUGGCCCGCUCUCGCACCCUGCCGGAGAGGGCCACCAUCACCGGAGACCAUGGAGGAGGAAUACGGAGGGGCCAUCAUCACCAUGGAGGCGAAGGACCAUAGGGAGAACCUCUCCCCACCUUUGGGGGAGGCCACGAAGGAGGAGGCACAAGGGGGAGAACCUCUCCACCUCUCUCCUGGUGGUGCCAGACGGCCACAUGGGGAACCAUCGCCGCGGUGAUCGUCUUCAUCAACAUCACCUUCUUCAUCACCAUCCUCAUCUUCUUUUAGCAGUCCACUCUCCCGCACCCCAAUGCCAUCCCCUACUUGAACAUGGUGCUCUAUGCCACAUAUUACGAUCCAAUGAUGUGUUGCCAACCUAUGAUGUUUUGAGUAGAUUCCCUUUGUCUUAUGGGUUGAUUGAUGAUCUAGAUUGGUUUGAGUUGCAUGCUUUAUUAUUGGUGUUGUCCUAUGGUGCUCUCCGUGUCGCGCAAGCAUGAGGGAUUCCCUUUGUAGGGUGUUGUAAUACGUUCAUGAUUCNNNNNNNNNNNNNNNNNNNNNNNNNNNNNNNNNNNNNNNNNNNNNNNNNNNNNNNNNNNNNNNNNNNNNNNNNNNNNNNNNNNNNNNNNNNNNNNNNNNNNNNNNNNNNNNNNNNNNNNNNNNNNNNNNNNNNNNNNNNNNNNNNNNNNNNNNNNNNNNNNNNNNNNNNNNNNNNGGUUGCUUGAGUGACAGAAGCAUAAACCCGAGUAGGUGGGUUGUUGCGUAUGGGAUAAAGCGGACUUGAUGCUUUAAUGCUAUGGUUGGGUUUUACCUUAAUGAUCUUUAGUAGUUGUGAUGCCUACUAGAGUUCCAACCAUAAGUGCAUAUGAUCAAAGUAGAUAAAGUAUGUUAGCUUAUGCCUCUCCCUCAUAUAAAAUUGCAAUAAUGAUUACCCAUCUUGUUAACAAUUGCCUAGGACAAUUGCGCACGCCGACCCAUCAUUAUUCCACACUCUCUAUUUGUAACACAUUAUAAUAUAUUCUAACUUUAUGAUAAUAGCACCAAUUUUCAUAUUUUAGUUCUCCAAUUUCAUGCAAAACUAUUCUCUUCAUACCCACAACGUAAUUUUAUUACUCGUUCCUAGUUGGAAGCAAACGUUCGGCGUAUGUAGAGUUGUAUCAGUGGCAGAUAGGAGAGAAUAUUGCUCUUACCUUUAGCUCCUUGUGGGUUCGACACUCCAUACUUAUCAUUUCCACCUUUGGAAAUUGCUACGAUUAUUCCUUGCACUUGGGGAUUAUCAAGCUCUUUUCUCGCGCCGUUGCCGGGGAGCAAUAGUGUGGGGUUGAUAUUCUCAUGUGUGCUUGUUUGCUUUCUUCACUAAGUAUAUUUUGUUUUCCCUUUUUGAUCUAUUUAGUUGUGGUUGAAACAAACAAAAAAAUUGAAUAAUGAAAAAUACAAAAAGAAUUACUUGCCUCUUAUGCCUAAGAAGUUUUCAAAAAGGGAAGUGAUUGGAAGGUUGUGCAAUGGAGAAGUGAGGAUCGACCUUGAACACUUGUGUUCAUGAUCAUGGAAGCAAUGUAGAUUUUUUUUCAUGGAAGUUUCUCAAAAAUAAUUAUCCCCUUAUAUAUAUAUCCAUUGUAUUAUAAAAAUAAUGUGCCAAGAUUUGCCUCUAGGAUGAUUAGAUUGCUUGUUUGGUGUGUGGUGUGCAAAAUAGAAACUUUGGCUCCACUCCGCGAGUUUACGUUUUUUACUGGAAUGUCAAAAGUGUCUGAAAUUUUUACAAAAAAAUUAUUUCGUGCUAAUUAGUCAGAAUAUUUUGAGUUACAGAAGUAUACGAAGUUUUCAGAUUGCUACAAAUUGUACUGUUUUGACAGAUUCUGUUUUCUUACGAUUGUUCUCUUGUUUUCAUGAAUCUAUGGGUAGUACCGGGGGGUAUGAACCAUGGUGAACUUGGACUACAUUAGAUAUAAUUCUAAUAUGAAUUUGGAAUGAGUUCACAACAGUACUUAAAGUAGUAUUUUUCUUUAUUAUACUAACGGAUCUCACGAGAGUUUUAUUAAGUUUUGUAUGAAUGAAGUGUCCGAAGAUCGAGGAGGUAUCGUUAAAAGAUGAAUACAGGGAGACAAGAGUUCACGAUUGGGGAUACCCAAGGCACGCCAAGUAAAUAUUUCAACGAGGCUCAAGCAUCUAAUCUUGGGGAUGCCCUCGAAGGCAUCCCAUCUUUAUUCUUCAACAAUUAUCGGUAUACCUUGGUUUUUGUUUUGUUCACAUGAUAUGCGUCCUUAGUGUUUUUCUUAUCCUUUUAUGCACCUUUCUAGUAUGAUAUAGUCCUUCAUUGAUUUAUAGAAUGCUUCAUGCGCUUCACUUAAAUCUUUUGAGUAUGGCUUUGUAGAAAGCUCUUGGUGCUUCACUUAAAUCUUUUGAGUACGGCUCUAUAGAGUGCUCUUCGUGCUUCACUUAAAUCUUUUGAGUAUGGCCUUAUAGAACGCUUCGUGUGCUUCACUUAUAUAUUUUCAGCUUAGAUAUUGGUUGAUCUAUAUUAAUUGUAGAAUGCUCUAUGAACUUCACUUAUAUCUUUUAGAGUAUGAAUAAAAUUAUCAUCGCAAUUAGGCUUGGACGAGCAUCAUUGAAAUGAUCAUGCCUAGCUAAAAGGCAUUAAAGAAAAUCGUUUAUUGGGAGAUGAUGUCCCACAAGCGUAUGGGAUCACAGCAGUUUUCGAGGGUAGAGUAUUAGACCCAAAUUUAUUGAUUCGCUCACAAGGUGAAGCUAAAGGAUAUUCUCAAGUAUUGGCAGCUGAGUUGUCAAUUCAACCACACCUGAAAAAUUAGUGUCUGCGAGCAAAGUAUCAGUAGCAAGGUAGUAUGAUAGCAACGGCACCAGAAAAAGCUUUGGCAAUGAUACGUCUCCAUCGUAUCUACUUUUCCAAACUCUUUUGCCCUUGGUUUGGACUCUAAUUUGCAUGAUUUGAAUGGAACUAACCUGGACUGACGUUGUUUUCAGCAGAAUUGCCUUGGUGUUAUUUUUGGGCAGAAAUCAAAGUUCUGAGAACGUCCUGAAAAUUUACGGGGAACAUUUUUGGAAAAUAUGAAAAAUACCUGCGCAAAGAUCCACCUCAGGGGGUGGGCGAGUGGGCCACAAGCCCUGCCUCCACCACCCCCCUGGUGGCGGUGGAUAAGCUUGUGGGGCCCACACGACUCUGCCGCCCCCAAUCUCAGGUCUAUAAGUUCACUUUCGUCCCAGAAAAAAAUAAAAAGAGAAGAUUUCGUCGCAUUUGCGAUAUGGAGGCGCCGCCACAACCUGUUCUUCAUCUGGAGGGCAGAUGUGGAGUCCGUCUUGGGCUCCGGAGAGGGGAAAUCGUCACCAUCAUCAUCAUCAACCUUCUUCCCUCUCCAAUUCCAUGAAGCUCUUCGUCGUUCGUGAGUAAUCUAUUCGUAGGCUCGCUGGGCGGUGAUGGGUAGGAUGAGAUCUAUCAUGUAAUCGAGUUAGUUUUGAUGGGGAUUGAUCCCUAGUAUCCACUAUGUUCUGAGAUUGAUGUUGCUACUACUUUGCCAUGCUUAAUGCUUGUCACUAGGGCCCGAGUGCCAUGAUUUCAGAUCUGAAAUUAUUAUGUUGCCACCAAUAGAUGUGUGUUUUAGAUCCGAUCUUGCAAGUUGUAGUUACCUACUAUGUGUUAUGAUCCGGCAACCCCGGAGUGACAAUAACCGGAACCACUCCCGGUGAUGACCAUAGUAUGAGGAGUUCAUGUGUUCACCAAGUGCUAAUGCGUUGGUCCGGUUCUUUAUUAAAAGGAGAACCUUAAUAUCCCAUAGUUUCCUUUUGGACCCCGCUGCCACGGGAGGGAUGGACAAUAGAUGUCAUGCAAGUUCUUUUCCCUAAGCAUGUAUGACGACACACGGAAUGCAUGCCUACAUCACAUUGACGAACGGGAGCUAGCCACAUAUCUCUCCGUGUUAUAAUUGUUGCAUGAUGAAUAUCACCCAAACAAAUCACCGACCCAUUGCCUACGAGUUUGUCCUACUGUUGAUGUUACUUGUCUUGCUCUGCUGCUGUUACUUGUCUUGCUCUGCUGCUACUGUUGCUACUACUGUCGCUUACCACUGGGUUACUUGCUACUUUGCUGUUACUACUUUGCUUGCAGAUACUAAUCUUUCAGGUGUGGUUGAAUCUGACGCAUUCAGCUGCUAAUACACGAGAGUAUUCUCUCACCUCCUGUCUGGCGAAUCAACAAAUUUGGGUCGAAUACUCUACCCUAGAAAACUGCUGCGAACCCACGCGCUGGUGGGCCGUCAACAACAUUCUUCUAGUUUCAUUGCCAGGGAGUGCUGGUAGCAUUCUUCUGGUUCCGUUGCAGGAGAAGGUUUGUUGUCACAGAAUCCGCAUUCGUCUAGCUAUUGCCAGAGAGUGCCAGUCAGCAUUUUUCUGGCGCCGUUGCCGGGGAGGUAUUGCUAUAUUCUCUGAGUCACUUGGGAUUUAUAUCUAAAGAUCACUAUGAAGAAUCUGAAGGAUCCAAAAACCAAAGUCUUGCCCUCAACUACGAGGGGAGGUAAGGAACUGCCAUCUAGCUCUGCACUUGAUUCACCUUCUGUUAUGAGUAAGUUUGCGACAUCACCUCCUUCUAGAAAUCUUGAUAUGUCGCCUGUGCUUGAUGAUGCUACUACUAGAGAUGCUAUGCUUGAUACUAUGCCUGAUACUGCUUUGUCUGAUGAUGUUAGAGAUACUAUGCAUGAUACUGCUUUGCCUGAUAUUGCUAGAGAUACUAUGCUUGAUAUUGCUAGAGAUGCUAUGCUUGAUACUGCUUUGCCUGAUGAUGCUAUGCUUGAUACUGCUAGAGAUACUACUUUGCCUGAUGUUCCACUAGGGGUAUUCCUUGAUGCUCAUAUUGCUAGAGUUACUUCCAAUGAUCGUGAUGCUUCUGAAACUGCCGAUACUAUUGAGAUAGAACCUGCUUUUGCUCCUGCUAGAUCUAGCUUUCCUAGAUAUGAAUUGCCUGAUAUACCUGAGGGUUACGUUAUGGAGGGAGAGAUAGCUGAGGAUUUUCUUGCAUGUAAGGAUGCCUAUGACACUGAGAAAUUACUUCUCAAGUGGAAGGAAAAAUCUCUGAAAGCUAGGAUGAAAUACGACCCGAAGUUUGCCACUUCACCUAUCUUUAUCACCCAUAAGGAUUAUGAAUUCUCUGUCGACCCCGAGAUAAUCUCUCCAGUCGAAUCUGAUCCUUUCCACGGUUAUGAGUCUGAGACGGUCGUAGCCCAUCUUGCCAAACUACACGAUAUAGCCACCCUUUUCACUAAUGAGGAGAAGAUCCGCCACUACUAUAUCCUUAAGUUGUUUCCUUUUUCCCUGAAGGAUGAUGCUAAAGCCUGGUUCACCUCUCUUGCUCCUGGAUGUGUGAGUAGUCCCCAGGAUAUGGUCUAUUACUUCUGUGAGAAAUAUUUUCCUGCCCAUAAGAGGCAAGCUGCCUUGCAGGAAAUAUACAACUUUGCUCAACUCCAAGAAGAGAGUCUUCCACAAGCUUGGGGGAGGCUCGUCCAGCUACAGAAUGCUUUGCCUGAUCACCCUCUUAAGAAGAACGAGAUACUUGAUAUCCUCUAUAACGGACUUAUCGAUGCCUCUAGAGACCAUCUAGAUAGUUGUGCCGGUUGUGUUUUUAGGGAACAAACUGCAGAACAAGCUGAGACCCUACUGAAUAACAUCUUGAUCAACGAUAAUGUUUCGACUAUUCCCGAACCACGUCCUAAGCCAACUCCUAAGAAAUAAGGUAUUCUAUUCCUCAGUCCCGAAGAUAUGCAAGAAGCCAAGAAAUCUAUGCAAGAGAAAGGCAUUAGAUCUGAAGAUGUCAAAAAUCUACCACCUAUCGAAGAGAUCCAUGGUCUCAAUAACCCGAUACAGGUAGUAGAAGUAAAUUCUCUGCGUAGGUUUGAUGAGAGUGAUAUUCGUUUUGACGAACCUGCUAGCCUAUGCUUUGAUGAAUUUGACAACUUUGUUGCCAAACAACAGAGUUUCAGUGAUUAUGUUAGCAGACAUUUGGAACAAAGUACUCGUAUGCUUAGCCAUUUAAGUGCUUGUGUAGACAGAAAUGUCAAUGAUCUGAAGCUUCUGACUAAAAAUGCCUCUAUGAUUACUACUCAGGUAGAAAAAGUACUUAAAGCUUAGAAUGACUUGCUCAAUGAAUUAAAUGACAACUCUGUCAGAGUCAUUACUAGAGGAGGCAAAAUGACUCAGGAACCUUUGUAUCCUGAAGGUCAUCCUAAGAGAAUUGAUCAAGAUUCUCAAGGAAUCAAUGCUGAUACACCCAGUCAUCCUAAGGAGAAGAAGAAGGAUGAUAGACACCUACAUGCCAGUUCACCAAAUACUGGCACACCUGAAGAACCUAAUGAUAUUUCUGCGUCUGAUGCAGAAACACAAUGUGGUGAUGAACAUGAACCUGGUGACAAUAUGGAUAGCGAUGUUCAUAAUAAUGCUCAACCUAGCAAUGAUGAGGAUGUGGAGAUUGAACCUACGGUUAAUCAUGAUAAACCACAACCUAAGAGAUACGAUAAGAAUGACUUCACUGCUAGGAAGCAUGGUAAAGAAUGGGAGCCAUGGGUUCAGAGAUCUAUGCCCUUUCCUCCUAAGCCAUCCAAGAAAAAGGAUGAUGAGGAUUUUGAGCGCUUCGUUGAGAUGAUAAGACCCAUCUUUCUGCAGAUGCGGUUAACUAAUAUGCUCAAGAUGUCUCCGCAUGCCAAGUACAUGAAAGAUAUCGUGACUAAUAAACGGAAGAUACCAGAUCUUGAGAUCUCCACCAUGCUUGCCAAUUACACUUUCAAAGGUGGAACUCCUAAGAAACUUGGUGAUCCCGGAGUGCCCACUAUACCUUGUUCCAUUAAAGGAAACUACGUAAGAACUGCCUUAUGUGACCUUGGAGCCGGUGUUAGUGUUAUGCCGCUCUCUCUUUAUCGUAGACUUGAGUUGGAUAAGUUGACACCCACUAAAAUUUCUCUGCAAAUGGCCGACAAAUCAACUGCUUUUCCUAUCGGCAUUUGCGAGGAUGUGCCUGUUGUGGUUGCUAAUACCACUAUCUUAACAGACUUUGUUAUCUUGGAUAUUCCCGAGGAUGAUGCCAUGGCUGUCAUCCUCGGAAGACCCUUUUUAAACACUGCAGGGGCUGUUAUAGAUUGCAACAAAGGCAAUGUCACUUUCCAUGUCAACGGUAAUGAGCACACAGUGCACUUUCCGAAGAAACGAUAUCAACUACAUUGCAUCAAUGCUAUUGAAAAGACUUCAUCGAUUCUUAUUGGGAGCUUUGAAUGCCCUAUUCCUCGUGUCAAGAUGAAGUAUGAUUUGCUUGUUGGGGAGAUACAUAUCCCCAUUGAGGUGACUUAGUGGCUAUUCGAAAAUUCUCCGUUCUCUCUUGCGAUUCGAGAAGGUUUUUUCAUGAGGACUUGAUCAACCCAUUGACGGAUUUCUUUCGAUGACCAUGAAAUGGAUGAAUCAAAGAGUCACAUACCUCUGUUUUGAGCUUUCAUUUUCUGUUGCUUAGAAGAAAAAUGAUGGAAUUAGUUUAGCUUUUCCUGUUUUCUCUUUUAGCGUCCCGGAGAAAAAUACCUCGAAAAUAAAAGUUCUCCGAUGGUCUUGAAAAUUUAGUUUGAUUUUUUCUGGAAUUUUUGAAAAUUACUGGGCCUGAGAGAUGGCCUGGGGGCGAGACCAGUGGGCCACAAGCCCUGCCACCGCCACCCCCCUGGUGGCGGAGAGAAAGCUUGUGGGGCCCACACGGACCCCCUCCACUCAUUCCAGCUCCCAGCCUCUUCUUCCACCUCCAGAAAAAAAUUGUUUCGCAGCUCAAACCCGUGUUCUUGCUCAUUUGGCUGUGAUUUUGGAUCUCCUUGCUCAAAGCACCAUUCUCCGAACCGUUCUGGGGAAAUUACUCCUUGGUAAGUGACUCCUCCAUUGGUCCAAUUAGUUUUUGCUCUAGUGCUUUAUCCUUCGCGUAUUCUUGCUACCUUGGUGACCCUGUUCUUGAGCUAGAAAAGUUUAUUUUAGCUAGACCCAAGUAGUUUUAGCGCGUGAUACGGUCUCUAGGCACUAGUAGGAGUAGUUGCUACAAGUUGGGUUAAUCUUUUUUCACUUUUCUUUCGAAGUCUCUAAACAUUUCAGAAUUUUUCAGAGCUAGAAAAAGGAAAAGAUGAAGAGGUUCUUGAGAGGCUCUUCAAGCCGUAACCCCAAGGAGGAUGAGAAGAACCACCCCAAGUAUGUAGUCCCUCGAGUCACAGAAGUUCGAGCGUGCGAGUGGCCAAGUGAUGAAUUUUUGCGCGCCACCGGACUUUAUGAAGACUUUUACUACUUGGUGGAGAACGCGGGUCUUACCGCGUUCGUUGAAGAUAAGUGCUCACAAUACCUCUUCCUCACCAAUAUUUUUGUUCAAAGCUUCAACUUUUAUCCGAGGAAGAAUCCUCGCAUGGUUGAGUUCAUGAUAUACGACAUCCCCCAGUGCAUGACACUACAGGAUUUUUGGAAUGUAUGCAAAUUACCUUGUGUUGGCGAUAUCCGUGACCCUCGUCCACAGGACUUGGAGGAUUUCAUUGGUUCUACUGCUGUUGGAGAGGAGAGAGGAGUGUCUCGCGCUAGAAUUGUUAGCAUACAUUUUCCUAUGCUCCGGUAGUUCUCACUAUUUGUGGGAAAAUGUUUGAUUGGCCGUGGGGAGGCUGGAUCACUUAGUUCUCCAGACCUUGCAGUUUUACGCGAAGACCUUUAUAACGAUAAGGCUUAUAGCCUAGGUGUUAUAGUGGCCCAGCGGUUGAACACCAACCGUUCCAAGGGUGUCGUCUAUGGAGGUAUCUAUGCUACCCGUCUUGCCAGACACUUUGAGAUACCCAUUAGACUGGGAGAGGAAGGAGAGAUGCUUCUCCCCGAGAAAUAUCUGGAUUAUGACAGCAUGGUUCGCCAUGAUUAUCUGGAUAGAGAUGCUAGUAUAUGGAUGAUUUAUAACCUGGUAUUUAGUCAGGGUACUCGAGAGACUAUUACUUUGCCUGCCCCUUCUUUGUUUGAUCUUCAUGCAGACAGGUACACUAUUAUGCCCUCGGACAUCUACGCAUAUUGGGGCCUGGCCCAACCACACGCGCCCGUGCCCGAGCCGUCAGUCGAGUAUCAGACGCCAGUUUAUCAGUGGGAGCCAGAGGAGCUCACACAGCAGUGGCAUCCACAGUCUGCUCCGGAGUAUCCUGGAGCUGGUGAAUUCCCACCAUGGGAGUAGUCCAAGCUAGGCCAAAAGCCUAAGCUUGGGGGAGUACGUGUUCUCACCGACUUUACAUUCAUGCUUAUGCUUUCACUUUGUUAGCCGGUGUUUACACUUUGCCACUGUAUUAUCCAUGCUAGUUUAUUUUUUUUUCUUGUUUUCUUGUUUUGUGUCCUUUUGAGAAAAUCCAAAAAGAUUUUUCUUUCUUCUUUUGCUUGUUGGGAGCUUUCCCGUGUAAAUAGUGUUCUUUUUCUUUGGGUCAAGGUAGAAGAUAUUGGUUACAAUGUUUAGUGGUUCUUGCAUGCAUACCUGUUUAGCUUUCAAAGAGCCAUAUUACCUUGUCUUCUCCUUUGUGUUUGCCUGCAGAUUCACCUUAGUCCAAUGCGCGAGCACUCUUAUUAUUGUUCACAUCGUUCGGUCAUGCAAAUGAAAGGCAAUAAUGAUGAUAUAUGAUGAAGUGACUAAGACUGAAAAGCUGGUAUGAGCUCUAUCUAUUUUGUUUUUGUAAAUAUGACUAGCUUGUCAUCCCAGAUUCAACUUUGUUGUGAGAGAACCAUGUUUGCAAUGACAACUUUGAGAUCAUAGUUUCUGAUUCCAUGCUUAUUUAGCUAGGAGCUUAUAAUGGUUUGUCUUGAAUGCCAACAUAGAUUUUGAGAUGACUAUGAUGUAGUAUGAUAGGAUGGUAUUCUCCUUUGAAUGUUUCAAGUGGCUUGACUUGGCGCAUGUUCAUGCAUGUAGUUGAAACAAAAUCAACAUAGCCUCUAUGAUGUUCGUUUUCAUGGUGAUUUAUAUCCUAUUCAUGCUUGCAUUCAAUGUUAGUCAAACGCAUUGCAUCUUGAUGACUGUUGUCGCUCUCUAGUUGGUCGCUUCCCAGUCUUUUGCUAGCCUUCACUUGUACUAAGCGGAAUACUGCUUGUGCAUCCACUUCCAUAAACCCAAGAGUUUUUCCAUGAGAGUCCACCAUACCUCCCUAUUUGCGGUAUCUACCUGCCGUUCCAAGUGAAUUUGCAUGUGACAUUCUCUAAACCAUCAAGAAAUAAUCUGUUUUGCAUGUCGGAACCGCUCAUGUGGUGACAGGGGGCUAUUGGUAUCUUCCAUGCUAGGAGUGUUAUCCUCGACAUGUGUUUAUUCACUGUCAUUCACGAGAAAGGGGCCGGUAAUAGGAAUGCCCAGUUCCACGCUUAAAUCAAAAACAUAACUGUAAAACAAGACCCCCCCCCCCCGGGUUGAUGUUAGUAUGGAUGGUACCCGAGGAUUCGGCUAGCCGUGGAUUGUGAUUGAUUGGUGGUGGGGGAGUUAAAACUUUACUUUUUUGUUUGGGAACUGCCUAUAGCAUGAGUAGCAUGGAAGAUAUUGAGAACUCUUGGUCAUUGCGUUGACAAUGAAAGCAUGCCACCCAAAAUUAUUAUCUCUGUUUUCAAAGCUUGAGCUCUGGCACCUCUGCAAAUCAAUGCUUCCCUCUGCGAAGGGCCUCUCUAUUUAUUUUCCUAUUGAGUCAUCCUCCUCUUAUAUAAGCACCAAUUAGAGAGCACUUCUGUCAUUUUUAUGCUUUGCUUUUGAUUGGUAUUGAGUAUGACUAUGACUGGAUCUUCGUUUUUAUGAAUUACAAUGUUUAGUCACCCCUUGAUCUUUGAAAGUGCUCUGCAUUUAUGUUUUGUGGUCUCAGAAAGAGCUAGCGAGAUACCACCUAUUCAUAUUGCUCCAUGCUUGUUUUGAUUGAAGUGUUGGUAUUUGAAACUCAUUAUUAUUUGCUCGUUAGCUGAUUAUGACAUUGAUAUUAGUUUACCGUGAGACCUUUGUGUCACUUGCUUAUGUGGUUAACUUGUGAUAUUGCUGAAAUUGUGGUUAUGAGUUAGACAUAGUUGCAACAACAAGAUCAAACAGAGUUUGUCAAAGUUUUUCUUUCUCUCUCAGUUUGUCAACUGAGUUGCUUGAGGACAAGCAAGGUUUUAAGCUUGGGGGAGUUGAUACGUCUCCAUCGUAUCUACUUUCCAAACUCUUUUGCCCUUGUUUUGGACUCUAAUUUGCAUGAUUGAAUGGAACUAACCUGGACUGACGCUAUUUUCAGCAGAAUUGCCUUGGUUUUAUUUUUGUGCAGAAAUCAAAGUUCUCAGAACGUCCUCAAAAUUUACGGGAACAUUUUUGGAAAAUAUGAAAAAUACCUAUGGAAAGAUCCACCUGAGGGGGUGGGCCAGUGGGCCACAAGCCCUGCCUCCGCCACCCCCUGGUCGCGGUGGGCAAGCUUGUGGGGCCCACACGGCUCUACCGCCCCCAAUCUCAGGUCUAUAAGUUCACUUUCGUCCCAGAAAAAAUAAAAAGAGAAGAUUUCGUCGCGUUUGCGAUACGGGGGCGCUGCCACAACCUAUUCUUCAUCUGGAAGGCAGAUCUGGAGUCCGUCUUGGGCUCCGGAGAGGGGAAAUCGUCGCCAUCGUCAUCAUCAACCUUCUUCCCUCUCCAAUUCCAUGAAGCUCUUCGUCGUUCAUGAGUAAUCUAUUCGUAGGCUCGCUGGGCGGUGAUGAGUAGGAUGAAAUCUAUCAUGUAAUCGAGUUAGUUUUGAUGGGGAUUGAUCCCUAGUAUCCACUAUGUUCUGAGAUUGAUGUUGCUACUACUUUGCCAUGCUUAAUGCCUGUCACUAUGGCCCGAGUGCCAUGAUUUCAGAUCUGAAAUUAUUAUGUUGCGACCAAUAUAUGUGUGUUUUAGAUCCGAUCUUGCAAGUUGUAGUUACCUACUAUGUGUUAUGAUCCGGCAACCCCAGAGUGACAAUAACCGGAACCACUCCCAGUGAUGACCAUAGUUUGAGGAGUUCAUGUGUUCACCAAGUGCUAAUGCAUUGGUCCGGUUCUUUAUUAAAAGGAGAACCUUAAUAUCCCAUAGUUUCCUUUUGGACCCCGCUGCCAAAGGAGCGAUGGACAAUAGAUGUCAUGCAAGUUCUUUUCCCUAAGCACGUAUGACGACACACGGAAUGCAUGUCUACAUUACAUUGACGAACGGGAGCUAGCCACAUAUCUCUCCGUGUUAUAACUAUUGCAUGAUGAAUAUCAUCCAAACAAAUCACCGACCCAUUGCCUACGAGUUUGUCCUACUGCUGUUGUUACUUGUCUUGCUCUGUUGCUGUUACUUGUCUUGCUCUGCUGCUACUGUUGCUACUACAGUCGCUUGCCACUGCCGUUACUCGCUACAUUGCUGUUACUACUUUUCUUGCAGAUAUUAAUCUUUCAGGUGUGGUUGAAUCUGACGCAUUCAGCUGCUAAUACUCGAGAGUAUUCUCUCACCUCCUGUCUGGCGAAUCAACAAAUUUGGGUCGAAUACUCUACCCUCGAAAACUGCUGUGAACCCACGCGUUGGUGGGCCGUCAAUAACAUUCUUCUAGUUUCAUAGUCGGGGAGUGCUAGUAGCAUUCUUCGGGUGCCAUUGCAGGGUAAGUUUUGUUCUCAUAGAAUCAGCAUUCGUCUAGCUAUUGCCAGACAGUGCCGGUCAGGCAAUUCCCAGCAAUGGCGCCAUAAAAAGGCACGUUGACGGGAUGUUAGCGCCAACAAAGUCUUGCAACAAGUAACAGCGGAGUAGGAAGGAACAGUAGUAGCAGCAGCAGCAAAGUAACAAGUAACAGCAGUAGCGACAGCAGCAGCAAAGUGGCCCAAUCCCUCUUGUAGCAAGGGACAAGCCUAGGCAAAGUAACAUAGCGAGGACCAGUAGUAAAAGACUCGUAGGCAGUGGAUCGGUGAUGGAUGAGUAUGACGGAUGUGAUUCAUCAUGUAAUAGCUAUAACACGGAGAGAUAUGUGACUAGCUCCCGUUCAUCAAUCUGAUGUAGGCAUGUAUUCCGUAUGUAGUCAUACGUGCUUAUGGAAAAGAACUUGCAUGCCAUCUAUUGUCCAUCCCUCCCAUGGCAGCGGGAUCCUAAUGGAAGCUACGGGAUAUUAAGGUUCUCCUUUUAAUAAAGAACCGGACCAACGCAUUAACACGCGGUGAACACAUGAACUCCUCAUACCAUGGUCAUCUCCGGGAGUGGUUCCGGCUAUUGUCACUCCGGGGUUGCCGGGUCAUAACACAUAGUAGGUGACUACAACUUGCAAGAUAGGAUCUAAAACACACAUAUAUUGGCGACAACAUAAUAGGUUCAGAUCUGAAAUCAUGGUACUCGGGCCCUAGUGACAAGCAUUAAGCAUAGCCAAGUAGUAGCAACAUCAAUCAAGAACAUAGUGGAUACUAGGGAUCAAUCCCCGUCAAGAACUAACUCGAUUACAUGAUAGAUCUCAUCCAACUCAUCACCGUCCAGCAAGCCUACGAUGAGAUUACUCACGAACGAUGAAGAGCAUCAUGGAAUUGUCGAUGGAGAACGGUUGAUGAUGACGAUGGCGACGAUUGCCCCUCUCCGGAGCUCGAAACGGACUCCAGAUCUGCCCUCCAAAUGAAGAACAAGAUGUGGUGGCGCCUUCGUAUCGCAAAACGCGAUGAAACCUUCUCUCUGAUUUUUUCCGUCGAAACGGAAGAUAUAGAGCUGAGUUUGGGGGCGGUGGAGCCACGUGGGCCCCACAAGACAGCAUGGCGCGGCCUAGGGGGGUGGCCGCAUCGUGUGGGCUUGUGGCCCACUGGCACACCCCCCCCCCCUCACGUGGAUCUUUGCGCAGGUAUUUUUCUUUUAUUCCAGAAAAAAUCUCCGUAAAUUUUCAGGAUGUUCCGAGAACUUUUAUUUCUGCACAAAAACAACACCAUGGCAAUUCUGCUGAAAACACCGUCAGUCCGGGUUAGUUCCAUUCAAAUCAUGCAAGUUAGAGUCCAAAACAANNNNNNNNNNNNNNNNNNNNNNNNNNNNNNNNNNNNNNNNNNNNNNNNNNNNNNNNNNNNNNNNNNNNNNNNNNNNNNNNNNNNNNNNNNNNNNNNNNNNNNNNNNNNNNNNNNNNNNNNNNNNNNNNNNNNNNNNNNNNNNNNNNNNNNNNNNNNNNNNNNNNNNNNNNNNNNAGUCCGGGUUAGUUCCAUUCAAAUCAUGCAAAUUAGAGUCCAAAACAAGGGCAAAAGAGUUCGGAAAAGUAGAUACGAGGGAGACAUAUCAGGAGACAACCCAACACUUUUACCUUCUAUUUUUGUGAGUUCACAUGAUUAAGCUACUGUAGUAAUCAUGUUUUGUGUCUUUUAUUUCAAUAAAGUGUCAAGUAAAGCCUUUGGAAUGACUCACAAGAUGAGUAGAAUUGAUGCCGAACCAAAACAGAAACUUUUCACUCAAGUACAUGAAUUUUCAUUUUUUUACCAAAGCGUGAUAAUGAUUUAAAAUUUUACACAGUAUUUAUAUAUAAAUUCUCCUGGUUUUGCUAAUUUUUUAGAAUUUUGAUAGACAGGGAAGUAUGGCUAUACUACAGAGUUCUAUAAAUUAUGGGAAACAUGGCUACUGUUCUGUUUUCGACAGAUUAUGUUUUGUAUGCAUAGUCUGCUUAUUUUAGUGUUCCCAUAGCUUAUAUUCAGUAAUAUAAAUUAUGGGAAUGAUAGAAUACAGUAGGUAUAAUGUGGUAACUAUUAUGAAUCUUGUCUUGACAGUACCUAAGUGAAUGAUCUAUCUUUAUUACACUAAGCUUUCUCACAAAGUUCCGUUAAGUUUUGUGUGAUUGAAGUUUUCAAGUUUUGGGUGAGACAUCGAUAUGAGGAGAACAAGGACUGACAAGUACCUAAGCUUGGGUAUGCCCAAGUUACCCCAAGGUAAUAUCCGUUGAAGACUCAAGUGUCUAAGCUUGAGGAUGCCCCGGAAGCAUCCCCUCUUUCAUCUCCAACGCUAUACGUAAUCUUACUUAGAGCUAUAUUUUUAUUCGUCUCGUAAUAUGUGUUUUUCUUGGAGCAUCAUUUUAUUCUAUUGAUUUCUGUUAGAUGUUAUUUAUAAUUUUGUUUUCUAUAAAAAUCCAAGAAUUGUAUUAGGAUGCUUGCAUUGCAUGGUUUGAUGUGUGCUGUAUAAAAACAGAAACUCUUGUUGUAGUGUUUGAAUUUUCAUAUUUUACUAGAAUGUGGAAAGUUUGUGAAAUAUUUACACAAAUUUUUCUUAUAAAUUUUAUAGAAUGAACUAAAUUUGCAUAAUUUUUUGAGUUACACAAGUAGACUGUUUUCAUAAAUUGCUACAAACUGUUCUGUUUGGAUAGAUUGUUGUCAUAGUUUUGUUAUCUACUUAUCAUAUAGUUUCCAUAGCCUAUAUUGGUAGAUAUAAAUUGUGGAAACGAUAGUAAACAGUACAUGAUGUUUGAAAGUUAUUAUACAACUUUUCUUGUCAGUACAUGAAGAGUUGAUUUAUUAUUGUGUGUACUAACCUAUCUCAUGAGUUCUUUUCGAGUUCUGUGUGGAUGAAGUUUUUUAGAAAAGGUGAAACCAUGAUAUGAGAGGAUUGAAUGAGAAACAAAAGCUCAAUCUUGGGGAUGCCCAAGGCAUCGCAAGUAAAUAUUUCAAGAACUCUCAAGUAUCUAAGCUUGGGGAUGCUACGCAUCCCACCUCUCUUUGUCAACUAUCGGUUAGCCUAUCUUGAGCCUAAAUUUUUAUUCGUUCACAUGACGCGUCCUAUUCUUGGACUACUAUUUUUCUUUUGCUUGCUAUUUAAAUAAAAUACUCAGAUCUGAGAAUCUUUAUUGAGAGAGAGGAAGAAAGUCCUCACAUAGAUACUUAAUUGUUUGACUACUCAUUGAUCUUCACUUAUAUGUUUUGGAGUAGUUUUGGCAUUUACUCUCGUGCUUCACUUAUAUCCUAUGAGUAAAUAGUUGAAUGAAUUGGAUAUUAUAAAUAUGAAAUUAUAUAUGUUCUAAGUGCUUAUCCCAUGGGGAGUAAUGACUUCACAUAUAAGAAGUAUAGGUGGUAUAAUUUAUUGAAAGUUAGCAAACACCGCAUUGGUCACUUGAACAAUACAUGAAAGAAUAUUGAAGGAAGAGAGAUUCCACAUAUAAAUAUACUAUCUUGGACAUCUUUCAUGAUUAUGAGCCCCAUUAAUUAUUUUCAAACUUGAGCAAAUUAGUUGAAGUUGGACAAGGAAGAGAACUUAAUGAGUUAUGUGUGGAUAUAUUUGCAUAGAAGUUAUAUUGUUAUGGAUCCUCCAACAUGUGGUGCUUGUUUAGAACCUUUUACUAGCCAAUACUUCGUGCUAAGUAGAGAUACUACUUGUGCAUCCAAAAACCCUUAAACCCAGUUUCUUGCCAUGAGAGUCCACUAUAUCUACCUAUAUGCGGUAUUUACCUCCUAUUCCAAGUAAAUUUGCAUGUGCCAAACUCUAAACCUUCAAAUAAUAUUUUGUUUUGUAUGCCCGAAUCACUCAUGUAGUGACUAGGGACUGUAUUGAUUAACGAUGUGUGUUGAUUCACUAUCAUUCACGAGAAAGUGGCCGGUAUUCGGGAUGCCCAGUUCCAUGCUAAAAAAUCAAAUCAAAAUAUAAUGAUACAAACCUCCCCCAAGAUUGUUGUUUGUAUGAACGGUACCCGUGGAUUCGGCUCGUCGUGGAGUGUGGUUGAUUGGUGGAGGGGGAGUUAAAACUUUACAAUUGUGUUUGGGAACCAUCUAUAAUCUAUCUAGCAUGGAAGAUACCGAGAUCUCUCGGUUGUUAGGUUGACAAUGAAAGCAUACCGCUCAAAAUUAUUAUUCAUUUGUGUUUUAAAACCUCGAGCUUUCGCACAUAUGCAAAUCACAGCUUCCCUGUGCGAAAUUUGCAUGACUUGAAUGGAACUAACCGAGACUAACGCUGUUUUCAGCAGAAUUGCCAUGGUGUUGUUUUUGUGCAGAAAUAAAAGUUAUCGGAAUGUCCUGAAAAUUUAAGGAUAUUUUAUCUGGAAUAAAUGAAAAAUACCUGCGCANNNNNNNNNNNNNNNNNNNNNNNNNNNNNNNNNNNNNNNNNNNNNNNNNNNNNNNNNNNNNNNNNNNNNNNNNNNNNNNNNNNNNNNNNNNNNNNNNNNNNNNNNNNNNNNNNNNNNNNNNNNNNNNNNNNNNNNNNNNNNNNNNNNNNNNNNNNNNNNNNNNNNNNNNNNNNNNNNNNCAAAGAUCCACCGGAGGGGGUAUGCCAGUGGGCCACAAGCCCCUCGGCCGCGGCCACCCCCUUAGGCCGCGCCGUGAGGGCUUGUGGGGCCCACGUGGCACCACCGCCCCCAAACUCAGCUCUAUUUAUUCCAUCUCGCCCGGAAAAAAAUCAGAGAGAAGGAUUCAUCGCGUUUUACGAUACGGAGGCGCCACGAGCUCGUGUUCUUUAUCUGGAGGACAGAUCUGGAGUCUGUUCGGGGCUCCGGAGAGGGGAAAUCGUCGCCAUCGUCAUCAUCAACCUUCCUCCAUCGACAAUUCCAUGAUGCUCUUCAUCGUUCGUGAGUAAUCUCAUCGUAGGCUUGCUGGACGGUGAUGAGUUGGAUGAGAUCUAUCAUGUAAUCGAGUUAGUUCUUGACGGGGAUUGAUCCCUAGUAUCCACUAUGUUCUUGAUUGAUGUUGCUACUACUUGGCUAUGCUUAAUGCUUGUCACUAGGGCCCGAGUACCAUGAUUUCAGAUCUGAACCUAUUAUGUUGUCGCCAAUAUAUGUGUGUUUUAGAUCCUAUCUUGCAAGUUGUAGUCACCUACUAUGUGUUAUGACCCGGCAACCCCGGAGUGACAAUAGCCGGAACCACUCCCGGAGAUGACCAUAGUAUGAGGAGUUCAUGUAUUCACCGAGUGUUAAUGCGUUGGUCCGGUUCUUUAUUAAAAGGAGAACCUUAAUAUCCCGUAGUUUCCAUUAGGACCCCGCUGCCAUGGGAGGGAUGGACAAUAGAUGUCAUGCAAGUUCUUGUCCCUAAGCACGUAUGACUACAUACGGAAUACAUGCCUACAUUAGAUUGACGAACGGGAGCUAGUUACUUAUCUCUCUGUGUUAUAGCUGUUACAUGAUGAAUCACAUCCGGUAUACUCAUCCAUCACCGAUCCACUACCUACGAGUCUUUUACUACUGGUCCUCGCUACGUUACUUUGCUGCUACUGUUGUCGCUACUGCUGUUACUUCGUGCUGCUGCUACUGCUGUUCCUUGCUGCUGCUGUCACUACUGCUGUUACUUUGCUGCUACUUGUUGCAAGACUUUUCUGGAGCCGUUGCCGAGGAAGAAUAGUCCCCCGUCCACGUGCCAUUUAUUGGCGCCAUUGAUACAACAAGCUAGGAAAAGUCUGCCGUCAACACAUCUUUUUCUGACACCGUUGCUAUCAUACCACUUUGCUACUGAUACUUUGCUUGCAGACACUAAUCUUUCAAGUGUGGUUGAAAUUGACAAACUCAGCUGCUAAUACUUGAGAAUAUUCUUUCGCUUCCCCUUGUGUCGAAUCAAUAAAUUUGGGUUGAAUACUCUACCCUCGAAAACUGUUGCGAUCCCCUACACUUGUGGGUUAUCAAGACCAUUUUCUGGUGCCGUUGCCGGGGAGGCACAUCUAUAUUCUCUGAGUCACUUGGGAUCGACGUCUGCUGGUCACUAUGAGGAAUCUGAAAGAUCCAAGAACUAAAAUCUUGCCUUCCACUACGAGGAGAGGUAAGCAACUUCCAUCUAGCUCUGCACUUGAUUCACCUUCAGUUUUGAGUAAGUUUGCGACUUCGCCUCCUGCUAGAAAUCUUGAUAUGUCGCCUGUGCAUGAUGAUGCUACUUCUGCUGCCCAUGAUGCUUAUGAUGAUGCUAUGCUNNNNNNNNNNNNNNNNNNNNNNNNNNNNNNNNNNNNNNNNNNNNNNNNNNNNNNNNNNNNNNNNNNNNNNNNNNNNNNNNNNNNNNNNNNNNNNNNNNNNNNNNNNNNNNNNNNNNNNNNNNNNNNNNNNNNNNNNNNNNNNNNNNNNNNNNNNNNNNNNNNNNNNNNNNNNNNNNNNNNNNNNNNNNNNNNNNNNNNNNNNNNNNNNNNNNNNNNNNNNNNNNNNNNNNNNNNNNNNNNNNNNNNNNNNNNNCCUGAUGAUGCUAUGCCUGAUACUCCUUUGCCACUAGGUGCAUUCCUUGAUGCACAAAUUGCUAGAGUUGCUGCUAGAUGUGAUGAUACUUCUGAAACUGCUGAUACUAUUGAAGUAGAACUUGCUAGUAUGCCUGAAUUGCCUGUUAUGCAUGAACGCUAUGUUAUGGAAGGAGAGAUAGCUGAGGACUUUCUUGCGUGUAAGGAUAGCUAUGAUGUUGAGAAAUUACUGCGCAAGUGGAAAGAAAAAUCUCUGAACGCUGGGAUGAAAUACGACCCGAAGUUUGCUACUUCGCCUAUCUUUGUGACCGAUAAGGAUUAUGAAUUCUCUGUCAACCCUGAGUUAAUCACUCUGGUUGAAUCUGAUCCUUUUCACGGUUAUGAGUCUGAAACGGUUGUAGCCCAUCUUACCAAACUGCACGAUAUAGCCACCCUAUUCACUAGUGAGGAAAAGAUCCGCCACUACUAUAUCCUCAAGUUGUUUCCUUUCUCGCUAAAGGAUGAUGCUAAGACCUGGUUCACUUCUCUUGCUCCUGGUUGUGUGCGUAGCCCCCAGGAUAUGGUCUACUACUUCUCUGAAAAAUAUUUCCCUACCCAUAAGAAGCAAGCUGCCUUGCAGGAAAUAUACAACUUUGCUCAAGCUGAGGAAGAGAGUCUCCCACAAGCUUGGGGGAGGCUCGUCCAGCUACUGAAUGCUUUGCCUCAUCACCCUCUUGAGAAGAAUGAAAUACUUGAUAUCUUCUAUAAUGGACUUACCGAUGCUUCCAAAGACCACCUAGAUAGUUGUGUCGGUUGUGUUUUUAGGGAACAAACUGUAGAACAAGCUGAGAUUCUACUGAAUAACAUCUUGUGCAAUGAGAAUGCUUGGACUAUUCCCGAAUCACCUCCUAAGCCAACUCCAAAGAAAAGAGGUAUUCUAUUCCUCAGUCCUGAAGAUAUGCAAGAAGCCAAGAAAUCUAUGCGAGAGAAAGGCAUUAAAUCUGAAGAUGUCAACAAUCUACCACCUAUCGAAGAGAUCCAUGGUCUCGAUAACCCGAUACAGGUAGUAGAAGUAAAUUCUCUCUGUAGGUUUGAUGAGAGUGAUAUUCCUUUUGAUAAACCUGCUAGCUUAUGCCUGGAUGAAUUUGAUAACUUUGUUGACAAACAACAGAGUUUCNNNNNNNNNNNNNNNNNNNNNNNNNNNNNNNNNNNNNNNNNNNNNNNNNNNNNNNNNNNNNNNNNNNNNNNNNNNNNNNNNNNNNNNNNNNNNNNNNNNNNNNNNNNNNNNNNNNNNNNNNNNNNNNNNNNNNNNNNNNNNNNNNNNNNNNNNNNNNNNNNNNNNCAAACAACAGAGUUUCAAUGAUUAUGUUAGCAGACAAUUGGAACAGAAUGCUCAUAUGCUUAGUCAUUUAAGUGCUUGUGUGGACAGAAAUGUCAAUGAUCUUAAGCUUUUGAGUAAACAUGCCUGUAUGGUUACUACUCAAGUAGAACAAGUACUUAAAGCUCAAAAUGACUUGCUCGAUGAGUUGAAUGAAAAUUCCGUUAGAGUUGUUACUAGAGGCGGUAGAAUGACCCAGUAACCUUUGUAUCCCGAGGGUCAUCCGAAGAGAAUUGAACAAGAUUCUCAAGGAGUUAGCACUGAUGCACCUAGUCAUCCUAGAAAGAAGAAGAAAGAUGAUAGGAACCUGCACGCUAGCAACCCUGUUGCUGCUACACCUGAGAGUCCAAACGAUGCCUCUGUCUGUGACACUGAAACACAAUCUGGUGAUGAACAUGAGCCUAAUGAUAAUAUCAAUAGUGAUGUUCAUGAAGAUGCUCAACCUAGCAAUGAUAAGGAUGUGGAGAUUGAACCUAUUGAUCUUGAUAACCCUCGGCCUAAGAAUAGAAGAUAUGAUAAGAAUGACUUUGCUGCUAGGAAGCAUGGUAAAGAAAGGGAGCCAUGGGUUCAGAAACCCAUGCCCUUUCCUCCAAAACCAUCCAAGAAAAAGGAUGAUGAGGAUUUUGAGUGAUUCGUUGAAAUGAUCAGACCUGACUUUCUGCAAAUGCGUUUGACAGAUAUGCUCAAAAUGUCUCCGUAUUCUAAGUACAUGAAAGAUAUUGUAACUAAUAAGAGGAGGAUACCUGAGGUUGAGAUUUCCACCAUGCUUGUUAAUUAUACCUUCAAGGGUGGAACUCCUAAGAAACUAGGUGAUCCCGGUGUGCCCACUAUACCUUGCUCCAUUAAAGGCAGGUACGUUAGACCAGUGUUAUGCGACCUUGGAGCCGGUAUUAGUGUUAUGCCUCUCUCUCUUUAUCGUAGACUUGAACUGGACAAGUUGACACCCACUGAAAUCUCUGCAAAAUGGCCGACAAAUCAACUGCUUUCCCUAUCGGCAUUUGCGAGGAUCUGCCUGUUGUGGUUGCUAACGUCACUAUCUUAACAGACUUUGUUAUCUUGGAUAUUCCUGAGGACGAUGCCAUGGCGGUCAUCCUCGGAAGACCGUUUUUAAACAAUGCAGGGGCUGUUAUAGAUUGCAACAAAGGCAAUGUCACUUCCCAUGUCAACGGUAAUGACCAUACAGUGCACUUUCCGAAGAAACAAUAUCGAGUACAUUGCAUCAAUGCUAUCGAAAAAACUUCAUCAAUUUUUAUUGGGAUCUUUGAAUGCCCUAUACCUCGUGUCAAGAUGAAGUAUGAUUUGCUUGUUGGGGAGAUACACAUCCCCAUUGAGGUGACCUAGUGAUUAUUCGGAAAUUCUCCAUUAUCUUUUGUGAUUCGAAAAAGUUUGUCAAAGAGGCUUGAUCAACCUCACUGACAGAUUUCUUUUGAUGACAAUGAGAUGGAUGAAUCGAGGAGUCACAAACCUCUGUUCCAAGCUUUCACCUUCUAUUGCUUAGAAGAAAAAUGAUAGAUUUAGUUUAGUUUUCCCUGUUUUCUGUUUUAGCGCUCGGUGGAAAAGUACCCUGAAAAUAAAAGUACUCCGAACGUCCUGAAAAUCAAGUAUGAUUUUUUUUGGAAUUUUUGAAAAAUUCUGAGACAAAGAGCUUGUCGGGGGGCUGCACGAGUGGGCCACAAGCGCUUGGGGCGCGGGCACCCCCCCUGAGCGCACCACCCAGGCUUGUGGGGCCCACAGGCACCCCCUCCACUCAUUCUUGCUCUUAUCUGGUUCUCCUACCUCCAGAAAAAAUUGUUCCGCAGCUCAAACCCGUGUUCUCGCUCCUCUUGUUGGGAUUUUCGAUCUCUUUGCUCAAAUCACCGUUCUCCGAACUGUUUUGGGGAAAUUACUCCUUGGUAAGUGACUCCUCCAUUGGUCCAAUUAUUUUUUGCUCUAGUGCCUUAUACUCCGCGUAUUUUUUCUGCCUUGGUGACCAUGUUCUUGAGCUUUGCAUGCUAAUUCUAGCUGGUCCCAAGUAGUUUUGAUGCGUAAUAUGGCCUCUAGGCAUUUGUUGGAGUAGUUGCUAUGAGUUUCAUUGAGCCUUGUUCACUUUUCCUUAGAAUCACUAAAAUUUUCAGAAAAUUUCAAAGAUAGAAAAGGGAAAAGAUGAGGAGGUUCUUAAGAGGCUCUUCAAGCCGUGACCCCAAGGAUGAUGGGAGUGAGAAGAAGCCCAAGUAUCUGGUCCCUCGAGUCGCAGAAGUUCGAGCGUGCAAGUGGCCAAGCGAUGUGUUCUUACGCACCGCUGGAAUUUAUGAGGACUUUUAUCACUUGGUGGAUAACGCAGGCCUUACCGCCUUCGUUGAAGAUAAGUGUCCGCAAUACCUCCUCCUCACUAAUAUCUUCAUACAAAGUUUUAACUUCUAUCCGAGGAAGAAUCCUCCUAUGGUUGAGUUCAAAAUUUAUGAUAUCCCCCAGCGCAUGUCACACCAAGAUUUUUGCAAUGUUUGCAAAUUACCUUAUGUUGGGGAUAUUCAUGAACCUCGUCCACGGGACUUGGAAGCUUUCAUCGAUACUAUUGUUGUAGGAGAGGAGAGAGGAGUGUCUUGCGCUAGAGCUACUAGCAUUAAUUUUCCCGUGCUUCGGUACUUCUCAUUAUUUGUGGGAAAAUGUUUGAUUGGCCGUGGGAAAGCUGGGUCACUUAGUUCCCCAGAUCUUGCGGUCUUGCGCGAAGCCCUUUAUAACGAUAAAACUUAUAGCUUGGGCGCUAUAGUAGCUCAACGGUUGAACACGAACCGUUCUAAAGGCGUUAUCUAUGGAGGUAUCUAUGCUACUCGUCUUGCUAUACAUUUUGAGAUACCUAUUAGACUGGACGAGGAAGAAGAGAUUCUUCUUCCUGAGAGAUAUCUAUAUUACAAUAGCAUGGUUCGCCAUGACUUUUUUGAUAGAGAUAUAAAUAGAAGGAUGAUUUAUAACCUGGUAUUUAGUCAGGGUACUCGUGAGACUAUUACUUUGCUUGCUCCUUCUUUGUUCAAUCUUCAUGCAGGUAGGUACAUUAUUAUGCCCUUGGACAUCUACACAUAUUGGGGCAUAGCCCAACCACAGGUGCCCGUGCCCGAGCUAGCAGUCGAGUACCAGACGCCAGUUUAUCAGUGGGAGCCAGAGGAGCUCACACAGCAGUGGCAUCCUCAGUCCACUCCGGAGUACCCCGGAGCUGGUUAUUUCCCUCCUUGGGAGUAGACCAACUUAGGCCAAAAGCCUAAGCUUGGGGGAGUAGGUGUUUCUCAUUUGUGUUUUCCUGCAGAUUCCAUCUUUAGUCCACUACACGAGCACGCUUAUUAUUGUUCACAACAUUCGGUCGUGCAAGUGAAAGUCAAAAAUGACGAUAUAUGAAGUGACUGAGCCUGGAAAAGAUGGUAUGAACUCGAUCUAUUUUGUUUUUGUAAAUAUGACUAGCCCAUCAUGCCUGAUUCAGCUUUGUUGUGAGAGAAACAUGUUUGCAAUGACAACUUAGAGAUCAUAGUUGCUUAUGCCAUGCUUACUUAGCUAGGAGCUUAUAAUGGUUUGUCUUGGAUGCCCACAUGAAUGUUGAGAUGACUGUGCUGUAGUAUGAUAGGAUGGUAUCCUCCUUUGAAUGUUUCAAGUGGCUUGACUUGGCGCAUGUUCACGCAUGUAGUUGAAACAAAAUCAACAUAGCCUCUAUGAUGUUCAUGUUCAUGGUGAUUUAUGUCCUACUCAUGCUUGCAUUCAAUGUUAGUUAAUCUCAAUGCAUUUUGAUGACUGUUGUCGCUCUCUAGUUGGUCGCUUCCCAGUCUUUUGCUAGCCUUCACUUGUACUGAGCGGGAAUACUGCUUGUGCAUCCACCCCCAUAAACCCAACGUUGUUCCAUAUGAGUCCACCAUACCUACCUAUGUGCGGUAUCUACCUGCUGUUCCAAGUAAAUUUGCAUGUGCCACUCUCUAAACCUUCAAGAAAUAAUCUGUUUUGCAUGCCCGAACCGCUCAUGUGGUGAUAGGGGGCUAUUGGUAUCUUCCAUGCUAGGCGUGUUAUCCUCGAUAUGUGUUUAUUCACUAUCAUUCACGAGAAAGGGGGCGGUAAUUGGAACUCCCAGGUCCAUGCUCAAAUCGAAAAGAUAAUUGCAAACAAACCUCCCCCAGGAUUGAUGUUGGUAUGGACAGUACUCGAGGAUUCGGCUAGCCGUGGAGUGUGAUUGAUUGGUGGUGGGGGAGUCAAAACUUUACUUUUCUGUUUGGGGACCGCCUAUAGCAUGUGUAGCGUGGAAGAUGUUGAGAACUCUUAGUCAUUGCGUUGACAAUGAAAGCAUGCCACCCAAAAUUAUUAUCUCUGUUUUAAAAGCUUGAGCUCUGGCACCUGUGCAAAUUAAUGCUUCCCUCUGCGAAGGGCAUGUCUAUUUAUGUUCCUGUUGAGUCAUCCUCCUCUUACAACAAGACCCAAUUAGAGAGCACCUUUGUCAUUUUUAUGCUUUGCUUUUAACUGUGUUGAGUAUGACUGUGACUCGAUCUUCAUUGGCUAGAAUUACAAUGUUUAGUCAGCCCUUGGUCUUUGAAGGUGCUCUGCAUUUAUGUUUUGCGGUCUCCGAAAGAGCUAGCGAGAUACCAUCUAUUCGUACUGCUUCAUGUUGUUUUGAUUGAAGUGUUGACAUUUGAGGCUUAUUAUUAUUUGCUCCCUAGCUGAUUAUGCCAUUGAUAUGAGUUUAUCGUGAGACCUAGAUGUCAUUUGCUUAUGUGGUUUGCUUGUGAUCUUGCUGAAAUUCUGGUUAUGAGUUAGACAUAGUUGCAACAACAAGAUCAAACAGAGUUCGUCAAAGUUUUUCUUUUGUCUCUUUCAGUUUGUCAACUGAAUUGCUUGAGGACAAGCAAGGCUUUAAGCUUGGGGGAGUUGAUACGUCUCCGUUGUAUAUACUUUUCUGAACUCUUUUGCCCUUGUUUUGGACUCUAAUUUGCAUGAUUUGAAUGGAACUAACCCGGACUAACGUUGUUUUCAACAAAAUUGCCAUGGUGUUGUUUUUGUGCAGAAAUAAAAGUUCUCGGAAUGUCCUGAAAAUUUACGGAGAAUUUUUCUAAAAUAAAUGAAAAAUACCUGCGCAAAGAUCCAACGGAGGGGGUGUGCCAGUGGGCCACAAGCCCGUGGGCUGCGACCACCCCCCCCCCUAGGCCGCGCCGUGAGGCCUUGUGGAACCCACGUGGCACCACCGCCCCCAAACUCAGCUCUAUUUAUUCCGUCUCGCUCGGAAAAAAUCAGAGAGAAGGAUUCAUCGCGUUCUACGAUACGGAGGCGCCGCCACCUCCUGUUCUUCAUCCAGAUGACAGAUCUGGAGUACGUUCGGGGCUCCAAAGAGGGGAAAUCAUCGCCAUCGUCAUCAUCAACCUUCCUCCAUCGACAAUUCCAUGAUGUUCUUCACCAUUCGUGAGUAAUCUCAUCGUAGGCUUGCUGGACGGUGAUGAGUUGGAUGAGAUAUAUCAUGUAAUCGAGUUAGUUUUGACGGGGAUUGAUCCCUAGUAUCCACUAUGUUCUGAGAUUGAUGUUGCUACUACUUUGCCAUGCUUAAUGCUUGUCACUAGGGCCCGAGUGCCAUGAUUUCAGAUCUGAAAUUAUUAUGUUGCCACCAAUAGAUGUGUGUUUUAGAUCCGAUCUUGCAAGUUGUAGUUACCUACUAUGUGUUAUGAUCCGGCAACCCCGGAGUGACAAUAACCGGAACCACUCCCGGUGAUGACCAUAGUAUGAGGAGUUCAUGUGUUCACCAAGUGCUAAUGCGUUGGUCCGGUUCUUUAUUAAAAGGAGAACCUUAAUAUCCCAUAGUUUCCUUUUGGACCCCGCUGCCACGGGAGGGAUGGACAAUAGAUGUCAUGCAAGUUCUUUUCCCUAAGCACGUAUGACUUCAUACGGAAUACAUUCCUACAUUAGAUUGACGAACGGGAGCUAGUUACUUAUCUCUCCGUGUUAUAGCUAUUACAUGAUGAAUCACAUCCGGUAUAAUCAUCCAUCACCGAUCCAUUGCCUACGAUUCUUUUACUACUUGUCCUUGCUACGUUACUUUGCUGCUACUGUUGUCGCUACUGCUGUUACUCUGUUGUUACUUGCUACUGAUGUUGUUGAUGUUGCUUGCUACUGCUGUCACUACUGCUGUUACUUUGCUGCUACUUGUUGCAAGACUUUUCUGGAGCCGUUGCCGGGGAAGAAUAGUCCCCCUUCCACGUGGUAUUUACUGGCGCCAUUGAUACAACAAGUUAGGAAUAGUCUGCCGUCAACACAUCUUUUUCUGACACCGUUGCUAUCAUACCACUUUGCUACUUAUACUUUGCUUGCAAACACUAAUCUUUCAGGUGUGGUUGAAAUUGGCAAACUCAGCUGCUAAUACUUGAGAAUAUUCUUUUGCUUCCCCUUGUGUCGAAUCAAUAAAUUUGGAUUGAAUACUCUACCCUCGAAAACUGUUGCGAUCCCCUACACUUGUGGGUUAUCAAGGGCCAAUCUAUUUACUUUCAUGUUAUUUACUAUUCUUGUUGAGUUAACUUCUUAUUCCAACCUCAAAGUAUUAGUUGGCAAGCAUCAUGUGGUGGGGAAAGAUGCAAACAUAUAUAUCCAUACAAAUAUAUUUGAUCAUGAAUUAUUAUUGUUGACAAUUAUCUAUAUGGUAAAUAAAUUAGGAGGCAAAACUUUAAGCCCCUGUCUUUCUUUGUGUUCGAUGGAUGCUAUUUGUUCUAAAAAUAUGCUUUGAGUGUCAACAAUCAUGGAAGACUAUAUGAUAGUUGAGUAUGUGGAAUUUUCUAAAUAAAAUCUCUUACAUAGACCCUUCCCAAAAAUAAGAUGAAUUGCAAUUGUUUGGUGACUGAAAGCAUAAUUUGUUAGUUUUCAAGAAACUUUAUGGUCUACAUUUUAACACGUGAAUAGCUUGUUACUUCAUCAUGAGAAGUUUUAUGAGAUGAGCUACUGUGUAUGAUAUGUAAUGAUGCUAGAAAAAGUGUUUGGAUAUAUCAUUGAUCAAAUUUAUGCACUAUGCUAGCAUUCACACUUCAUAAAUGAUUUCUUUUAUUAUUUACCUACUCGAGGACGAGCAGGAAUAAAGGUCGGGGAUGCUGAUACGUAUCCAACGUAUCUAUAAUUUAUGAAGUAUUCAUGCCAUGUUUACAAUAAUUCUAUAUGGUUUUUGUAUGAUUUUAUUAUAACUAACCCGGACUGAUGCUUUUUUCAGCACAACUACCGUGUUGUUGUUUUUGUGCCCAAAUAAAAGUUCUCGGAAUGGGCUGAAAAAUUACGGAGAAUAUUGUUGGUAAAUAUGAAAAAUACUGGAGCAAAAGGAUACCAGAGAGGAGUCCCGAGGCAACCACAAGCCACCAGGGCACCCCCCUAGGGUGCGCUCCUUGGCUUGUGGGCCCCUCAAGCACUCCCCUGACGUGGUUCGAACGCCAAAUAUUCUUAUAAAAACAGAAACCCCCGAAAAGAAACUUAGAUCGGGAGUUCCUCUGCCGCAAGCCUCCAGAGCCAUGAAAACCCAGUCUUGGCCCUCUUCGGCACCCUGUCGGAGAGGGUCACCAUCACCGGAGACCAUUGAGGAGGAAGAUGGAGGGGCCAUCAUCACCAUGGAGGCCAAGGACUAGAGGAAGAACCUCUCCCCACCUUGGGGGAGGCCAUGGAGGAGGAGGAACAAGGCGGAGACCCUCUCCCCCUCUCUCCCGGUGGUGCCGGAGUGCCACCGGGGGAACCAUCGCCGCGGUGAUCGUCUUCAUCAACAUCACCUUCUUCAUCACCAACCCCAUCUUCUUUUAGCGUUCCACUCCCCCGCGCCCCGCUGUAAUCACCUACUUGAACACGGUUCUCUAUGCCACAUAUUAUGAUCCAAUGAUGUGUUGCCAUCCUAUGAUGUUUUGAGUAGAUUCCCUUUGUCUUAUGGGUUGAUUGAUGAUCUAGAUUGGUUUGACUUGCAUGCUUUAUUAUUGGUGUUGUCCUAUGGUUCUCUCCGUGUCUAGCAAGCAUGAGGGAUUCCCUUUGUAGGGUGUUGUAAUACGUUCAUGAUUCGCUUAUAGUGGGUUGUUUGAGUGACAGAAGCAUAAACCCGAGUAGGUGGGUUGUUGCGAAUGCGAUAAAGGGGACUUGAUGCUUUAAUGCUAUGGUUCGGUUUUACCUUAAUGAUCUUUAGUAGUUGCGGAUGCUUGCUAGAGUUCCAAUCAUAAGUGCAUAUGAUCGAAGUAGAGAAGGUAUGUUAGCUUAUAACUCUCCCUCAUAUAAAAUUGCAAUAAUGAUUACUGAUCUUGUUAACAAUUGCCUAGGACAAUUCCGCACACCGACCCAUCACUAUUCCACACUCGCUAUUUGUAAUAUAUUCUAACUUUAUGAUAACAACACCUAUUUUUAUAUUUUAUUUCUCCGAUGUCAUGCAAAGCUAUUCUCUUCAUACCCACAAUGUAGUUUUAUUUCUCGUUCCAAGUUGGAAGCAAACGUUCGGCGUACGUAGAGUUAUAUCAGUGGCAGAUAGAACUUGAGAGAAUAUUGCUCUUACCUUUAGCUCCUUGUGGGUUCGACGCUCCAUACUUAUCAUUUCCACCUUUUGAAAUUGCUACGAUGAUUCCUUGCACUUGGGGAUUAUCAGGGCGUCGGCAGCGUCUGGGAACAGGUGAUGGCUGAUACGUCUCCAACGUAUCUACAAUUUUUGAUGGUUCCAUGCUAUUAUCUUGUCAACUUUGGAUGUUUUAUAUGCAUGAAUAUGCUAUUUUAUAUCUUUUUUGGGACUAACCUAUUAACUCAAUGCAGAGUGCCAGUUUCUGUUGUUUCCGUGUUUUUGGCCCAUUUUCAGACGAACUCCAAAUGGAAUGAAACUUUACGAUGCUUUUUUUUGGACCGAAAGAGACCCCCGAAGCUUUGGAAGAAGGCCAGAAGAGCCACGAGGGAGUCACAAGCCCUGACGCCGCCACCACCCCCCUAGGUGGUGCCGACCAGGCUUGUAACCUCCUCGUGGGCCCAACCGACGUAAUUCCACCGCCAUAAAUUCCUAUAAAUUCAGAAACCCCCCAAAAGAAACCUAGAUCAGGAGUUGCGCCGCCGCAAGCCUCUGUAGCCACCAAAAACCAAUCUGGAGCCUGUUCUGGCACCCUGUCGGAGGGGCAAUCCAUCUUCGGUGGCCAUCUUCAUCAUCUCGGCGAUCUCCAUGACGAGGAGGGAGUAGUUCUCCCUCGGGGCUGAGGGUAUGUACCAGUAGCUAUGUGUUUGAUCUCUCUCUCUCGUGUUCUUGAGAUGUCUUGGUCUCAAUGUACCAUGGGCUUUGCUACUAUAGUUGGAUCUUAUGAUGUUCUUCCCCCUCUCCUUCUUGUAAUGAAUUGAGUUUAUCCUUUGGAGUUAUCUUNUACAAGGAGAAGGUUGCGUAGUAGACAUCAAGCUCUUUUCUGCCGCCGUUGCCGGGGAGGUUAGCGCUUGAAGGUAUAUCUUUAGAUCUUGCAAUCGAAUCUUUUUGUUUCUUGUUCUUUUGCUAGAAAACUACAAAAAAAAUGGAAUUGAGGAUGUCUCAUAUGCUCCAUCUUUUCAAUGUCUUUCGUGAGCAUGAUGGGAAGGAAAAUUGUGCUCAAGUGCUGAAAGAAGAAUUACAUAGAAUGCUUGGCAUAGAUUAUGUGAAUGAUGAGCAUGAUUGCAAUGUUCUUAGCAUGAAUUCUUUGAAUACCCAUGAUGCUAAUGAUAUGCAAAGCCACAAGCUUGGAGAUGCUAUAUUUGAUGAAGAUGAUCUUUUUAGUUCUUCCACUUUGAAUGAUCAUUGUGAGGAUACUUAUGCUCUGAAGAAGAGGGAUGAUAAAACAUCUCAUACUCUCGAGAACCCCUUUGUUAAAUCUUGCUUUUUCAUUGUGGACACAAUUUGUAGUGCUCAAGUCUUUUACGAUACUCCCACUACUAUUCUUGAGAAUAGAUUUCCUUAUGUGGAGAGUAGUAAAAUUUCUAUGCUUGUAGAUCAUGAAAAGAAUGCUUUAGGUGCUGGUUAUAUUGUUGAAUUCAUUCAUGAUGCUACUGAAAAUUACUAUGAGAGAGGAUGAUAUGCUUCUACUUAUUGCAAUAGUAUCAAGCUUCCUCUCCAUAUGUUGAAAUUUUUGAAGCUAUGCUUGUUCUGCCUUCCUAUGCUAGUUGAUUCUUGCUCCAAUAAAUUGUUUAAUCACAAAAUCCCUAUGCAUAGGAAGUGGGUUAGACUUAAAUGUGCUAGCCAUUUUCUCCAUGAUGCUCUCUUGUGUUUCAAUCCUUACCUUUUAUGUGAGCAUCAUUGAAAUCAAUGCCUAGCUAAGGGCGUUAAACGAUAGCGCUUGUUGGGAGGCAACCCAAUGAAUAAAUUUUUCUUUGCUUUUUGCUUCAUGUUUUGUUUUCUCCACACCAUCAUAAUUAUGUUAUGAUUGUGUCUUUUGUGUUUAUUUUUGUGUUUGUGCCAAGCAAAACCGUUACGAUUAGUCUUGGUGAUGAUUGUUUGAUCAUGCUGGAAAAAGACAGAAACUUUCUGCUCACGAAAAGAAUUUCCAUUUUUAUUCUGUAAGAGAUUUUGAGUUGAUUCUUUUUGCUGCAUAUUCAUAUGCAAUUUAUUCGGAAUUUAGUAAUUGUUCAGAUUUGUUGAAGUACCAGAAGUAUACAAAGUAUACAUAUUGCUACAGACUGGUCUGCUGUUAACAGAUUCUGUUUUUGUUGAGUUGGUUGCUUAUUUUGAUGAAACUAUGGAUAGUAUCGGAGGGUACUAGCCAUGUAAAAGUGAAAAUACAGCAACCCAACACCAAAAUAAGUAGAAUUUAAGUUUGCUACAGUACCUAAGGAAGUGGUGAUUUGCUUUCUUAUACUAAUGAUAUCACGAGUUUCUGUUUAAGUUUCGUGUUGUGAAGUUUUCAAGUUUUGGAUGAAGUUCUUAUGGACAAAAAGAUAAAGAGUGGCAAGAUCUCAAGCUUGGGGAUGCCCAAGGCACCCCAAGAUAUUCAAGGAUGCCGUAAAAGCCUAAGAUUGGGGAUGCCCCGGGAAGGCAUCCCCUCUUUCGUCUUCAAUCCAUCGGUAAUGUUACUUGGAGCUAUAUUUUUAUUCACCACAUGAUAUGUGUUUUGCUUGGAGCGUCUUGUAUCUUAGGAGUCUUUUAUUUUUGUUGUGUCACAAUCUUCCUUCCUUCAAACCUAGAGAGAGAGACAUGCACUCACCGUGAUUUUGUCGAGCUUCACUUAUAUCCUUUGGUAGACAAUUCAGCUCACAUGUGCUUCACUUAUAUAUUUUGAGCUAGAUACUUUUGCUCUGUGUGCUUCACUUAUAUCUUUUAGAGCGCAGCGGUGCGUGUCUUGGUAGUUGAUCUAUGCUUUGAAAGUAGUCUCAAAAUGGGUAGUUAUCCAAAGGGAUACGAAAACUUCCACCUUCAUGUGCAUUGAAUAGUUAGAGAAGUUUGAUUCAUCUCAAUUAGUUUUGAGUUGUGGUUUUGGUAAUAUUGAAGUCAUGCUAGUAAGGUGUUGUGGAUCUAGAAAUACUUGUGUUGAAGUUAGUGAUUCUCGUAGCAUGCACGUAUGGUGAACCGCUAUGUGAUGAAGUCUGAGCAUGAUUAGUCUUUUGAUUGUCAUCCUUUGCGUGGCGGUCGGGAUCGCGCGAUGGUUUAUACCUACCAACCCUUCCCCUAGGAGUAUGCGUUGAAUGCUUUGUUUCGAUUACUAAUAAAACUUUUGCAACAAGUAUAUGAGUUCUUCAUGACUAAUGUUGAGUCCAUGGUUUAGAUGCACUUUCACCUUCCACCAUCACUAUCUUCUUAGUGUCGUGCAACUAUCGCCGGUGCACAAAACUCACCAUUAGCCUCCCUCAAAACAGCCACCAUACCUACCUACUAUGGCUUUUUCAAAGUCAUUCCGAGAUAUAUUGCCAUGCAACUACCACCAUGACAUGUGCCACCACGUCUACAUUGCCAUUGCAUGAUGUUUCCAUUAAUGUCUAUGCCAUGCUAGAUCAUUGCCACGGUACACUACCGAAGGCAUUCCAUAUAGAGUCAUCGUUGCUCUAAGUUUUGAGUUGAAAGUGUGAUGAUCAUCAUUGAUGGAGCAUUGUCCCAUGUGAGGAAAUAAAAGAGGCCAAAGAAGCCCACCAAAAAAAACAAGAGGCCAAAGAGCCCACCAAAUAUAUAUAUAUAUAUAUGAGAGAGAAAAAGAGAGAAGGGACAAUGCUACCACUUUUCCACACUUGUGCAUAUUAAGCACCAUGAUCUUCAUGAUUGAGAGUCUCUCGUUUUGUCACCAUCAUAUAGCUAGUGGGAAAUUCUCAUUAUAUAACUUGGCUUGUAUAUUCCAAUAAUAGGUUUCCUCAAAAUUGCCUUAGUUCUUCGUGAGCAAGCAAGUUGGAUGCACACCCACUAGUUUUCUUUAAGAGCUUUCACAUACUCUUAGCUCUAGUGCAUCAUUUGUAUGGCAAUCCCUACUCAUUCACAUUGAUAUCUAUUGAUGAGCAUCUCCACAGCUCAUUGAUAUGCCUAGUUAAUGUGAUUAUCUUCUCCUUUUUUUGUCUUGCAACCUCCACCACACUCCACACCACUUAUAGUGCUAAAACCAUGGCUCACGCUCAUGUAUUGCGUGAGAGUUGAAAGGGUUUGAGAAAGUGAAGGUGUGAAACAAUUACUUGGCCAAUACCGGGGUUGUGCAUGAUUUAAAUUCGUUGUGCAAUGAUGAUAGAGCAUAGCCAGACUAUACGCUUUUGUAGGGAUAACUUUCUUUUGGCCUUGUUAUUUUGAAAGUUCAUGAUUACCUUGCUAGUUUGCUUGAAUUAUUAUUGUUUCCACGUCGAUAGCAAACUAUUGUUUUGAAUCUAAUGGAUCUGAACAUUCAUGUCACGUGAGAGAAGUUACAAAGUACAACUAUGCUAGGUAGCAUGCAACAUCAAAAAUUCAUUCUUUAUCACUUCCCUACUCGAGGAUGAGCAUGAGUUAAGCUUGGGGAUGCUUGAUACGUCUCCAACGUAUCUAUAAUUUUUGUUGGUUCCAUGCUAUUAUCUUGUCAACUUUGGAUGUUUUAUAUGCAUGAAUAUGCUAUUUUAUAUCUUUUUGGGACUAACCUAUUAACUUAGUGCCAAGUGCCAGUUUCUGUUUUUUCCGUGUUUUUGGCCCAUUUCCACACGGAGUCCAAAUGGAAUGAAACUUUACGAUGAUUUUUUUGGACCAAAAGAGACCCCCGAAGCUUUGGAAGAAGGCCAGAAGAGCCACGAGGGAGUCACAAGCCCCAAAGCCGCCACCACCCCCCUAGGUGGUGGCGACCAGGCUUGUGACCUCCUCGUGGGCCCAACCGACGUAAUUCCACCGCCAUAAAUUCCUAUAAAUUCAGAAACCCCCAAAAAGAAACCUAGAUCGGGAGUUCCGCCGCCGCAAGCCUCUGUAGCCACCAAAAACCAAUCUGGAGCCCGUCCUCGCACCCUGUCGGAGGGGGAAUCCAUCUCCGGUGGCCAUCUUCAUCAUCCCGGCGAUCUCCAUGACAAGGAGGGAGUAGUUCUCCCUCGGGGCUGAGGGUAUGUACCUGUAGCUAUGUGUUUGAUCUCUCUCUCUCGUGUUCUUGAGAUGUCUUGAUCUCGAUGUACCAUGGGCUUUGCUACUAUAGUUGGAUCUUAUGAUGUUCUUCCCCGUAUCCUUCUUGUAAUGAAUUGAGUUUCCCCUUUGGAGUUAUCUUNUACAAGGAGAAGGUUGUGUAGUAGACAUCAAUGGCGCGAGACACAUGACGUCGAUCUAUCCAGGUUUAGGGCCCUCCGGUGAGGUAAAACUCCUAGUCCUGCCGGUGUGACUAUAUGAGAUCACAAUUCAAUGGUUCUCCUUGAGCUGUUCGUGAGGAGGGAGACGAAGUUCUCACUGCCUCGGUGGUAUGUGUCUAAGGAUUCACUAGUUUUCUCCUCCCCUUCUCUCAGGGGACUGGGGUUGGGUUUUAUAGUGCAACCAAAUGUAUACAAUAAUGGGUAGAAACGGAGUGUGGGGUCCGGCCUUCAGCCUCUCCGGCUGGCCGUGGGGCCCGUCGGUUGUCGGGUCUUGUCCUGCGCGGGUCCCGCCGGACGUGUGACGCAGAGGAUAACGCGCCGGCCGUCAGGGAGUUGGUAGGGGUAGGCCCCAGCUACACGGCCGCCUCGCCCGGUCAGCCUAGGGCGUGACCGGUGGCGCUGUAGCCACGUCGAGCCUUGCAUCAUGACGCCUGUAGCCGCGCUAGGUCUAUCAACGCGCACUAUAGCCAUGCACGCCCCUCUGCUGAGGGUAUGCUCUUGUUCGCCGUAUGUUAGUCGGCCGGAUGGGAUGGGCGUUGACCCGUCGACUGCUGCCAGUCGGCCCGCCGUGCGCUGGCCAGGCGGGCCGCCUGUGGCUAGUCAACCAAGGGCGCCUAGCCGGACGGGUCAAACGCCGCUAGCCGAACUGUCACACAGUGGCUAGGCGAACCGCUUGUAGCCAGCCGGCCUAGGGGGGCCAGCCAGCCCGAAUGUCAAGUAGAUGGAUUCCCUCCGCUUUGGUAUACCCAGGGGCCAUAUCCCCGUCAUUAAAACUUAGCCAUUGCAACUUUGUGUACUUCGUUUAUCUCCAAUGACCAGACCAAGACCGCUUUCGGAUCCUCACCCUUAACAAUACUUCAUAUGUAUUCACAAUAUUCAGAUUGCUUUUAUCAUAUUCUUGCUUGUUCUUCGAUUGCUUGGAGGAAGAGACCUUCAUGAUGAGGUUGAUCGUGCUCCCGCGUGAUCAAUAAUCUCUUGAAGUUGGUUUAGUGAUUGCUAAGGCGCAACGUCGUGCACAUUUGUAGUCGGAUCGUCAAAGUCGUCUCCACCAAAUCGGUAGCCACCAUCUCUUUGAAAGAUCGGGACACCCUUGCCUCUAUCAUCUUCAAAUUAGAACACAUAAUGCAUUAAAAGUUGAAUGGGAGAGCUCCUUAAAAAAUUAUUGAUCCAAUCAAAAUCAAUUAACACGACUCUAAAUCAAUGAUCUCAAUUAAUUAUGAGGUCUUACAAAAUAUAAAUCAUAGUGUAUAAUAUACUAAAAAAUUUAAUUAGAGAGUUUUGAAAAAAUUGUUGACCCGUUCAAAAUCAGCUCACACAACUCCAAUUAAAAACCUCAAUAGAAUACGGCCUUCAUAAAACCUCAAUUGAAUAUUUCCGUAACAUAACACAUCACAAGGCAAAAUGAACAUAUAUCUAAAUAACAAAAAUACUUGCAUAAUAUCAUACAUAUAAUAUUAUUUAAUAUGAAGUUAUUAAUAUGGACUAAUAACAUAUGGAUGCUACUAAUGCAAGUUAUUUUCUACUAUGACGAGCCUCAUCUUGAGUGGUUUCUUUGCUUCCAGUCAAUCCCAACAAUGUCUUCACCAGUCCGGAUCCGUCGACUGGGGGGUCGUCCCGUGCAGAGUGGAGGAGGCAAUAGCGGUUCGCGUUGCACUCCGCCGCUCGCGCGAGGACAGCGCCUGACCGACAGAAGGAUUUGUCCGCCGCGACUCUGUAGCAUCUGCACAAAGGGUGCUCGGCUCCUUUGGGGAAUGGCCGGACUACCACCAAAGGUGGAGAAAGAGGUGAGCGGCGAUGAGGACAGUUGUGGCGACGAGAAGAUCCGGCUCGAUCCGUACUGCGUCUUCAACCGGUACUUCCACGACAAGACGGCAAGGGUGUCGGGAAGAACAGAGGCAGCCGUAGAUGAUCUUCACCAUAGCCAAACAUGUAAAAUUUUGAUAGUCCGAUGACAUGUUUAACAAUGAUGGAGUAACUGGACAAUGUGUGUGCGUCGACGUAGUAGUUCGUCUGCGGACGUUUGAAAGAUCGGAUUUGAGGAGUCCGGAGAUGCUCUAAGGCAGAGAAUACACCUAAGUAGCUAGUGGUACUACUUCAGAUGAGGAAGAAAAUGUUAACUAAAUUCCAAAUAUACUGCCGUGCCAUCACACUUUGACAAACACGCACGGCCUUUUUUACACAUAGCUCUAGGUGGCUGCGCCCCUUUCUACUGCAUAUCGAUCAUCUACCAAGAAGAUAUGCACCACUCGAUCUAUAGGGAUCAUGUCACGGCCUUCAAUGGCGGCAUUCGAGCGCACAUUCUUCGGCUCAAGUUGCAUUGUCUCUACGCCACCAUCGAGUGCGCCGUAGAAAACCGAGAUAUAGCGAUCUCCCUGAUAUCUCCGCUUUUGCAAUCCCCAUAAAUAAAUAAUAAUUCAUGUUUGCGAAUGAUGAAGUGCCUGCAAUUUUUACUUCCUGCAUAUCAUAAUAAUUAUAGUGCAAGAAAACUAGUAAACUAGUUCUUUCAACUAUAAUUAUUAUGUUUUUCCUUAACAAUAAUUAUUAUGAUAUACUCCCUUCGUUCUUAAAUAUAAGUUUUUUUAAAGAUUUCACUAAUAGAGUAUAUACGGAUGUAUAUAGACAUACUUUAGAGUGUACAUUGAAUCAUUUUGCUCUGUAUGUAGACCUUUAGUGAAAUCGCUUAAAAGACUUAUAUUUAGAAACGGUGAAAGUAAAUGGAGUAUAAUCAAUUCUACUUCCUCUAAGUCUGAAGGUGAGGACAACACAACCACACAACGCCGCAGUGACAAGCGUUGACUCCGGAUGAGGACCUCGUUGGAGACGGGGACGAUGUUGUGACUAUCAGUGUCUCAAUUGGAAAAAGGGCACACAUGAGAUGAAUUAACAAUACUACCUCCGUUACGGUUUAGAAGACACAUUGAUCACGGUUUAGAUUUCCAGUAUUUUACGGGCAAGAAGAGGAAAAUGAAAAAAAAAUUAAGCAUACAAAUAAAAACAAGAACAAAUGAGAAAAGAAAAAGAAAUGGUGUGUAUUAUCAUUAGAAGGCCUCGCCAUCAGUGAAAAGAAAGAAAGAAAACAGCACUAUCAGUGGGACUAGGGUUAGCUAUAAUUCACAGACUGGAGAGCUCAGACCAUGACGGCAAGUAAAAUGAAUUAAAGGGAGUAGUUUAAUUUGCGUAGAAGAAUAAGAGAUGUGAUCAGCUGAGAAAUGAUGAGAUUAAUCAAGAGGCAAAUCGAAUGAUGAUUUUUCCAACAGGUUUUAUUAGAUAAAAUGUUUGGUCAUGUCUCUAGCCAUUCCAAGAACCAAACUAAAAUAUCCUAAAAUAAAAAUAAAAUAAAAUAACAGUACUAAUAGAUUCUAGCCCAGCAUUUAUUUUUGCACCGAUCUGGACCAAGGGCAGACAGCAGGAUAGUGGUACUAGGAUACAAGGCUGGCACUAUAGAACGUGCAUGGACGUGACGCGAUGUACACAUGUACUGAUCAGGUCGGUGCAUGCAUGCGUGUGACUCAGCGCGAUGGCCCCCUCUUUACAACGCCAAAGGUACGCUUGCCCUCGUGGCCUUGCCAGCCCUCUCCCUUGGCCCUUUUCCCCAAACAUAUCAAAGAAAACCAAACCCGUAAACAUAGCAGUUUGGACCUUAGCCUCCGUGCAUGCGUGGCCACCACCCUAAUUUCGAUACAGCGAUCACCGUACGCAACUUGCUUGCAUCUACAGUACGUACCAGUACUAUAGUUUUGCAAUAGUAUAUUCCCAACCAAGAUCAGAAUGAUGCAGAUCAGUGUUUUGAUUCCUCGAUUUCAUUUUAUUUUCCUGCGUGACGCAAAAGGGCUGCUCGCUUUUGCGUCCUAGCUGUGAAUCUUGUGACCGUUUUGCCCUCCAGAGCCACUAUAUAAGCCCCUCUACCGCAGCACAUUUGCUUCACACAACACAGCCGAUCGCAUACUCUGAUCUGAUCAGUCGCACCAAACCGAGCUAUAGCAUCAGCUCGUCGGAGUUCGGACCGGUCGACUCGGAACUCGUCAUCAAUGGCCGCCGUCCAGGUAGACUGCUCAAUACUGCUUCGUUGCGUUUCGAUCAUGUAGCUUUUGACCUGCUGCCACGGUGCCAUGCCACCUCGAUCUCUUCUGGCACGAGCAACCUGAUCACACGUACGCUGCGUACUGGUACUUCUCUGACAUGAAGGCGUGCAUCAAUGUAAACGCAGGUCCACGCCGCAACCCACGCCAUGCCCGUCGAGGAGGCUCCGGCGCCGGCGGUGGUGGAGGCUGUCGAGCCGGCCGUCGUCGUUGUCGAGGAUACUACCGUGGCGGUGGAGGUCGUCGAGCCGGCCGUCGUCGCGGUCGAGGAGGCUACGGUGGCAGCAGUGGAGAUUGUCGAGCCGGCCGUCGACACAGUCGAGGUGGCAACGGCUGAGGCUGUCGAGCCGGCCGUUGUCGCUGCCGAGGAGGCCGUGAAGGAGGAAGUUGCUGCGCCGGCCGUGACCGAGCUGGCGAAAGAGCCCGAGGCAGCUCCAGCGGAGACCAAGGAGGCCGAGACAGAGGUUGUCCAGCCGGCCGCCGCCGCUGAGGAGGCCCCUGUCACGCCGACAGUGACCGAGACCAAAGAGCCGGAAGCUGCCCCUGCCGAGGGAACAGAGACCGAAGUGGUGGAGCGUGAGGCAGCACCGGCUGAGGCCGAGACCAAGGAACCAGAGAAAGAAGCUGCUCCGGCCGAGACCGAGACCAAGGAACCAGAGCAAGAAGCUGCUCCGGCCGAGACCGAGACCAAAGAGGCAGAGCCAGCCGCUGCCGAGGCCGAGGCCAAAGAGCCGGUGGCAGAGGAGACACCGGCCAAGGAGGAGGCCGCUGUGGCAGUGCAGGAGGAAGCAGCAACUACGGAGGCACCUGUGGAGGCUGCCGUGGCAGCCGAAGCAGCCGUGGAAGAGACAGAAGCACCAGCUGCUGCUGCCGACGUCGAGGCCAAAGCGCCGGUGGCGGAGGCACCGGUCCAGGAGGAGGCAGCGCCCGCAGCCACCGCCGCCGAAGCGUCUUCCGUGCAGGAGGAGGCGGCACCGGCCGAGGCACCCGUGGAUGCACCCGCUGCCGCCGAGGCGGUGCCGGCAGAGGCACCAGCUGCUCAGGCUGCCGCCGCCGCCGACAAGGCCGCCGAGUGAGUUGAUGCGCGCGGGUGCGAUCGUGCUCCUGAGCUAGCCUUUGCCUGGCUUCGCCGUGCGCGUGCCGUGGCAUUGCCAUGGCACGGUACCUUAGUUCGUUUAUUAUUGGAUCCGUAUGUGUGGGCGUAUUUCGUGAGUGGUUGAUCGUCGUCGCGUGGGUGCGCAAUGUACGUCACGUAGCUGCGUACAUGGUCUAGCUAGCAGUCGUAUGUGUGUCGUUCUCAGUUGGCUUCAAUAAUGUGUCAGUGGCGUUCCGGGUCCCACUGUCAGUGAUGUCAUGGGGUCACUGGCUUUGGAGGCUGUUUUCGUCUCUUUGUUUUUUGUUUUUUGUGUUGGUUAAUACAUGCACUAGCUAUUUAUUUGUAUACUGUAUAUGUUGGUACUCCAUCCGUAAAAGAUUUUUGAGUUUUUUUUCCUUUGAGAACCCCUCCGUAAAGAAAUACAGUAUAUGAGUGUUUAGAUCACUAAAGUAGUAAUCUAAAUGAUUUUAUAUUUUUUAGAAAGGAAUACUAAAAAGGCUUGUGAUUUGUGUAAUGCCUCAUCUAUGGGGUCCAUGAUCUGAGCUGCAAUUUAAAAUAAUUAAUUCGGACAUACAUAU